UAUUUUGUGGGCGUCUUCCCAGACGAGCUCUUCGGCCUCGUCAGGCUAAGGAAGCUCUCCCUCGCAUCCAACGAGCUCGCCGGCGAGCUGAGCUCACGCCUCGGUGAGCUCACACAUCUUACCUUGUUGGAUUUGUCUGCCAACCGCUUCUUCGGCCCCCUCCCGGAUGUGUUCGGCGACCUCACGUCGCUAGAGCAUUUGGCCAUGCAUUCCAAUGGCUUCUCUGGCUUCUUGCCACCGUCUCUAUCAUCACUAUCUUCUCUCCGUGAGCUCAACCUCCGAAACAACUCCAUCACUACAGGAAAAUUCGGUUUUCCCGUGUGUUAGCCUAUAAGCCGUGCGCUAUUUUUCGGGCACCCGGCUUAUGCACCUCGAAGCCGAGUCUAGGGAACAAAACACCCGGCAAACAGGAAGAACUCGGCUUAUGGUCACCUAUAAGCCGAGUGCUGCAAAAAAACUCUCGGCUUAUACGAAGCACACGGUAUCUACUCGAAAAAGCACCCGGCUUACAGCACACGCUCGGCAAAGACAGAUUGCCACGUGUCCGCAACGGACGUGGCUGACGGCGCCGUCACGGAGCAUCAUGUAAGCCGUGUGUCCGACGCAGGCACUCGGCUAACAGGACAUAUAAGCCGUGUGCCCCAGCAAGCACUCGGCUUACAGGACAUAUAAGCCGUGCGCCCCGCCCAAGCACUCGGCUUACAGGAUAUAUAAGCCGUGAGCCCGAUGAAAGCACUAUGCUUACAUAUUUGCGGAUUUUUUUUCAACCCAUAACAUUUAUGCAAAAUUGAUUUAAGAUGGUUUUCAUUGCAUUUAUAUUUACUACUUAAUUAGUAUUAUUAUUCUUCCCUAGUAGUUUUCAUGGGUCUUAUUUGAAAAACUCUAAAUUUAACGCCACUUUAAUAUUUAUAUGACUUUCGACCCCUAGCGUAACCAUAUUAUGAUGACAUGCAAAAGCAACUACUGAAACUUCACUCUACGCCGAGUGCGUUGCUCUUCAUUUAGAGCCAAUACACGGGCACUCGGUAACGUGAAGUAAGGCAUGGAGCCGAGGUAAUUUUGCCCCCCCCUAGUGGCCGGGCCCGCCCCUCCCUCGUCUGCAAAAGGCCUACGGAUGUCGCAAAGACAUCACAUAGGACUUUACAUGCCGCUUCUGGGCAUGAUUUCAUGUGCCGCCUUGCAGAUCUGCAAUUUCCGGCAUCGAAACUAUAGCAGUGGAAUAAAUGUCUCAAAUAUUCUAGGCGGGUCCGAAAAUUGCGGGGGCCUGACACAUGUCAUUCGAUCGCCUCCUUUGAGAGCACGGUAAGUUUCGAUGCCAAUGGAGAAACAUGGCCCACACUUCCUUCACAAAUCGCACUCGUUCCCUCUCGGUACCUAGAGACUACAGCAGAGACGGUGUAGUUUACGAGCAGUCGGAGGUGAUCCCUACUCGAAACACGCCCAAACUUUUACCACACCCUACAGGGGCCAUGUUAUGACACCGUGCCAGCUCCCGAGGAUUUCCGGCAUCGUACGAGUUUUCGAUGAUUUAAACGGUUGGAUCAGGCAUGGCGACGAGGUAACUCCCCCCCCCCCCGGUGGCUGGGCCAGCCCCUCCCUCGUCUGCAAGAGGCCUAUGCAUGUCGCAAAGACAUCACAUAGGACUUUACAUGCCGCUUCUGGGCAUGAUUUCAUGUGCCACCUUGCAGAUAUGCAAUUUCCGGCCCCGAAACCCUAGUUGUGCAAUAAAUGUCUCAAAUAUUCCAGGCGGGUCCGAAAAAUGCGGGGGCCUGACACGUGUCAUUCGAUGGCCUCCUUUGAUAGCAUGAGAAGUUUCGAGGCCAACAGAGCAACAUGGCCCACACUUCCUUCACAAACCCGACUCGUUCCCUCUCUGUACCCAGAGACUACAUCGGAGAUGGUGUAGUUUACAAGCGGUCGCAGGUGAGCCCUACUCGAAACGCUCCCAAACUUUUACCACACCCUACAGGGGCCAUGUUAUGACACCGUGCCAGCUCUCGAGGAUUUCCGGCAUCAUACGAUUUUCCAAGGAUUUAAACGGUUGGAUGAGGCAUGGCCCCGAGGAAAUUUUGCCCUCCCCGGUGGCUGAGCCUGCCCCUCCCUCGUUUACAAAAGGCCUACGCAUGUUGCAAAGACAUCAUACAGGAGUUUACAUGUUGCUUCUGGGCAUGAUUUCAUGUGCCGCCUUGUAGAUCUGCAAUUUCCGGCGCCGAAACCCUAGCAGUGGAAUAAAUGUCUCAAAUAUUCUAGGCGUGUCCGAAAAAUGCGGGGGCCUGACACAUGUCAUUCGAUCGCCUUCUUUGAGAGAACGAUAAGUUUCGAUGCCAAUGGAGCAACAUGGCCCACAUUUCCUUCACAAAUCAGACUCGUUCCCUCUCGGUACCUAGAGACUACAGCGGAGAUGGUGUAGUUUACGAGCAGUCGGAGGUGAUCCCUACUCGAAACACGCCCAAACUUUUACCACACCCUACAGGGGCCAUGUUAUGACACCGUGCCAGCUCCCGAGGAUUUCCGGCAUCGUACGAGUUUUCGAGGAUUUAAACGGUUCGAUCAGGCAUGGCAACGAGGUAACUUCCCCCCCCCCCCGGUGGCUAGGCCAGCCCCUCCCUCGUCUGCAAGAGGCCUAUGCAUGUCGCAAAGACAUGACAUAGGACUUUACAUGCCGCUUCUGGGCAUGAUUUCAUGUGCCAGCUUGCAGAUCUGCAAUUUCCGGCCCCGAAACCCUAGCUGUGCAAUAAAUGUCUCACAUAUUCCAGGCGGGUACGAAAAAUGCGGGGGCCUAACACGUGUAAUUCGAUGGCCUCCUUUGAUAGCAUGAGAAGUUUCGAGGGCAACAGAGCAACAUGGCCCACACUUCCUUCACAAACCCGACUUGUUCCCUCUCUGUACCCAGAGACUACAUCAGAGAUGGUGUAGUUUACAAGCGGUCGCAGGUGAGCCCUACUCGAAAUGCUCCCGAACUUUUACCACACCCUACAAGGGCCAUGUUAUGACACCGUGCUAGCUCUCGAGGAUUUCCGGCAUCAUACGAUUUUCCAAGGAUUUAAACGGUUGGAUGAGGCAUGGCCCCGAGGUAAUUUUGCCCUCCCCGGUGGCUGAGCCUGCCCCUCCCUCGUCUACAAAAGGCCUACGCAUGUUGCAAAGACAUUACAUAGGAGUUUACAUGUCGCUUCUGGGCAUGAUUUCAUGUGUCGCCUUGUAGAUCUGCAAUUUCCGGCAUCAAAACCCUAGCUGUGCAAUAAAUGUCUCAAAUAUUCCAGGCGGGUCCGAAAAAUGUGGGGGCCUGACACGUGUCAUUCGAUGGCCUCCUUUGAUAGCACGAGAAGUUUCGAGGCAAACUGAGUAACCGGGCCCGCACUUCCUUCACAAACCCGACUCGUUCCCUCUCGGUACUCAGAGACUACAUCGGAGAUGUUAUAGUUUACAAGCAGCCGCAGGUGAGGCCUGCUCCAAACACGCCCAAUCUUUUACCAGAAUAUUGGCACGAUAUUUUAAAGAAUGAAAAUAAUGAAAUAAGGGGAGACGGUAUCAUUUAUGAGAACAAUUAAAUAAAAAUACAAUAAAAAGUAUUAUAAAAAUAAAAAUAUAAUGAAAAUAAAAAAAUAACAAUACAAUAAAAAUAUCAAAAUAAAAAUAUAAUAAGUAUCAUAAAGAUACAAUAAAAUAAAAACACAUAAAUUAUUAAAAGUAAAACUAAUAAACUUUUUUUAUUAAAAUAAUUUUUUUUAUAAACCGUGUAUUUUUCUUUGACACUAGGUUUAUCGUGCUGCACCAGGCUUAUAGUGAGCGCGGGACUUGGCCAAAAUAGACGCGCGCAUAGCUUAUUUUGGCCCAAUUAUCGNNNNNNNNNNNNNNNNNNNNNNNNNNNNNNNNNNNNNNNNNNNNNNNNNNNNNNNNNNNNNNNNNNNNNNNNNNNNNNNNNNNNNNNNNNNNNNNNNNNNNNNNNNNNNNNNNNNNNNNNNNNNNNNNNNNNNNNNNNNNNNNNNNNNNNNNNNNNNNNNNNNNNNNNNNNNNNNNNNNNNNNNNNNNNNNNNNNNNNNNNNNNNNNNNNNNNNNNNNNNNNNNNNNNNNNNNNNNNNNNNNNNNNNNNNNNNNNNNNNNNNNNNNNNNNNNNNNNNNNNNNNNNNNNNNNNNNNNNNNNNNNNNNNNNNNNNNNNNNNNNNNNNNNNNNNNNNNNNNNNNNNNNNNNNNNNNNNNNNNNNNNNNNNNNNNNNNNNNNNNNNNNNNNNNNNNNNNNNNNNNNNNNNNNNNNNNNNNNNNNNNNNNNNNNNNNNNNNNNNNNGCACUCCCUCCGCCGACGCACAGGUCUCUCUCUCUCUCUCUCUCUCUCUCUCUCUCUCUCUCUGUCUCUCUCUGACAGGUCUUGGUUCACCGCUGCUCUGUUGGCUGCUCCAGGUCCGGCUGACAGGUCCGGCUGCUCCUCAUCUCCGCCUCGCCAGCCGGCAGCGCAGCGCAGCGCAGCCCCCGCCGCCUCCUCCCCCACUCUCCCGUCAGCAUGGUCCACGGCUCCUGGAUCUAAAGCAGCCGCACCGUGCUGCCGCGGUGCACAGCAGCAGGUUCCCAAGACAACCCUCGCCGUCCCUCUGACUGUCUCUCUCUCUCUAUGACUGAACCCAACACAACCCUCAUUCGCAGGUCGCAGCUAGCUAGGCAUCAGCGGCACCGGUCACCGGCGGCAGCGUACAUCACCGGCUGCAGCGUACAUCACCGCGCGCGGCAACGGACGCAGUACGCACUCAUCCCCUUUUUUUAACUUCUCAAUUUCAUACAGUCUUGCAGGUCAGGAUGUCAAUGGACAGCUCGCUGGGCAUUGUGGGACUUGCCCGCUCUGACCACCACUUAUGUGGGAUUAUGUCAUAGUCCAGUUAACUUUUUUGUGGCGUAUGUAGUGUCCACAUAGUACCACGUAUUCACAGAGCAAACUGACACGAAUAUACUACUUACAAUAUAGUGCCAUUAGUGCGGGCCUAAUUAGUAACACCUCCGAUUAUUCGGUACAGAGCAAACAUAGUACAGGAAAUUGGCAACUCUAAAUCUCUAGAUUCAACAUUUAUCUACAACUUAGAUUAUCAAAGCUGAACCCAAUGGACAUGAUUAUGGCUAUCAAGAUGUAAUGGAGAGUGACCAAUCUGCAUCAAUGAGGUGUUUGAAGUCUGAACCUUUCAUCUACCUAGAAGGGAAUGGCAUGCAAUGAGGUGUCCGAAGUCUGAACCUUGCUCCAUAUCAUUUAGUUCUCAAGUUACUGCAACCCGAAUUUGCAUCAGUCCUCACCGUCUACUACUCCGACGACGUACGACAUCCACCGGUCCCAUCUUCCAAGUCCCAUAGGCUGCAUCGCAGCAGAGGGGGAGAGGCAUAUGAGCGCUAGAGGAGCAGAGCAGAGGUACCGUGAAGUCGUUGCCGAAGGCCUCAUCUGAAUCAGCUCCGGCGGCGACGACGUCGGCUUUGACGUCAGGCGCAACUGGGACGGCAGAUCUGGUCUCACCGGCUUUUCUGGGCUGUCCAUUUGUGCCAUUUAUUUUUGCUGGACGUCCACCAACUCCAUUUGAUCUUUUUUUGCUGGGUGGCACAUGUGGGACUAGUGGGACCCAACGCCACUUACAUCCUGACUUGCAAGAAUGCCAGUAGUCGCGGCUGUUCUUCUCUUAGUUUUAUAAUGCUGCAUAAUACACAAGUUUUAACACAUCUAUCAACUAAGCCAAGUUUUAACCUUUGAGAGAAACUAUCAAAGGACCAUUGGGAUUUCAGGAUAAGAAAUGAGCAAGUAGCCUUGUACAAACGAAAAACGAGUUCCAACACCACUUCUAAAUUUGAUUCGUGUUGCUGCAGCCACUCAACCCAAAGACCAAUCCACAAGGGAAAGCUUUUUUUGCAGCUAGCUAGGCCUUUAAUUUGUGGCUACCAGCAACCAAGAUUUAUCUAUCACAUCACAUUUGAUUCAUUGGUUCCUGCCUGGAUAUGUAAGAUUCUUGGAGCAGUAUAGAACUAAAGGGAUGCACAAAUGGGCAACCUUCAAAGCCUGUACAGAAGUUCAAUGACAUGAAUAUUUCCUCUAUGCAUGAUUUUAUAAUUUUCUAUAUGCGUUUGAGAUUAGGCUUUUGUAUUUUCUUUUGAGAAAAAAGGGAAAAGCUAAGUAGCUAAUAAACGGUAUAUUAGAAAGGAGUGGCCAGAGCACAUAUUUGUUAUUGUUAUGGAAAUACAAGUAUUGCCACUGUAAAUACAAAAGGAGUGGGCAGAGCACCUAUUCUGCAUGUGAAUUAUGUUUAGUCCCAGUUUGCAAGUUUUGCAUGUGGAUUAUGUUUGAUCCCAAUUUUCACUUUAUUGCAGGACAUGCAUUAGUUUGACGUCGAGACCGUUGUCGCGGAGCUUCUUGCUGGACGGAAGACCGGCACCGAACAUGCUUCGAGGGUAAGAAUCAUUCGCCUCGUAGGAUUUAUGGAUAUUAUUGCUUCUAUUGCAGAAUAGGGAGAGAGGUGAGGGCCAAGAGAAGCUCAAUACCUUCACGGGAUUAUGUCUCUCCCGCAAGUCAAAAGAAACCGGAAGGGGGGUGGGUCAACCCAGGCGCUGGCUUGAGGAUUGAUGCAUACAGUGGGAAGUUCAAGGAGCACAACGGGCCUGACUCUAAUCCGGCCUCACAGGACAUUGACACUACAAUUUCCCUCCAGUCGGGAGAUGGCAAGAAGGGUGGUCGGUUAUAUGUUGGCGACGGUGCCAUCCGUAAGAAGGACAUCCCAAAACUCUCUCACGUCCGUGCUACCACGUCGAGCUCAGGUCCUGCUAUAGAGCAUCGCCCACAGCCUGGGCUGCACAUGCUCCAUCAACUCGAGGUAUCUUUUGCUUCAUCGACCUUCCUUGUGAUUUCUUCUUUGUAUUGCAACGAUGGUGAACUUGUUGUGAUGGCAUAUUGUAGGCCAAUGCCAGGCUUCGAGAGGAGGAAGCCAUGAAAAUGCAGCAGGCCCUAUUUCAACAGCAAGAAUUCAUGGUUAAACAACAGGCAAUCCUGCAGGAGACAUUUGCUCAACUCAGAAAUAAUAUGCAGGGUUCCACUUUGCCCGUUCUUCCUCCUCUUCCGACUCUUCCUAAUUUCAACUUUGUAAGUCUCUGAACUUUUCAGUCAUGCAUCUUACCUUCAUGCUUGAAGAUCAUGAAUCUUACCAUCUCAUCCUCUUGUGCUUCAAGUUUUCUCAGUCGGGACAAGGCUCCAAUAACUGUGUGGUAGGUGGAUCUUCACCUGGACAAGCAAGUCCAGUGACACCCACUACGGUUCAUGUUGCUUCGACCUCCCCGCAACACUGAUCACUUGAGGUAGUCUUCCAUGUUUGUCCAUUGUUGAUGCUUGCGUCUUCUCGUUGCUUGUGCUUCUCAACUUAAAACUUGUGCAUUGUUGAUGGUAGAGUCCACAAAUGUCGAUGCUUAUAUUGUACAUACUUCCUAGCUUCUAUUUGAGCCUCAUAUGUUGAUGCUUGUUAACUCUUUUUCCUUAUCCAUCUUUUCAACUUAUGUUUAGAAACUCAUGCGUGUGAUAAUGGACUUAUAGGUUUGCAUUGUGGGCGUUGACGGUGGGCAUAUAUGCUGCGGUGGAGCUCAUUGGUUCAUGCUUGGUGUGAACUUGGAACUCAUGAUCCUUUAAUUUGUGAACCUCUCGUUGCAUAUGUAUGUAUGUUGUUGUGAACCUUCGUUGGAUAUGUAUGCACUGUGUGGACCUGAAACUUACGGUCCUUUCGUUUGUGAUCUUUUGUUGCAUACGUAUGCAUAUGUGGACUCUGCACUCAUGUACGGCUGGAUAUAUGUAUUACUUGAUAUAUGCUUGUUGGUCAUGGUCAUGUACUGCUGGAUACAUAUAUUUGUUGGAUAUAUGUGCUGCUGGAUAGAUGUAUUACUGUAUAUAUGUUGUUGCUGCUCCCUGAAGUGAUAUAUGUGCUGCUGGAUAGAUGUACUAGUGUAUAUAUGUUGUUGCUGCUCCCUGAAGCACCUGUAUAUAUGUUAUAUGGCCUAUAAGCCGUGUAGCCAGCACCUGGCACCCGGCUUAUAAGCCAUAUGGCUGCGGCCAACACAUAAGCCGUGUAUCCCAACACCUGGCACCCGGUUUAUAGACCAUCUGGACACAUGAGCAGGCUAUAUAAACCGUGUACCUCAGUUAACCGGCGCCCGGCUUAUAUAUGUAUAUAAAAACUGUGUUGUUGUCUGCGGAACUCGGCUUAUAUAGUAACCGUGCGGUUUGCGGUUGCACCCGGCUUAUAUAUAAACCGUGUGUUCGUGGUCGCACCCGGCUUAUAUAUAAACCGUGCGUCCGCGGUUGCACCCGCCUUAUAUAUAAACCGUACGUACUGAGGUGCACUCGGUUUAUGUUUAAACCGUGCCCUGACGACGGUACUCGACUUAUAUAGACGGUGACACGUGGCCGUUAACAUCAGGCUACCGUUAUGUUACUUUAUUAAACCGAGAGCCCUGUGAAAAUACUCGGUUUAUACAUAAGCCGGGCUUUUUCGGUCCGGCUCUCGGCUUAUAUGGUAUAAGCCGAUUGACUGUAAACCGAGUGCUAUAAGCCGGGAGUUUUACUCGGCUUAUAUAUAAACCGAGUUUAAAUCGAUAUAAGCCAAGUGUAUUAGGUACACGGCUUAUAAGUUUUUCCCUGUAGUGCAUGUCCGGUCCGAUUGCUCGUGUUAGCUUCUCCGACAUGCCACUUCUUGCUUCCCUUGACUUUUCCACAAACUCCCUGACUGGGUGGCUCCCGACUAGCCUCGCCGGCUGUGGUGAGCUCAAGUCGCUCAACCUUGCCAACAAUAUAUUGGUCGGCACCAUCCCGUCGUGGAUUGGUGAGUUUGACAACCUUUGGUACUUGAAUCUCUCAAAUAAUUCAUUUGUUGGCGAGGUACCCAAGAGUUUGUUACGGCUCACUGGCCUCGCCGCCACGGGUCGUUCAUUGGGUAUGGUUUUCACUAACAUGCCCUCUUUCGUAAAUUACGAAAGAAGAGCACUCGAUGAACAACCAAAUACCAUAACUGGGACCAACAACACAGUGAGAUCUGGGCGCAACAACACCAUGUCUGAAAACGACAACAUUGUCAUGUCCGGAGACAGCAACACUGUGUCCGGGAGCUUCAACACCCUUGUAUGUGGGGACAACAAUGUUCUAACUGGUGAUCACCAUGUCGUAUCUAGGAGCAACCAUAUUGUAACUAACAGCUACAAUAAAGUAUCUGGGUGCACCAAUAAUGUAUCCGGCAGCCACCAUACCGUAUCCGGUAGCAACAAUGCCGUAUCUGGGAGCAACAAUACGGUAUCUGGGAGCAAUCAUGUCGUAUCCGGGAGCAACAAAAUCGUAACUGACGAUUAAUGAUCUGUCAGUGGAUUGAUUCCAUCCUCGAGAACGAGAUCCCGGAGCACAUCAGAGACUCGUGAGAAGAAGUUCUUCACCCAGAACCGAAAACCUAGGUACAUGGACCCCCAUAUCUUGUUCCAAGCUGGGAGGGCACCAUAAAGACCUUUUGUAUCUUUUACUGUUUUUAGCAUAUUUAAAUUUCCGCAACUAUAUACAUCCGUAUAUAGUCCAUGCGGAAAUUUCUAAAAGGGCUUAUAUUUAGAAACGGAGGAAGUUGUAUGUAUUUCCGUGCUUGCAAUAUUAGUGUUAACUUCCAGCCUACAAUGAGAAUUAUAUCAAAUGAUGCACUCGUCGUUUUUUGAUGAAUGUCUUUGUUACAGCUUCUGGUUAUUGUUAUUAGAUGUGUGACUCCUGUUGAAUGAUCCCUUACUUGAUAGUUUCGAAUUGGCCGCUAUUCAACACCAUUAGUGCUAAUUGUCAACAACAGCUUAUUCUUUGCCGAUAGAUACAAAUUGUGAGGUGGGGAAGUGGGUACAGACCGAAGUUGGGUAGGAAGCUGUUGUUGCUAGGUUACGACGAGGCUGUGGCAGUGCAUUGUUCAUAUACAGAUGGGUUGGACGUUAGCAUGUACCCACUUGCAUGAGCUGCACUUGACCUGACUUGGACAGGUUUUGGGAGAGAUGGAUUGCAGCACCCGAGCUCCACUGCUCUCUAUAUUUAAACAUUUUAAAAUUUGUAUUUUUGAAAUUUCAAAAAAAAUGUGAAUUUUUCGCAGGGAUACAUAUACACAUUCCGAAUACAGAAAAAAAAAUUCAGCUUCCGAAUACAAUUUUUUUGCAGGGAUACAUAUACACAUUCCGAAUACAAAUUUUUCGCAAGUUCCUGUAGAAAUCUCGUUUUGUUUUGGGCUACAGAAAAAGAUAAUUUCUGACACUAUAUAGGAGAAAAGGUGUGCCAUUUUCUGUCAGAAAUUUAUCUUUUUUGUAUUUCCCAAAAUAAAAAGUAUUUCUUUUUCAGCUUUUUACCAGGCCUUAGGAAUGUGUGUAUCUAUUCACGUAUUUGAUAUAAGAUUCUUUAAGCAACGAAACUGUGUUUUUCAAAAAUUUCAAAUACCAGGAGCCCUGGAGCCCGGUAGUUGCAGGCACUUUUUGAGGCUUGGGAAGGUCUCUCUCUGUCUCUCUCUCUCUCACACGCACGCACGCACGCGCACGCACGCGCACACGCGCACACGCGCACACAUGUAGUCAUAGGUGUGGCGAUGCAUGGCUUUGACUGGCUGCAGUGAAUUGUUGGUUUUGUUUUGUCCUUUUUCUUCUUCCUCCUCCUUAUUUUCAUCCUCUUGUUCCACGUACAUGCAUGCUCCUCCUCCUCGUGCAUUAUCUCUUUGUCUGUGACAUGCAUCCAUGUAUGGAUUUUUUUUCUCCUACGGUAAAAUUUCUCCCAUGAGGGCAAUUCUCGUUGUUUUUAUUCCUUUCCUUCACUUGCAUGAGCCCCCUGCCGGAUAUACAUCAAUACAUGCAUGCAGCACUUGCAUUAGCAGCCCUACGCGUUUGAGACGUGCUCUGUAAGAAAGUAAGCUGUUUUUGGGCUAGCUACAGUCAUUUCACGCUGUUUUUGUCGGUAAGUAAUUUUCCAGCUUGAAAAAGGUAUUUGGUCUGAAAAACCUGGAAACUUGCAUGAAAUAAAAAUACAAACUUGCAUCGAAAACUACAGAUUGUACAAAAAUAGGCUGGAAUCAUCGUAAUAGUUGGAGUUGCAAGAACUCAUCUACAAUACGAAACUAUCAAUCAACCAUGCAUACAAAAAGCGCAGAUGGUUUUUUUUACCUUUGUUGAUAUUUCAUCGAACACCUAGUGUGCGAGGAGGAGAAAUCCGUCCGGCGAGCCAUCAGUGGCUUGCGGCUGUCGGGAGGGGGUGGACAACGGCUACUGGAAGUGCUCCCUCGACAUGCAUACGGCGGUUAUGCAUCCGGAACUCGGAGACGUAGCCGUUGUCGCCUAAAUUAAAUGCCGCCGACUCUCUGCUCGGCCGUGGCGGUGGGGCGACCGCUGUGGAGCUCCGGCGGCCGCUAGGCCAUAAUGUAGGGGCACAACUGACUGGCCAUGGCGACUACAAUGGUGAAUCGAUGUGGCGGCCACGACGCGGGCGCAGGCCAAAUCGGGGCGGGCGGAGGAGCUCCGUUGUGCAAGGCGAUCAGCGGUGCGUCUUUCUUUUGGCUUAUUUGUGCUGCGGCCAAGCGAGCUCGAUGUAUCGGGUAUUUGCUUUAUAAUAUAAAGUAGGGGACCCUUUAUCGUAUAAGCAGUGCGUCUGAUGUGCGGAGCAUGCGAAGCCACGAGACUCAGCGUACAUAUGUACGCUGUGACACCAAAAUGCAAUAACAAAUGAUACAAAGCCUCAUUAUUAACUGCAUAUUUUCUAAUCAUUCUAAUCUUCAAGCGCAUUGCAUCCAUCUUGAUCUUGUGAUCAUCGACGACAUCAGCAACAAACAACUCCAGUUUCAUCUUCUCUUCUUCAAUUCUUUUCAAUUUUUUUUCAAAUACUCAUUUUCUUUUUCAACUAAAUUUAACUUCUCAACAAGAGGGUCGGUUGCAAUUUCCGCUUCACAUACCUCCUAAAUAAAAAUAUCUAUGUCAACUUGAUGGGAAGAAUUGUCAUAAACAUGAAAUGCAACAAAUAGUUAUCAAAGAGAAUAUACCACAUCCAAAUCAUAAACCGGACAAGGGCUGACGGAUAUCAAAUCCAUGCCACUAUGUAUAAUAAACAAAGUACGUGUAAGAAAAUUAUACAAGUAACUAUCUAAAUCUCAUAGACAUGAUUUUUUUUAUAAAAAGGAUAAGAAUAAGAGGCUCACCAAGGUGGUGAUGACGACAGGACGGUACGGGCGAUGGACGGUGGUUAGGACGGGGACGGGAUGGCACUAAGUAAACCACACCUACAUAUGCAAAUUAAGAAGUUAAUUUGAGCUCAAAUUGCAUAUAAAUCAAAUAAACUACCACAUAUAAUUACUCCCAAACUAAAACCCAAAAAUCACUAUACUUAUAGAGCAUUGCAAGAGCUAAUCUAGAAAUGAGAGAUGAAAGAACAAAGUUGCUGACGGUGUCCUGGACUAGGGGUACUCAUCACAUCGUCUCGCGACCAGGUGGAUCUGGCCGAGGACCCCUGUUGGGGAUAUGAUUACUGAGUUAAACCGCCCAGGAAGGGGCCGGAUUAACUCACAAGGAGUCCUGUGCAAGAGCCCAUGAAGAUGAAGGCUAUGGCGCUUUAACCAUGAAGACAUAGAGGCCCAGAGCCCGAUGGCGGAUUAGGGCCCAUAAUGGUAAACCGCCAUAGAUGUGUAACUUGUGUUGUAAGUCAGGGAAAGGAGAAACCGAGUCGGACACUUGUAUGAGCCGAACUCGGGAUCUUGUAAACCGGCCGGGCGUCAACCUGUGUAUAUAAAGGGACGACCCGGCGGCGGUUCAGGGACAAGAAACAACAACUCGAAAGCCAGACAUAUCGUGUUUGCCCCCUGGUAAUCGAGACCACAUCAAAAACACCCCAACUGGAUCGUAGGCUUUUACCUUCACCGCAAGGGGCCGAACCAGGACAAACUCCCUGUGUCCUUUGUCCGGUUUAACCCUUCUAAGCUAACCCGUUGCGAUGGCUCCACGACUAAGUCCUUUCACUAGGACAUCUGACGUGAUAAUUCCACGACAGUUAGCGCCCACCGUGGGGCGAUCGCACGAUGGUUUCAAGUUCUUAGAGGGCAAGUUCGAAGGGCUCAAGGGAUACGCAGUGGUCCGGAUGACUAAGAGUCGUCGCGGCAAGCUCUACAUCAAUGACACAAGCUGGGGCCCCGACGCCGGCUCAGUCGAGUACGGAUACCGGGUCCCCUUCGGAGGAAUUCACGUCUUCAUCGGCAAGAUCGGCGAACCGGGCCCUGAGUCGGACAUCUGCACCGACCACGUCGAGAUGGCUCAGCGUGCGAGCCCUACCCGGGGUCAGCCCGCCAUGAAGCAUGCGUUCGUAGGAUGUAUCCAUAGGAUCGAAUCUGAACCGGUGUCCGAUGGUGAGACGGCCGUUUACUCCGAUGGUGAGUCAUCUACCGGUGAGACUGAGUCUUUGUAUCAAGUUCAGGAUGGCCUGUUUGGGGGGUAUUCCGAUGGCAGCAAUAUUCCGGACCCCUUUGAACCGCCAAACCGGGUUGCAAUCUUCAUGGCUGGCACGCAACUCGUCCGACAAUCUUCAACAGCAGCGGCGAUAAUCUCCGGAUCAACAGCUGGGGCAGGUGGCCCUGGGCGCCCGUCGGUUCAAGUCUUGUCUGGAUUAUUGGACGCUUUGGCAACAUUAUUGACUGCUGAAGUUAGUACGGAAAAUCGGGAGGAGCAUAAUACGGAAGUCAGAAAGUUGCGAGAGCAGAUAGCUCAGGCUAAUUAAGGAGGACAUGGCUGCUGAGGAGACCAGGAUGGUCGAGGAACGAAUCGCUUUAAAUGCUAAGGCACAGCGAGUUCAUGCAGAGGCUUACCGGCUUAUGUUGCAUCAGAACGCUUCAAACGAAGUGAUGAUGAGAAGGCACCAAUCUCGUCUGCCGUCGGUUUACGAAGGAAGAAAUCUUUUUAACACGCCAGGAGUGGGCACUAGCAACCCGCCCGUGGUGAACCCGAUUGAAGCACCAAGUACAGGAGCGCUAGAUCAGCUGGGCAUGAUGGGUCCGCCUCAGCAGAAUCAUGAUCCUCCGCAAUACGCACCAGCUCCACCGGGUCAUUUUGCCACCCCUUUGGACAACAUGAUUGCUGCAGCGUCAAGAUUGGCUGCUAUUCCAAUGGAAGGUGACUCCCUGAUACGUCUCCAACGUAUCUAUAAUUUUUGAUUGUUCCAUGCUAUAAUAUUACCUGUUUUGGAAGCUUAUGGGCUUUAUUCUACAUAUUUAUAUCAUUUUUGGGACUAACCUACUAACCGGAGGCCCAGCCGAUAUUGUUGUUUUUUUUGCCUAUUUCAGUAUUUUGAAGAAAAGAAAUAUCAAACGGAGUCCAAACGAAAUGAAACCUUCGGGAGUGUUAUUUUUGGAACAAAUCAGAUCCGGAGAGACUGGAGUGCAAGUCAAGAAAGCUCCGAGGGCCCCACGAGAUAGGAGGGCGCGACCCCCUAUAGGGCGUGCCACCUGUCUCGUGGGCCCCUCGGGCGUCCACUGAUGUACUUCUUCCUCCUAUAUAUACCUACGGACCCCGAAAACAUCCAGGGGCACCACGAAACACAAUUUCCACCACCGUAACCUUCUGUAUCCGCGAGAUCCCAUCUUGGAGCCUUCGCCGGCACUCUGCCGGAGGGGGAAUCAACAACGAAGGGCCUCUACACCAACAUCCUUGCCCCUCCUAGGAGUUGUGAGUAGUUUCCAUAGACCUACGGGUCCAUAGUUAUUAGCUAGAUGGCUUCUUCUCUCUUUUUGGAUCUCAAUACAAUGUUCUCCCCCUCUCUUGUGAAGAUCUAUUCGAUGUAAUCUCUUUUUGCGGUGUGUUUGUCAAGAUCCGAUGAAUUGUGAGUUUAUGAUCAGAUUCAUCUAUGGUUAUUAACUGAAUCUUCUCUGAAUUCUUUUAUGUAUGAUUGAGUUAUCUUUGUAAAUCUCCUCGAAUUAUCGGUUUGGUUUGGCCUACUAGAUUGAUCUUUCUUGCCAUGGGAGAAGUGCUUAGUUUUGGGUUCAAUCUUGCGGUGUUCUUACCCAGUGAUAGAAAGGGUUGCAAGACACGUAUUGUAUUGUUGCCAUCGAGGAUAACAAGAUGGGGUUUAUAUCAUAUUGCAUGAGUUUAUCCCUCUACAUCAUAUCAUCUUGCUUAAUGCGUUACUCCGUUCUUAUGAACUUAAUACUCUAGAUGCAUGCUGGAUAGCGGUCGAUGUGUGGAGUAAUAGUAGUAGAUGCAGGCAGGAGUCGAUCUACUUGUUUUGGAUGUGAUGCCUAUAUACAUGAUCAUGCCUAGAUAACGUCAUAAUUAUUCGCUUUUCUAUCAAUUGUUUGACAGUAAUUUGUUCACCCACCGUAAUACUUAUGCUCUCGAGAUAAGCCUCUAGUGAAACCUAUGGCCCCCGGGUCUAUCUCUUAUCAUAUUUGCUUUCAAUCUACUUUAAUUUUGCAUCUUUACUUUCUUGCAUUUAUAUUACAAAAUACCAAAAAUAUAUUUAUCUUAUCAUACUAUCUUUAUUAGAUCUCACUUCCGCAAGUGGCCGUGAAGGGAUUGACAACCCCUUUAUUGCGUUGGUUGCGAGUUCUCAGUUUGUUUGUGUAGGUGCGUGGGACUUUUGAGGAGCCUCCUACUGGAUUGAUACCUUGGUUCAUAAAACUGAGGGAAAUACUUACGCUACACUUGCUGCAUCACCCUCUCCUCUUCGGGGAAAACUAACGCUAGCUCAAGACGUAGCAAGAAGGAUUUCUGGCGCCGUUGCCGGGGAGGUCUUCGCUCAAGUCAAGACAUACCAAGUACCCAUCACAAACUCAUCUCCCUCGCAUUUACAUUAUUUGCCAUUUGCCUCUCGUUUUCCUCUCCCCCCACUUCACCCUUGCCGUUUUAUUCUCCCUCUCUUUCCCAAUCUCCUCCUCUCUUUUCCGUUUGCCGUUUUCUAUUUGCUUGUGUGUUGGAUUACUUGUUGCCAUGGCACAAGAUAAUACCAAGUUGUGUGAUUACUCGAAUACCAAUAAUAAUUAUUUCCUUAAUACUCCGAUUGCUCCUCUUAAUGAUGUUGAGUCUUGUGAAAUCAAUACUGCCUUGCUGAAUCUUGUUAUGAAAGAUCAAUUCGCCGGCCUUCCUAGUGAAGAUGCCGCUACUCAUCUAAAUAAUUUUAUUGAUUUGUGUGAUAUGCAAAAGAAGAAAGAUACGGAUAAAAAUAUUGUCAAAUUGAAGUUAUUUCUGUUUUCACUUAGAGAUCGUGCUAAAGUUUGGUUUUCGUCUUUGCCUAAAAAUAGUAUUGAUUCUUGGAACAAGUGCAAAGAUGCUUUUAUCUCUAAGUAUUUUCCUCCCACUAAGAUCAUCACUCUUAGGAAUGAUAUUAUGAAUUUUAAACAACUUGAUCAUGAGCAUGUUGCCCAAUUUUGGGAAAGAAUGAAAUUGAUGCUUCGCAAUUGCCCUACUCAUGAUUUGAAUUUAUGGAUGAUCAUACAAAAUUUUUAUGCCGGUUUGAACUUUGCUUCUAGAAAUCUCUUAGAUUCGGCCGCGGGGGGCAUGUUUAUGGAAAUUACGUUAGGAGAUGCUACAAAAUUGCUUGACAAUAUUAUGGCUAAUUAUUCUCAAUGGACACCGAAAGAUCUUCUAGUAAAAAAGUGCAUACUAUAGAAGAAAUCAAUGUUUUGAGUGGAAAGAUGGAUGAACUUAUGAAGAUGUUUGCUACUAAAAAUACUCCUCUUGAUCCCAAUGAUAUGCCUUUGUCUUCUUUGAUUGAGAAUAAUAAUGAAUCUAUGGAUGUGAAUUUUGUUGGUAGGAAUAAUUUUGGAAACAAUGCUUAUAGAGGAAAUUUUAAUGCUAGACCGUUCCCUAGUAAUACCUCUAAUAAUUAUGGAAAUUCCUACAAUAAUUCUUAUGGUAAUUUUAAUAAGAUGUCCUCUGAUUUUGAUAAUAGUGUGAAAGAAUUUAUGAUUUCUCAAAAGAAUUUUAAUGCUUUGCUUGAAGAAAAAUUGCUCAAAGUUGAUUUGGCUAGGAACGUUGAUAGACUUUCGCUUGAUGUUAAUUCUCUUAAACUUCGAUCUUCUUCUCCUAAGCAUGAUAUCAAUGAGUCUCUCAAAGUAAUGAGAAUUUCCAUUGACGAGUGCAAGGAAAGAACCGCUAGAUUGCGUGCUAAGAAAGAAAGCUUUAUAAAAGCAUGUUCUUCUAGUCUAGAUGAAAAUAAUGAUGAGGAUCUUAAAGUUAUUGAUGCGUCUCCUAUCAUAUCUGUGAUUAUGGGACUGAUGAUGAAUCAACUUUGCCUAGAAGGCGUCCCAAAAAUUCGGAGUCUUUAGAUCUUAAUUCUAAAUUUGGUAAAAGAGAGAUUGGAGAAUCCUCAACUUCUAAUAAUGUUGAACCUACUAUCUUGGAUUUCAAGGAAUUUGAUUAUGAUAAUUGCUCUUUAAAAGGUUGUAUUUCCUUGUUGCAAUCCGUUGUUAAUUCUCCUCAUGCUUAUAGUCAAAACAAAGCUUUUACCAAACAUAUUGUUGAUGCCUUGAUGCAAUCUUAUGAUGAAAAACAUAAUUUGGAAGUUUCUAUACCUAAAAACCUUAAUGAUGAGUGGGAACCUACUAUAAAGAUUAGAAUUAAAGAUUUUGAGUGUUUUGCUUUGUGUGAUUUGAGUGCUAGUGUUUCCACAAUUCCGAAAACUUUAUGUGAUAUUCUAGAUUUCCAUGAUCUUGAUGAUUGCUCGUUAAAUUUGCAUCUUGCGGAUUCCACCAUUAAAAAACCUAUGGGAAGGAUCAAUGAUGUUCUUAUUGUUGCAAAUAGAAAUUUGGUGCCCGUAGAUUUUAUCGUUCUUGAUAUAGAUUGCAAUCUUUCUUGCCCUAUUAUUCUUGGUAGACCUUUCCUUAGAACGAUUGGUGCGAUUAUUGGUAUGAAGGAAGGGAACAUUAGAUUCCAAUUUCCCUUAAAGAAAGGCAUGGAGCACUUUCCAAGAAAGAAAGUCAAAUUACCUUAUGAAUCUAUCAUGCGCGCUACUUAUGAAUCAAGUGCCAAAGAUGGCACUCGUUAGAUCUAUCCUUGCUUUUAUGCCUAGCUAGGGGCGUUAAACCAUAGCGCUAGUUGGGAGGCAACCCAAUUUUCUUUAUGUUCUUUGUUUUUGUUCCUGUUUAGUGUUAAAUUCUGUUUCUACUUUCUGUUUAGAUGUGUUUGUAUCUUUUGUUUAGUGUUUGUGCCAAGUAGAACCUAUAGGAUAAACUAUGAUGAUGGUUGAUUUGAUUCUGCCGAAAAAGAGAAACUUUGCGCUCACGAGAAAAAAUUCAAUAAAUCACAGAAAAGUGCUUUUGCAUUGAUUCUUUUUGCUGAUGAUCAAUAAACAAAUUGUACAGUAUGUCCUAUUUUGGUACGAUUUUUAGAUUUCUGAAGCAUUAGUUACAGAUUGCUACAGAUUGUUCUGUUUUUGACAGAUUCUGCUUUUCAUGUGUUGUUUGCUUAUUUCAAUGCAUCUAUGGCUAAUAAAUUAGUUUAUAAGCCAUAAGGAAGUUGGAGUACAGUAGGUUUAACAUCAAAAUAAAUAAAGAAUGAGUUCAUUACAGUACCUUAUGUGGUGGUUUUGUUUUCUUUUACUAACGGAGCUUAUAAGAUUUCCUGUGGUGUUUUGUGUUGUGAAGUUUUGAAGUUUUGGGUAAAGCUUUUAUGGACUAUGGAAUAAAGAGUGGAAAGAGCCUAAGCUUGGGGAUACUUAUGGCACCCCAAUAUAUUCAAGAAUAGCCAAAAGCCUAAGCUUGGGAUGCCCCAGGAAGGCAUCCCGUCUUUCGUCUUCGUUCAUUGGUAACUUUACUUGGAGCUAUAGUUUUAUUCGCUACAUGACAUGUGUUUUGCUUGGAGAGUCGUGUAUUAUAUUGGUCCUUGCUUGUUAGUUUACCACAAUCAUACUUGCUGUAACACACCUUUUUGGAUAAGCCUAUUUGUUUAGAACUAGAUGAUGCCCCGUGCGUUGCUGCGGGACAGGUGUAAAUACAUAUUCAUAGAAUUAGAGAUAAAAUAUAAAGAAACAUUUUCUAGGUGCCCCGCGGAUUGCCGCGGGUGCAAAAAGAAUCCCGUACAUAAGUCUCAUAUACAAAGGAAAUAUCACUGAGAAUCCACAUAAACAAAACUUACGAUAUGUGGCUCGGUGUUACAAUUUCUACUGAUCCCUAGCAUCCGUAUGAAAAAUCAGCUUGUCAAUGUGAAAGUUUUCUUUUACCUAUAAAAAAACUUUGGUUACAAACUUUGAAUCAAUACAAUUAACCACAAUAAUUAAUUUUGCCAAGGCAUGAACAGGGUAUAAAUCAAAAUCACACUGUAUAAUCUAGAAUGAUAUAUGUUGCUUUAUGUCCAAGCGAAAGAGAUAUCCACUGCUGAAAAGGCAUAUGAAAUUCAGAGACAUAUAUUAUCAAUCAAGCACUUGUGUGGGACGAAUGGAAAAAAGAAAAUCAAAAUUGCAUUAACAAUCUAAAAUGAUAUCCGAUACCUUAUGUCCAAGUAAAAGAGCAUCUUCACGAAGUCCAUAUGGGAGCACAUGGAGCUUAUAAGCCUAGACCAGAGAGUGUCGGACGUGUGUGGAGUGGAUGAGCAAAUGUUGCAGAUUACAGAGUAGGGACUGGGAAGUGACCGGAAAGGCAAAAUCUGAACGACCUACCACAUAGAGCUGAUGCGCUAGCCCCAACCGUGGAGUACCAUUGGAAGCCAAGUUUGCUGAUUGAGUCGGAUUCCUCGUCACCGACGGCAACCGCAGGGGCAUAGCAAAGACGUUCCGAAGCCUCAGCGGUUGUGCCCUUCUUCGACGAUCCGGGAUUCUGGGUAUCCCGCAACGGAACAACAGUCCAUCUUGUGUUCCCACAAUCAAAGAGACACCGGAGGCGAGGCAGGCGAGGCGAGGAAAACCGGCUGGCGUGCGGCAGGAGAUUUGAAGCAGAGCAAAUGGGGUGCACAACGACAUGUCUUCCAUGACGACGUGGGUGCUCGGCAACGGAAUCGCGUCGCGACCCACUCUCAUAGUGGCAUCAGGACAAAGGAAGAGCAUCAAUGGUGCGAGAAGAUGGUAGUAGAGACAGGUUGAUAGACGCGAAGGCCGUGGCCGUGCCGUUUAAUCUAGCCUCUUCUUUGGGUAACGGAGGGCGAAGUAAUGAGGCGCGAUCAAUGUUUCGGUUUCAUGUGCAUUUGCGCCAGGGAGAGAUUCGGCCACGAGCCCGCGACAACAGAAGAGAUAACGGCGACGAUGAUUCAUAGCGGAGAAGUUUUAUUUUUUGAGCAAAUCAUAGCGGAGAAGAUGACCUAGUGCCGUGGUUGACCCCCAUGGGCUAUACAGCCCACAUGCAUAACAUACUAACAUUGAAUCGGGCCCUGUGUUUUGAUUUUCGGCCGAAAAAAGUGGACUUCGGCCGAAUUUCGGCCAUCUCGGCCUGGGGCGAAAAGUAUAUUAGGCCAAAAUUGCUCAAAUUUGGCAAAUUUUGGUUAAAUUUAAGUCAAAUUGUAGUCAAAAUUUGGUCAAAUUUCAGCCAAAAUUUUAGAAAAUGGCCGAAAUUCGGCCAUCUCGGCCUAGGGCGAAAAAAAGCUCAAACCGAAAAUCAAAACACAGAUCGGGCCCCAUGUGCGCAAACACAACCCACAUGCAGCUCGGGCAACCCACAGUUAGUACGUGGGUUUGUAAAGCCCAAGCGAUGGAAGUCGGGGAAGGCAGCCAGAGUUAGCGCACGACAGCUGAUUGCGUUCAAGCUUGAUCGAAUGGCUAAUAAUAAUUCAGGUGACGUGGCUGCACGAGAAUCCAAGAAAAUCAGGUAGUGGGGUGCUUCUAUUUAGAUAUAGAAGAUUUGCAAGAAUACUCUAUGUGCUUCACUUAUAUCUUUUGAGCUUAAUAGUUUUUGCUCUAGUGCUUCACUUAUAUCUUUUAGAGCAUGGUGGUGGAUUAAUUUUAUAGAAAUUGCUAGUCUCUCAUGCUUCACUUAUAUUAUUUUGAGAGUCUCUUAGAAUAGCAUGAUAUUUUCUAUGGUUUUAAUUUGGUCCUAAAAUGAUGAGCAUCCAAGUUGGGUAUAAUAAAAACUAUCAUAGAAAGUGAAUUGGAUGUUAUGAUCAAUUUGAUGCUUAAUAAUUGUUUUGAGAUAUGGAGGUAGUAAUAUUAAAGUCAUGCUAGUUGGGUGAUUAUGGAUUUAGAGAAUGCUUGUGUUGAAGUUUGUGAUUUCCGUAGCAUGCACGUAUGGUGAACCGCUUUGUGAUGAAGUUGGAGCACAAUUUUAUUGAUUGUCUUCCUUAUGAGUGGCAGUCGGGGAUGAGCGAUGGUCUUUUCCUACCAAUCUAUCCCCCUAGAAGCAUGCAUGUAGUGCUUUGAUGUUUGAUGACUUCUAAAUUUUUACAACAAGUAUAUGAGUUCUUUUGAUUAAUGUUGAGUCCAUGGAUUAUACACACUCACUACUAGGGAAAAGCCUAUACACAGAAUCUUAUCAGAAGCACGCUUUAAAAUAAGGCGCUGCUGCUAAUUAGCAGUAGCAUGCUCAGGAAUAACUCGCUGCUGAAACCAAUAUAGCAGUAGCACGCCCGCUCAAAGACGCGCUACUGCUAUAAUUCCCACGAGGCCGCCACGAGGCUAGUUAUAGCAGCAACGCGUUAUAACGACAGGCGCUACUGCUACGUAGCAUAGUAGCAGCGCAUUUCUGCAAUAAGCACUACUGCUAAAUUUACUACAAAAAUUUAGCCCCGUCUCCUCUAUCCGAUCCACUCACACAGUCACACACUAGCUCACUGGAUCCCCUCUCAAUCCCCCGCGCCGGUCCACCCCCGUCGCCCCUUCUCCGUCUGCGCCGCCGUCACCUCCUCCUCCUUGCUGGACUCGGUACCGGCCUCCUCCUCCGUCCUCCCUCUCCACUCGCCGCUGGCCGGCCCCUCCUCGCUCCGCCUUCCUCCUUCGUCCUCCCUCCACUGGCCGCGCCGGCCGGCCCCUCCUCGCUCCGCCUUCCUCCUCCAUCCUACUCUCUUCUCCCUCUUCGAGUCGCCCCUCCUUCUCCCUCCUGCCUGCUACAUUUUGAUUUAGUAGCUAGGCUAGUUCAUAUGCAACAUUUUGAUUUAGUUGAUAUGAUUUAGUUGAUUUAGUAGGCUAGUUGAUUUAGUUGACUUAGAACAUUUUGAUUUAGUUGAUUUAAUAGGCUAGUUCAUUUAGUUGAUUUGGUUGACUUAGAACAUUUUGAUUUAGUUGAUUUAGUAGGCUAGUUCAUUUAAUUAGUUGAUUUAGAACAUUUUGAUUUAGUUGAUUUAGUAGGCUAGUUGAUUUAGUUGAUUUAGAACAUUUUGAUUUAGUUGAUUUAGUAGGCUAGUUGAUUUAGUUGACUUAGAACAUUUUGAUUUAGUUGAUCGUUAAUCCUUUGCUCAUAUUGCUUUAGGAAAAAUGGCGCCACCACCACCACCACUAUGUCGACUGUGCAAGUCAAGAUGCGCCAACAGCCUUGCAACUGAUCAACGUCUCCUUCCGAGCAGAAAGACCCAAGCUAGCUGUCAUUUAUCUCAACCUGGUGGAAGAUGAUGAAGAUGGCGGAGAUGAUGAAGAUGAUGAAGAUAAUGAGGACCCACUCGAUGAAGAUGAUGAGGACCCACUUCAUGAAGCCAUCAUAGCUCAAAGAACAAGGCUGAGUGAGGAGGAGGUGUCCAACCUAUGGGACAUAAUUCCGCCACGUGCUGACUUUGUCGGGGUGCCAUUCGUGACUCGCUUGACAAAUACCAUGGUUGAUCGACAUGAUAUGGUAUGUUAUACUUACAAAUGCAAAUUAUCCAAUGAAUUACUUAGUGUACAGUCCAAUGAUAUGGUAUGAUGUGUGGAAUCUAGUCGAUGAUAUGUUUUAGUGUAGAGUUCGAUCACCUGCUUAUUAGUGUAGAAUCUAACGAAACUAUUAAUAGUGUAGAUAAUCCAUAUGUACUUAUUUGCGAGGCAAUUUAUUAAUUGAUAUGUUUUUCUUAUUCAGAAAUUGGCAAAGAGCAUAUCUGUGAGUUAUGGUAUCGAGCCUGAUGAAGAAGGCUCGGCUGGACUACGCCUUACUGCAAGGGGCUCCGUCACAACCUGUACUGACCGCGUGGAUACGGACGGUCGCACACACUUAAACUCGGUUGGGUGGAAGAAAUUCCUCGAUGGCAAGAAUCUUCGUGUUGGACAGGCCAUCCUAAUUACUAUCAGGAACACCAACCGCCCAGGCUUAAGGAUGAUGAUUGUCUUCGAUAUCAUGUAGAACUACAUAUGUGUGUGUGUGGCUAUAUCAUCUAGAACUAUAUAUGUGUGUGUGGCUAUAUCAUCUAGAACUACAUAUGAUGAUCGUCGUCGAUAUCAUGUAGAACUACAUAUGAUGAUGGCCGUUGAUAUGACCUUGUACUGCUUGAGGAUGCAUGUUGACUAUGCAUGAAAUUGUUAUCUAGUACUCCCUUCGUUCCAAAUUACUCGUCGUGGUUUGAACUAAAACUACGACGAGUAAUUUGGAACGAAGGGAGUACUAUCUAGUAAUGGUUUAUGAAUUUGAUAUCUACUAGCAGUACCUAGUAUCUAGUAUCUGAAAGGGAAACUGAAAGGGAAAGGGGUAAUGGGAAAAUGAUGAAAGAUAUAGCAGUAGCGAGGGAUGGCGAAAUCGCUACAGCUAGGUAAUAGUAGCGCAUUCUUAAAAAGCGUUGCUGAUAUCGUAAACAGUAGUAGCGCGGGUAAGGGCCGCGCUACUACUAUAAGUUAGCUGUAGCGCCUUAUUAGUAGCGCGUCCACCCGCGCUGCUGCUAGCCUCAAAACCCGUGCUACUACUAGGGUUUUCCCUGGUAGUGACUCCUUUCACCAUCCAUUAUUGCUAGCCUCUCUUGUAUCGUGCAACUUUCGCCGGUACCAUACACCCACCAUAUACCUUCCUCAAAACAGCCACCAUACCUACCUAUUAUGGCAUUUCCAUAGCCAUUCCGAAAUAUAUUGCCAUGCAACUUUCCACCGUUCCGUUCAUAUGACACACAUUACUUUUGUCAUAUUGCUCUUUGCAUGAUCAUGUAGUUGACAUCGUAUUUGUGGCAAAGCCACCAUCAUAUUUUUCAUACAUGUCGCUCUUGAUUCAUUGCAUAUCCCGGUAUACCGCGGGAGGCAUUCACAUAGAGUCAUAUCUUGUUCUAGCUUUGAAUUGUAAAUCCAUAAAAGUGUGAUGAUCUUCAUUAUUAGAGCAUUGUCCCGGUGAGGAAAGGAUAAUGAAGACUAUGAUUCCCCCACAAGUCGGGAUGAGACUUCGGACUUUACAAAAAAAAGAAAGGCCAAAAAAAGGCCAAAGAAAAAAAUGAAAGAAAAAAAAGAAUGAGAGAAAAAGAGAGAAAGGACAAUGCUACUAUCUCUUUUUCCACACUUGUGCUUCAAAAUAGCACCAUGAUCUUCAUGAUAGAGAUUCUCAUAUGUUGUCACUUUCAUUUACUAGUGGGAAUUUUUCAUUAUAGAACUUGGCUUGUAUAUUCUAAUGAUGGGCUUCCUCAAAAUGCACUAGGUCUUCGUGAGCGAGCAAGUUGGAUGCACACCCACUGGUUUUCUUUUGUUGAGCUUUCAUAUAUUUAUAGCUCUAGUGCAUCCGUUGCAUGGCAAUCCCUACUCACUCACAUUGAUAUCUAUUAAUGGUCAUCUCCAUAGCCCGUUGAUAUGCCUAGUUGAUGUGAGACUAUCUUCUCCUUUUUUGUCUUCUCCACAACCACCGUUCUAUUCCACAUAUAGUGUUAUGUCCAUGGCUCACGCUCAUGUAUUGCGUGAAAGUUGAAAAAGUUUGAGAUUAUUAAAGUAUGAAACAAUUGUUUGGCUCGUCAUCGGGGUUGUGCAUGAUUAAAUACUUUGUGUGAUGAAGAUAGAGCAUAGCCAGACUAUAUGAUUUUGUAAGGAUAACUUUCUUUUGGCCAUACUAUUUUGAGAAGACAUGAUUACUUGCUUGGUAUGUUUGAAGUAUUACUAUUUCUUAUGUCAAUAUGAACUUUUAUUUUGUAUUAUUUCGAUCUGAAAAUUCAUGCCACAAUGAAAGAAAAUUACAUUAUGAAUUAUGCUAGGUAGCAUUCCACAUCAAAAAUUCUCUUUUUAUCAUUUACCUACUCGAGGACGAGCAGGAAUUAAGCUUGGAGAUGCUUGAUACGUCUCCAACGUAUCUAUAAUUUUGAUUGUUCCAUGCUAUUAUAUUACCUGUUUUGGAUGCUUAUGGGCUUUAUUCUACAUAUUUAUAUCAUUUUUGGGACUAACCUACCAAUCGGAGGCCCAGCCCAUAUUGUUGUUUUUUUGCCUAUUUCAAUAUUUCGAAUAAAAGGAAUAUGAAACGGAGUCCAAAUGGAGUGAAACCUUCGGGAGCGUUAUUUCUGGAACAAAUCUGAUCCGGAGAGCCUGGAGUGCAAGUCAAGAAAGCUCCGAGGGCCCCACGAGAUAGGAGGGCGCGCCCCUUGUCUCGUGGGCCCCUCGGGCGUCCACGGACGUACUUCUUCCUCCUAUAUAUACCUAUGGACCCCGAAAACAUCCAGAGGCACCACGAAACACAAUUUCCACCACCGCAAACUUCUGUAUCCGCGAGAUCCCAUCUUGGAGCCUUCGCCGGCACUCUGCUGGAGGGGGAAUCGACUAUGGAGGGCCUCUACAUCAACAUCCUUGCCCCUCCUAUGAGUUGUGAGUAGUUUACCACAGACCUACGGGUCCAUAUUUAUUAGCUAGAUGGAUUCUUCUCUCUUUUUCGAUCUCAAUAUAAUGUUCUUCCCCUCUCUUGUGGAGAUCUAUUCGAUGUAAUCUCUUUUUGCGGUGUGUUUGUCAAGAUCCGAUGAAUUGUGAGUUUAUGAUCAGAUUCAUCUAUGGUUAUUAAUUGAAUCUUCUCUGAAUUCUUUUAUGUAUGAUUGAGUUAUCUUUGCAAGUCUCUUCAAAUUAUCGAUUUGGUUUGGCCUACUAGAUUUAUCUUUCUUGCCAUGGGAGAAGUGCUUAGCUUUGGGUUCAAUCUUGCGGUGUUCUUACCCAGUGACAGAAAGGGUUGCAAGACACGUAUUUUAUUGUUGCCAUCGAGGAUAGCAAGAUGGGGUUUAUAUCAUAUUGCAUGAGUUUAUCCCUCUACAUCAUAUAAUCUUGCUUAAUGCCUUACUCCGUUCUUACGAACUUAAUACUCUAGAUGCAUGCUGGAUAGCGGUCGAUGUGUGGAGUAAUAGUAGUAGAUGCAGGCAGGAGUCGAUCUACUUGUUUUGGAUGUGAUGCCUAUAUACAUGAUCAUGCCUAGAUAACGUCAUAAUUAUUCGCUUUUCUAUCAAUUGCUUGACAGUAAUUUGUUCACCCACCGUAAUACUUAUGCUCUCGAGAGAAGCCUCUAGUGAAACCUAUGGCCCCCGGGUCUAUCUCUUAUCAUAUUUGCUUUCAAUCUACUUUUAUUUUGCAUCUUUACUUUCUUGCAUCUAUAUUACAAAAUACCAAAAAUAUAUUUAUCUUAUCAUACUAUCUUUAUUAGAUCUCACUUUCGCAAGUGGCCGUGAAGGGAUUGACAACCCCUUUAUUGCGUUGGUUGUGAGUUCUCAAUUUGUUUCUGUAGGUGCGUGGGACUUUUGAGGAGCCUCCUACUGGAUUGAUACCUUGGUUCUCAAAAACUGAGAGAAAUACUUACGCUACACUUGCUGCAUCACCUUCUCCUCUUCGGGGAAAACCAACGCUAGCUCAAGACGUAGCACUCCCCCAUAGCGGUUGAGACAUGUCGGGCUAGGGAUUUACUCCAGACAGCAAUGGUUCAGCAACAGGCUUAUUCGUACAGUCGGGACAUGAUACACACUAACCCUCGUCCAAGUCGGAGUUACAGCCGGCGUGUUGAAGAGCCAGCUGUGUCAAGCAGUGGACGGAAUCAUCAUCCGCCACGGAGGCCUAACCUGGCAGGGGGAAGGAAGCGCAGGAUUUAGUGGACCAAGGACGAGCGCGCCGCGGCACCGGGUUGAAUGCACAGGACAUGGAGCGCCAGCUUACGCCGGUUCGUCCGACCACUACAGUAGAGCCAGCGGUUGCCUUUACCACUUUGGGGGUGUCGUGUCUCACACCGGCCCUGCACAAUGCGCGGUUACCCAAGGACUUCAAGGGCCCUCGGAAAGUACCCAAUUACACUUCUGAUUUACAUCUUGAGUCAUGUGUAGAAAGCUAUGAGAUGGCCAUGGAGAUGCUGGAUGUGGAUGGAGCGGUGUGUGCUAAGUACUUCACUAUGAUGCUAGAAGGAACAACUCGCACUUGGCUAAAGAGUUUACCACCCAAUUCAAUUGGGUCAUGGGAGGAGUUGAAGAGACGGUUUAUCAACAACUUCAAAGAUACUUGCAAGCAACCAAUGUCAAUUGUUGAUCUGGCUGCUUGUGUUCAAGCAGAGGGUGAAUCGACUACCCAUUGGGUACGCCGGGUUUCUGAGAUCUUACAUUCAUCUGAUCGGAUUAAUGCAGAUUCAGCAAUUAUAGUGCUAGAAGGCAAUUCCAAGUUCAAACCUUUGAAGUUCAAGUUGGGGCGGAUGAAGCGUCACUGCAAUGAUAUGGGAACACUCAUGGGGGCUUUGGUUAAAUAUGAUAACUCUGAUAAUACCAAGGAUCCCGAGUAUGACGAGGAAAAGCCGAGGAAGGGAAAGAAGAGCCGCAACACCAAAGGACAGCAACCCAACUCGGCGGGCAACGGUAACAACGGUAAACGAAAAGCAGAUAAUUCAGAUUUUGUGGCUAACACCAAUGUGCAGGGUAAUAAUCAAUGUCUUAAGGGUAAAUCGCCCCAGCGCGGCGGCGGUAUGAAUCUGGAACGUAUGUUGAAUCAGCCUUGCCCGAAGCACGGGACAAAGGAGGUUCUAGCCACGCACCUCUGGAAGGACUAUUUCAUUAUGCGAGAGUUCAAAAUUCUGACCUUUUCCGGUGUGAUCAGGGUCCAUCUGGCGGUUCAGGUCCUGGAUCUCAUGGGCCGGGUUACGGUGGUAGCGUUCAAACUCCGAAUUCCAGGGAAUCAAGGCAAUCAGGGCAAUCAGAAUAGCAGGGUGGUUAUAAUCAGUAGAAUAAUCAGGGAAAUCAGCAGCAGUCGGGUUAUCUGAGUCACCCGAAGCAAUUGAAUAGUGGGCAGUAUCAUGUUUUCACCUCUAGUUUGUGCAAGCGUGAUCAGAAGCUUCACAAGAGAGUAGUAAACAUUGUUGAACCGGCAGUAGCAUGUUACUUACGUUGGUCCGAAUAACCCAUUGUAUGGAGCAGAGAGGAUCAUCCACCCCGGUUGACAAUCCGGGUCAUUUGGCUUUGGUGGUGGCGCCUCAGGUUGGAGGAUAUAAGUUCACCAAGGUGCUGAUGGAUGGAGGGAGCAGUAUCAAUAUUUUAUAUUAUGAAACCUUCUGGCGCAUGGGAUUGACGGAUAAAAAUCUUAAACCGUCGAACACUAUUUUCCACGGAGUGGUACCAGGUAAAUCGGCAUACCCAGUUGGUAAGAUAAAUCUGGAGGUGGUAUUUGGAGAUGAUCAUGAUUCUAGAUCAGAAACCUUAACCUUUGAGGUAGUAAAGAUCCAGAGCCCAUAUCAUGCCCUGUUUGGAUGACCAACUUAUGCAAGGUUCAUGGCAAGGACCUGUUAUUUUAUCUACAGCUCAAGAUGUUGGGUCAUAAGGGGACCAUCACAAUACAUGGGAGACGUAAGAACGCUUUGGAUUGUGAAGAGGGUGAUGCGGCUUAUGCUGGGUCGGUUUGUGCGGCAGAAGAGUUAAAGUUCUACAAGGACAAUGUUGAUCUGGCAGAUAUGACUCCUCUGAAGAAGCCCACCACAGAGCAUGACCCAACCCUGAAGUUUAAACCGGAUGAUGAGACUAAAUUGUUGACUUUGUUACUGGUGAUUCAUCUAAACAGUUUAGUAUCAACACUAAUUUGGAUCUGAAAUAGGAAAGCGCGCUCAUCAAGUUCAUCCGCGAGAACCGGGACAUCUUUGCGUGGAAGCCUUCCGACAUGACAGGUGUACCGAGAGAACUCGCUGAGCACAAUCUCAAUAUUGAUCCCAAGUUUAAACCGAUCAAACAGUUUCUUCAUCGCUUCAACGAAGAAAGGCGCAAGGCCAUUGGCGAAGAGGUAGCCUGGUUGUUCGCUGCUGGUUUUAUCGUUGAGGUUUUUCAUCCUGAGUGGCUGGCCAAUCCGGUACUAGUGCUUAAGAAGAAUGGCACUUGGAGCAUGUGUGUGGAUUACACGGACUUGAAUAAAGCUUGUCCGGCCGAUCCUUUUGCCCUCCCUCGUAUUGAUCAGAUCAUUGAUGCUACGGCGGGUUGUGAGCGUUUGAGUUUCUUGGAUGCUUAUUCUGGUUAUCAUUAGAUCAAGAUGGCAGUUAAGGACCAGGAGAAAACAACUUUUAUCACUCCCUUUGGAGCCUUCUUUUAUGUAUCUAUGCCCUUUGGGAUCAAGAGUGCCCAGGCAACUUAUCAGCAUUGUGUGCAGAAUUGUCUUCAUACACAGAUUGGGCGCAAUGUUCAUGCUUAUGUGGACGAUAUUGUGGUAAAAUUCAGAAAAAAGGAGACAUUGAUUGACGACUUGAAGGAGACCUUUCACAAUCUUCGGGUUUACAAGAUGAUGCUCAAUCCGGCCAAAUGCGUUUUCGGUGUUCCGGCAGGCAAGCUCCUAGGUUUCUUGGUGUCUAACAGGGGCAUUGAGGCUAAUCCAGAAAAAAUCAAGGCUAUUACGUCUUUGGCUAAACCGGCAUGUAUCAAUGAUGUUCAACGUCUAGCAGGUCGGAUUGCAGCUCUGAGCCGGUUUAUCAGCCGUUUGGGAGAGAAGGCGAUCCCUCUAUAUCAGAUGUUGAGAAAGAAAGACACUUUUGUCUGGAGUAACGCUACUGAUGCGGCAUUUGAGGAUUUGAAGAGGCAGUUGGUUGAGCCGCCGGUCCUUGCCGCUCCGGUCGACAAUGAACCACUGUUAUUGUAUGUGGCUGCUAAUGUCCAGGCUAUCAGCGUGGCUAUUGUGGUCGAGCGCAAGGAGGCGGGGAUGGAAUAUCCGGUUCAAAGGCCUGUUUACUAUAUCAGCGAAGUGCUCAUCGAGUCAAAGCAAAGAUAUCCGCAUUGGCAGAAGCUGGUGUAUGGGGUUUUUAUGGCAAGCCGGAAGCUUAAGCAGUACUUUCAGGGCCAUCCCAUCAGAGUGGUCAGUUCUGCUCCUUUGGGCGAUAUAAUUCAGAACAGGGAGGCAACUGGCCGGGUUGCAAAGUGGGCUAUUGAGCUUGGACCGCACGGGCUGAAGUACAUGCCUCGGACAGCUAUCAAGUCUCAAGCACUUGUCGAUUUCAUCAAUGAUUGGACAGAGUUGCAGGCACCGAAAGACAAACUGGAUAACACAUACUAGACUAUCCACUUCGAUGGGUCCAGGCAAUUGGAGGGCUCGGGGGAUGGAGUUGUCCUUACUUCCCCUCAAGGUGAUAAAAUUCAUUAUGUUCUCCGCUUAAUGUUUCCUUGUACUAACAAUGCAGCUGAGUAUGAAGCCUUGCUCCACGGUCUUCACGUGGCUAAGGAAAUGAACUUAAGACGGGUACGAUGCUUUGGAGACUUUGAUCUGGUGGCUCAGCAAGUUUCUGGUACUUGGGACUCUAAGGAUCCGCUCAUGGCGGCUUACAGACAAGAGGUGGAUAUUGUGGCUGGUCACUUCAAGGGUUAUCAGGUUGAGCACAUUGACCGACGCAAAAAUGAAGCAGCAUAUGCUUUAAGCCGGCUGAGGUCUCACCGCAAACCGGUGCCACCCAAUACCUUUCUGGAUAUCCUGCAUAACCCGUCAGUUAAGUUGCCUACAGAGGAGGAUUUGGCUAUUCCUGAUCCGGAGGCACAGUUGGUGGUCGCUUUACAUGUUAUUCCGGAUUGGACGGUUCCAUAUUUGGCGCAUAUGAACCGGGGCGAGUUACCAGAAGAUGAAGUUUUGGCCAGACAGAUAGUUCAGCGAUCUAAGUCCAUGGUUAUUCACAAUGGCGAGUUACAUCACUUCAGUGUCUCAGGUGUGUUCCAGCACUGUGUUUCUCCUGAAGAGGGCCAAGAAAUUUUGCGUGAGAUCCACGAAGGAGAUUGUGGUCACCACGCUGGUUCAAAGUCCUUGGUUGCUGAAGCCUUUCGGCAUGGCUUCUACUAGCUGACGGCUCAUGCUGAUGCUCAGGAUUUGGUGAAACAGUGCGACGCUUGUCAGAAAUUCUCACGCAGCGCUCAUGUUCCGGCUCAAGAGCUAAGGAUGAUUCCAAUCACUUGGCCGUUUGCUACUUGGGGGCUUGAUAUGGUAGGACCUUUUAAGCGAUCCAAAGAUAAAAAGACCCACCUGUUGGUGGCGGUUGACAAAUUCACUAAAUGGGUUGAAGCGGAGCCAGUAAGCAAGUGUGAUGCAGGCACGGUGGUUCAAUUCAUAAAGAAGGUGAUCUUCCGCUUUGGCUUUCCACACAACAUCAUCACAGAUAAUGGCACGAACAUUUCCAAAGGUGAAAUGGAGGACUUCUGUCAAAGAGAGCACAUCCAGCUUGAUGUGUCAUCAGUGGCCCACCCUCAGUCUAAUGGUCAACCUGAGAGAGCUAAUCAGGAAAUCUUGAAGGGUAUCAAGCCCCGGCUUAUGGUUCCUUUGAAGAGGACGGCGGGUUGUUGGGUUGAAGAAUUGCCUUCUGUGUUAUGGAGCAUAAACACCACCCCAACCGGUCUACGGGUUAUACACCUUUCUUCAUUGUUUACGGGGUAGAGGCGGUCCUCCCAAGUGAUAUUCGUCAUGACUCGCCCCGGGUUGCCAAUUAUCUUGAAGAGGACAACGAGCAGGCACGUCAAGAAGCAUUGGACCUGUUAGAUGAAAAACGGGACAUGGCAUUGGCUCGCUCGGCGGUUUAUCAGCAAGACCUGUGGCGUUAUCACAGCCGCCGUGUUAAAACAAGAACCUUUCAAGAAGGCGACUUAAUGCUUCGGCUCAUCCAGGAUCACACCAAUAUGCACAAGCUAUCCCCACCUUGGGAAGGACCCUUUGUGGUCAGCAAGAAUCUUCAUAAUGGGUCAUACUACCUCAUUGAUGUUCGAGAGCACGCAGACUCACGCAAAGCUGAGGAGGAGACCUGGCGGCCGUGGAACAUAGCUCUCCUUUGGCCUUACUACACUUGAGCCAUAGGCUCCUCUUAUAUACAUAUUUUGACAAUGUAUAUAUUAUGAUCAAUAUAAUAAAUCGACAUCCUUGCUAUAAGCAGGGCCUCUGCUGUUUUUCCAAUAUCUCUUGAUGACAUGGGGGCUUCAGCUGACAAAGUGGAGUUCUAUCUGUCAAUCCGGCUAUCACGCCCUAACAUAGCUUUGGAGCUUCACACCCAAGGGGCCAAAGAGAGUCUUGUUGCUAUGCAUAGCUCAAACAUAGGCACCCAUAGAGCACAACUCACAAAGUUACUUGGGGGCUCUUUAUGCAAUGCAGCAAAGAGUUUGAAAGGACCCUUGUAAUAUGCUAUCAAGCACGGCUUGGAAGCCUGGUGUAUUCACCUAAAACCCCGGGUUAACAUGCCUUAUCAAGUAAGCCACUCCUAUCCAGGUAAUCCUGGCACGACCCGCCGAACGUUUGACAAGUCAAUCUUAUACAGACCCUGAACUUGUCAAAGUUAAAACGACGAUUGGUUAGUUGGAGGCCCAUCUUGAAAGGCUUUGCAAAAUGGUUUAACUCAGUGACCUGGCAGCCCAUGAAAAGCCUCGAAUUUGGGCCCGGCAGCCCUUGAAAAGCCUCGACUACACGGUUUGUUUGCCUUUAUCAAGAUUUUUCUCUUUUGAUAAAGUGUUGUGUUGAACCGGCGUCUAUUGACCCGGCAUGACUAUUAGUCAUUAAAUUAACCCGGUGUUUGUUAACCCGGUUUGGUUUUCAACUACAAGUUGACAGACCACAUCCAAUUGUAAACCAGAGUUUAUUAACCUGGUCUGGCAUUGACUAUACGUCACCAGGUUGAUCAUCCGGUGUUUAUCAUAACCCGGCAUGGUUUCUUAUGCACCAGUACAGCAUGGUGUGAGUUGUUAAACGCAAGUCUUGGGUUAUCACCCUUAUUACAAUCAAGUUGGUAAACCAACUAUGUGAUUCAAACAUCACAUGUAUGAUUUAAUUCAUAUUUUCAUAUUCCUAUAGCAUUGGUUAUAAACCAAGCUUUAUAUUGGAUAUUAUUAUUCGUCCGGCGGUAAACCACCAGGACAAUAUUUCCAUUCUAUCUUGUGCAGGAAUAAGAUUGCAUAAAAAUACUAAGGCAUAUAAGCAAGUACAACAAUAAUCCUGAUGGAUCAAAUAGUAUCAUGCAACACUACACGAUGGCGGUGGAUCAAAGUAUUUCAACUAGCCUAUUACAAGGCACUCGGAUGCCCAAGAGAAUAAAGUAUUUAUUUCACAGAAUUCAAUCUAUGGAAAUUAAACCGGCCGAUGGUCUACGAUUCAUCACCAGGUUAACGUGAAGUUGACAGAUCAUCUAGCGCCGGUUCACCCUCCUCCUCCCCAUCCACUGGCUGGAAGUCAAUGUUUGCCCAGUCAAUUCCAGACAAAGCUCGGAAGACGGCUUCAUCACUUAUAAGAUCUGACGGUUCAAUGUCAGGGGCAUAAGUAUGCUUACGGAUUGGUGGGAUAAGAUUCUGCACUUCAUUCACAGAUGCAUCAAUCCGUUUGUUAUCUGCAUCAUAGUUGGACCGAUGGACAGACAAGUCAGUUACUUUGGCCAAUCUGCUCGCAAGCGGGCGCAUCUCCUUCAUCAAAGCUUUAAGGGCAUCAUUGUCAAAGUGUGACCCGUAUGCUAUUUGGCUUGGAUAGCCAUUUCCAAUGUUCUCCGGAUCAAGAUCAGCUAUCCAACCUUUGGCCCGACUGAGUGCAGAUAAAGCGCCAGCCCUUGCAGUAGAUCUCUUCAAUUCUUCCAGCUGAGCAGGAGUCAUAGAUAAUCUGGCCAAUGUAUCCAUGAUUAAGGUCGGUGGUGGUUUAUUGUAUGAGGCUGCGCGGAUGACCCGUUGAGCGCCAGUAUACAACUGCUCUAUCAAUGUGUAGGCAGCCUUCAACUUUUUUCGCAUAUCUGAGCCAUGAUGAGCAAUACGACUACCUGCAAUGGUUUAAGAAAUUACUGUUAAACCGGCAUGAUCAAAGAUGUUUCCUAAAAAGCUGAAGAAGAGUACUUACCAAAGAUAGCAGAAGUCAUCGCAUCGAUUUGCCGCUUAAAGCCACUCAGCUCUUCUGCUACCGGUUUAAGUGCUGCUUCAGCAUCUUCAGCCCAUUUCAGCAAAGCGGCCUUUUCAGUCUCCCAGCCUGCCCGCUCGUUCUUGAAGCCAUCCUUCAAUUGUUCCAUGGACAUCAAAGCGUCCUUCAAAUCAUGUGUUGCUUUUGAGGUUGCAGCUUGCUGGGACUUAAUGUUUUCCUGGAGGUCGGCAAUUUGGGCAUCCUUGCUGGUUAAGUCAGCCUGCAAAAGGCAGAUAUUAAGAUGGUAAUACUUUUUUCAUAGUCCCAAGCACAUAACAAGUUAUACACUUGGCACUUGGGGGCUAAUGCGGAUUGUUUCUCUCAAGCUGAUAUUUUAAAGUCCCAAGGCUCAAUACAAGUAUUCAUCUUGGCACUUAGGGGCUAAUGCUUAUUUGAUCAUAUAAACUGGAUAUGAAGGAACUCAACAAGGAUAAGCCUUGCAACAUAAAGUACCGGUUCAUCUUCAAGAAGAUAAACCAGCCCUUGGGGGCUACACAGUUGAAGUUUUUCAUAUUGAAGUACCGGUUCUUCUUCAAGAAGAUAAACCGGCCCUUGGGGGCUACACUGGAGUAGACAUGAAGCAAAAGAAUAGUUUUAUGAAAUGGUUCGAGCAAUAAUUACCUCAUAGCGCUCCUUCAUCAAGUUGACUAAACCGGCUUCAUAGUCACAACUUGUGUAUAGGCGGUUUAGAAAUCCAGAGUGGAGUUCCUGAGCAGUGAGGUUAGCACAACUGGCUAAAUCAGUCUUCCACUUGCCUUUGCCCAUAGCAGCAACUUCUUCCUUGGCAGUAUGCUUCGCUAGAGCAACCGGGUUACCAGGAAUAGUAUGACCAGUACCAGUAAUGACAACGUCGUCAUCACCAUCUUUGGUUGUGCUUGGCGGAAUAUCAGUAUUCCUGGUUGGACUUGGCGGAUGGUCUUCAUCCUUGGCUGGACUUGGCGGAUCAGUAGGAUGGUUCAUAACAUUACUCUCAUCCGGUUCAACAAAAGUAUCUUGAACCGGAGGUACUGGAUCUUCCUGAACAACAUCGGUAUCCAGGUCAUGAGGUUCAAGGGUCUUCUCCGAUUCAAGGGUAUGAUUAUCAUCAAUUGGAACAGUGAAUUUGGCUUUCUUGCUAAGCCUGCCUUUAGCACUGAGAAGAGUAAAGUACAGGCAUUAGUACAGUAAACCGGAGCAACAUAUAAAGUAAGUAUACUGCACUUACCCAGGGACGGUCUUGAGUGGAGGCAUCUGUGUGGUCAAUGAAUCGCCAGAGGAUGAAUUGGAAGCUCCCUGAUAAUUUGAAUCAGACGAAUUAAGAGGAUAUCGAAAGCAACCCGCCUUGGGAUAAGAUGUAUUGGAAGUACAAGAGACCUCUGGUCGGCGUUUGCGAAUCGGAGUAUCCGGUAAACCAGAGGAUGUAACCUGUUGACCACUGUGACGAGUUGUGCGACGAGCCUCAUGUUGAUGUGUCUUCAAAGAAAAGUGCGGAUCCAAAUGAGCAAGAGGAUGUGAAUGUUUUACUUUCCGGACUGCGCGAUGGAGUUUCUGUACCGGCACAUGAUCUGAAUCAGAGGAAAGGGAAAUUACCUCUACAUGGUCAGCACGACUUGCCUCCACAUCAUCCCGAUAAUGAUUAUUGUCAAUAAGGUGCAUGAAAAGUGAACCAAGUGAAUCAAUUUCUACCUCCGUGUCUGAGUCAUCAACAUCUUCGGCCGGAUCAGAGGAUUCGGCGGUUCUCUUCUUAGCAGACUUCUUGGUAACCUUGGACUUAGCCUGAGGCGCUCUCACCGGUUUGUCUUGAGCUUUGGCCGGUUUGACCAGCGUUUUCCUCUUCCAAAAUGGAUCAUUGCUCUGCAAAGGUAAACAGAAGGGCUGUCAGAAAGUGUCAAAAAGGGCGGAGUAAAAUAGGAAAAAUGCAAUUCUUACAGCUGGCGGUUUAUGGAGAGCACAUAAUGGACGCAGCCCAGUUUUGCUGCAUUCAGCUACCAGUUCAUCCAGCAUCCGCUUGACAAAUUCAGUAAUCACGUCAUCAGUCAAUUGAAUGUCAAUAUAAUGUUGAGCAUCUUUCACAUCUCCUGUAUACUCGCACAUUAAACCGGAACGACGACUUAAAGGCAAGAUACUCCAUGAGACCCAGCAACGGACAAGAUCGAUACCGGUCAAACCGUUUGCCAUAAAAGCCCGGACCUUAGAGAUCUGUGUGGCAUAUUUCAUUCGCUCCUUAGCAGUCAGACAUUGAGGCAGUGGAUGUUCAUUACUAAGCCGGUGAGCACAAUAACCCGGCAGAGGGUUUUCAUCUUCAGGGGCAAUGUUCCGGCAGUAAAACCAGGUUUGGUUCCAAUCCUUGGGGUGGCUAUGAUGUUUGGCAUGAGGAAAACUAACUUCUUUCCUCUUCUGUAUUGACACCCCGCCAAGUUCAGUAUUGGGGCCAUCGAUGAAUUCAGUAUCGCGGUUCAAGUGAAAGAAACCUCUAAAUAGCUCAACGGUUGGUUCCUCUUGCAGAUAAACCUCACAAAACAGUUGAAAGUUGCAAAGGUUGGACAUAGAGUUUGGUCCAAUGUCUUGAGGGUGGAGUUGAAGGCUGGCAAGUACAUCACAGAAAUUUUUUGAUCCAGGAGGGCUAAACCCCUGGUCCAGAUGAUGUACAGACACAAUCACCUCUCUGUCUUGAGGUUCAGGAGGACAUUCAGUACCUGGGACACUCCAAUGAAUAAUUUCCUCUUUUGCUAAAUUGCCAGUCACAACGUACUCAGUCAGUUGUUCUUUAGUGACCCGGGAACGGACCCAAUUGCAAGUAGAGAACUGCUUGGCCAUUGUUGAUGACAACUGUAAAAGAAGUUCAAAAUGCCGGUUCACGGUUCAAUAUUGAUAUGUAUAAACUGGGGUCAAACCGGAGGAUUUAGUCAGAGCAUAUGUGCACGUCAAACCGAAUUCUUAUGUUUAGGUUAAGUUGGCGGUUUAAGUGAGGGCUAAUGGUGCCUGGCGGAUUGUCAUUUUCUAAAGGUUAAACCGCCUAUAGUGGAGGAAGUAGAUCCGAACAUUUCACUAAGUACUGUAGAAACAUGUUUCACAGGAUGGUGUUAUAAUUUUGGAUCUACUGCGGUUCAGUAAACAAAAAUUUCUGAACCCUAGAAUGGAGACAUCAGAACAGCGAAGAUCUAGAUGGGAUUUAUCCAGGAACGAAGAGAUACUAUGGUGAAGCAAACUAAAGCUACAGCUUCGGCCGCAAAAGGAGGAUAUCAAGUUUAUAUAGAUUCGAUGAUACAAUAAGGGCAAAGAGACGAACGAGGAUGAACACUGAUGAACACGGACGAACACCAAAAUCCUAAUACAGAUCUGAUAAGUUGGGAACAGGAGAACUUACUGGGGCUGCGGGGCAGCGGAAGAGCGUCGCAGUGUUUCUGGUCAAGAACAGGUUGAUGCAGUGGCCUUGUUGGUGCAGAUGCAAAAGUCGACGGCGCCGGUGAUGCUUGAGCUCUUCGGAGUCGCGAGGAAGAAGAAGAGGCAAGGGGGAAAAAGGAAAGGACCCCUGGGCCUAUUUAUAAGGCGAAUGGAUAAGUAAGGCAAGCGCAUGAAUCGAGGAGCCCGAAAAUGAAUGGGGCACAACUGUUGCCUCGAUCUUCGGAGAUCAAUUAAUAAAAAGAAAUCUUUAUGAGUUUUUUACGCAGAUGACGUCACAUCGGUUUAAUGUGAUUCCCGAAGAUGACGUCACGACAGUUUACAAGGACAACAUGGAGAUGUUCAAAUCAGAGUUUCUUUAAGUGGAAGAUUGACAUGAACAAGUUCAAAUCAAUCUGGGGCCUAAUGUUGGGGAUAUGACUACUGAGUUAAACCGCCCAGGAAAGGGCCGGAUUAACUCACAAGGAUUCCUGUACAAGAGCCCAUGAAGAUGAAGGCUAUGGCGCUUUAACCAUGAAGACUUAGAGUCCCAGAGCCCGAUGGCGGAUUAGGGCCCAUAAUGGUAAACCACCAUAGAUGUGUAACUUCUGUUGUAAGUCAAGGAAAGGAGAAACCGAGCUGGACACUUGUAUGAGCCGGCCUCGGGAUUAUGUAAACCGGCCGAGCGUCAACCUGUGUAUAUAAAGGGACGACCAGGCGGCGGUUCAGGGACAAGAAACAACAACUAUAAAGCCAGGCAUAGCGUGUUUGCUCCCUGGUAACCGAGACCACAUCAAAAACACCCCAACUGGAUCGUAGGCUUUUACCUUCACCGCAAGGGGCCGAACCAGGAUAAACUCCCCGUGUCCUUUGUCCGGUUUAACCCCAUUAAGCUAACCCGUCGCGAUGGCUCCACGACUAAGUCCUUUCACUAGGACAUCUGACAUGAUAAUUCCACGACAACCCCCAUGGCGGUUCACUCAUGGGCCACUUCAGGCAGCCCAUGUCGCAUACAAGGAUUAUUCCACAAGACUUGGUGAUCAAGACAAGGACUCCUAUCCACCAACGUAUUCGGCUAGGACUCUUGUUAUCCUAGGCCUCUGGUGCAUUAUAUAAGCCAAGGCUAGGCUAGUCGAUAGAUCAUUAUGAAAAUCAUACAAGCUAGACUUCUAGGGUUUAGCCAUUACAAUCUUGUGGUAGAUCAACUCUUGUAAUACUCAUAUUCAUCAAGAUCAAUCAAGCAGGAAGUAGGGUAUUACCUCCAUAGAGAGGACCCGAACCUGGGUAAACAUCGUGUCCCCUGUUUACUGUUACCAUCGACAUUAGACGCACAGUUCGGGACCCCCUACCUGAGAUCCACCGGUUUUGACACCGACAUUGGUGCUUUCAUUGAGAGUUCCAUUGUGUGAUCGGUAAAGGAUCGAUGGCUCGUCUGCAGAUUAACUGCGACGUCAGCAUCUUUGUCAUCAGCUCGACUGGUCAACUCGGCUUGACCGAGGACUGUGCCCUACCUCCGAUAGUCAUGUUCGAACGAGUGCCUUCAUUAACAUCAACUCCGAUCUCGAUCAUGAUCAUGGAGGAAUUAUCCUUGGAGCUCGGGGGCUCAACGUCAACACUGCCCUCAGGCGACCGAGCUAUUUUCCCGGAGAACAAACUUGUAUCCCCUGCCACCACCUCCUCGAGCAUCGCUUUGAUGAUUCCUUCGAUGGAAUUGUGUGGAAUUAUGUCUAUAACAACCAUGCAAAAUUUCGCGAGUUCCGAUGGAGGAAUCUCCGGCAAUCUACGAUAUACCAGAGCCUUGUCAAAUUUGGACAAGAAUCUGGACGAUUUUAGGGCGUGGUCUCCAGAUCCAAGCUCGCUCGGAGGUCCUUUGGAAGAUCCAACCGUUCCUCCGCUGCGGAAUUCUCAUAUCUACCACCCCUCAAACUUUCAGCUCGAUCUGACGGUUGAAACUCCAGGAACGUUCCGAUGAGUGGACCAAUUUUCUCAUGUUUUUUCUUCGCGAGAACAAAUCCGAGCCUAGUUCAUCUUUUUUAUGAACGGGAUUUCGGACAUCCUUUUUGAAGGAAGUUCUGUAUGGGGUAUUGUGUUUUGUUCCCAAACACAUCCCACAAAUUUUAAAGUCUUUCCCAAUAUGGUCUUCAAUGCACCGGUGUCAAACCAGCCUGACAACGUUACUCCACGGCUGCCGACCUGCGUUAAACAAGUCGUCCCUUUGUUGAGCCGAUCUCAACUUCUUCGGAUCAUCAUCUCAGCAAGCCGGACAAGUGUUCGGCACCGUGAAGGAUAGAUCACCACCAACAUCGCCGCCCCACGGAUCAUACGGAGCGGGCACACCGGCAUCGCCGCACGGUCACUUCAUCGAGCUGGCAUUUACCGCGUCAUAAGUUAUGACCUGCACCGUCAUGUGGCGGCAUUGUUGGUUCUUCAAGCCGAUGUCCAUCACGCUGAACUGCUUCAAUACCUCGGCUGACACGGCAGCUGCAAUGUCUCCUUACCGACCUGCUCCGUCACCUCGGCUAGACCGGGGGCUUCGCCAUCCCUUCUUCAACCUACUUCGGAGACUUCGGCGUCGUCAACCGACUAGCUUAGUCACGUUAUCUAGACCGGGGCUUUGCCUCGGUGAGCCAACCCUUACCAGCAUCACCAUGCCGUCACUUCACCGCCAUUAGGCAAUGGGUGUGCGGAUCAAUUCUCAAUUUUGGGAGUCACUUUUCUUCGGACUGCUACAACAAAUAAACCAGGUGCUAUUAAUCCUAGCAAUUUUUGCUUAUUUGGGUUUUAUUUUUCUCAAGAAAUUAUUAUUCUGCUUCGUUCCAUCAUCUGUACACAGGCCUAUCAAAUGGCAGCCACAUUAACAACGGUCGCGUGGUGGUUCGGUCAGUUUCCGUACAUAGUUUGGCGAACGCCGCAUCCGGAACUCGGACUGACCUUUGAAUUCAGGCUUUGCCACGCCUUUACCACAUCACGUUGUUGUCUGGCAUCGACAUUGACUUCGGCGCUAUGACACAUAUUUUUAAAUAAAUUAUCUUGCGUAAAUUAAUUACGCGAGGAUUUUUAUAUUAUUAUUGUCGGCCUGCACUAUUUUACUUGUACAUGUAAUCGACUUCGACUGCGUCACUUGGUCACUUUGACAAGCCGACGCCGUCGUCCCAAUCGGCUUAAAUCAGCUCGCGUGAUUACCUUGUUUGUCGAAUUGCCAUACCGACAUGCUCGGUCGCUUUGGGGACUUCGGCAUCGCUGAGAGAGCCCUACCUCAUCGACUGUUCCACACACGAGCCAUAUUUCUUUUAUUACUCACUUUGCAUAAAUUAUUAAUUAAUUAUUUAUUUAUUAUUACUACUAUUAUCUCCGGUUUGCACUAUUUUCUGUGCACACGUAAAUGAUUCGGGUCGGGCAGUGUUAUCUCCUCGGCGUACUGACAUAGCACGUCACCUCGGCUGGACUGGGGGUUUCGUCAUUGAGGGAGUCCUAGAUUAGGGGGUAUUCGGACAGCCGGACUAUAUACUUUGGCCGGACUGUUGGACUAUGAAGAUACAAGAUUGAAGACUUUGUCCCGUGUCCGGAUGGGACUCUCCUUUGCGUGGAAGGCAAGCUUGGCGAUUCAGAUGUUAGAUCUCAUUCUCUGUAACCGACUUUGUGUAACCCUAGCCUCCUCCGGUGUCUAUAUAAACCGGAGUGUUUUAGUCUGUAGGACAAGAACAAUCAUAAUCAUAGGCUAGCUUCUAGGGUUUAGCCUCUACGAUCUCGUGGUAGGUCAACUCUUGUAUUACCUCCAUCGAGAGGGCCCAAACUUGGGUAAACAUCGUGUCCCCAGCCUCCUGUUACCAUUGUCCUUAGACGCAUAGUUUGGGACCCCCUACCCGAGAUCCGCCGGUUUUGACACUGACAUUGGUGCUUUCAUUGAGAGUUCCUCUGUGUCGUCGCUGUAAGGCUCGAUGGCUCCUUCAAUCAUCAACAAGGACGCGGUCUAGGGUGAGAUUUUUCUUCCCGGACAAAUCUUCGUGUUCAGCGGCUUCGAACUACGGGCCAAUUCACUUGGCCAUCUGGAGCAGAUCGACAGCUAUGCCCCUGGCCAUCAGGUCAGGUUCGGAAACUUGAAUUACACGACCGACAUCCGCGGAGACUUGAUCUUUGACGGAUUCGGGCCUACUCCAGGAGCGCCGGACGGUCACGACGGGAACGACUUAGACCGGUUGUCGGACGGUAUUCGGGAUAACGCACCUGCAGCGGCUCUGGACCUAAAUCCAAGGCAGAUCGCGUCGUCCGAGGACGGGUGGAUGGACCCCGCCACGGAGGCCGCAUACUCAUCGGCGGUAGAGCCGAACACAGACUCCACCUCUAAGGAAAUCUGUGUCACCGGACCCCAGGACGUGUCUCCGGCCUCAGGUUCCAGAUCGCGUGCAUCCGGGCCUAUCGAAUUUGAUUGGGCUCCGAUAAUGGAGUUCACCACCACGGAUAUCUUUCAGCACUCGCCCUUGGGCGAUUUGCUGAAUUCAUUAAGGUCUCUCUCUUUGUCAGGAGACUCUUGGCCGAACUAUGUCCGGCUCGAGUGGGAAGCAGAUGACGAAGAAAUUCGUCACCCACCCACCACCCACUUCAUUGCCACUGUCGAUGAUUUAACCGACGUGCUCGACUUCGACUCCGAAGACAUCAACGAUAUGGACGACGAUGCAGGAGAAGAACGGGAACCACCGCCCACAGGGCGCUGGACAGCCACCUCCUCAUAGUAUACAUAUAUAUGGUGGACACACCCAAAGAAAACAAUGGCGAUGAGGCAACAGAGGAUAACCCCUUAGGAAAGCAAUCAAAGCAUGGGCAUCACCGAUGCCGCUCUAAGCCCCGCCACAGCAACACCGGCACAGGAGACGAAAACAAUCCGGAUGGUGCCGAAGAUUAAUAUAAUCCCAAUCAACCUACCUUCGAGCAGACCGAACAGGAGGACGGGAAAGCUAGCCCAGAUGAACAGGCGAUGGACGGAGACUUGGAGGAUGACAAUUAUAUGCCUCUCUGCGAAGAUGGGGUGAGCCUAGGCGAUGAUGAAUUCGGCGUGCCUGAGGAUCCCGUAGAGCAGGAGCGCUUCAAGCGCCGGCUUAUAGCCACUGCAAGAAGCCUGAAGAAGAAGCAGCAGCAGCUCCAAGUUGAUCAAGAUCUGCUCACAGACAGAUGGAAUGAGGUCCUGGCAGCCGAGGAAAACGGACUCGAGCGCCCCACCAAAGGUUACCCAAAGCACAAGUUGCUACCUCAACUCGAGGAGGAGGCCAUAGAGCCUACACUACUAGCACAGGACGAGGCUGACCAGCCACCUCGUGGCCGAGACAAAGGGGUGUAUUAGCCCGAAUACCAACCCGCACCCCGACGCCCAUAUACUAUGGCCCGGGGCAAUACACAGGACCUGCGACAUAUUGGAAAACAAUGCAGGACAACCAAGAUCGAUCUACGGAUCGCGGGGGCGCGUCACAUCACAUGACGAUGAUCGUCAUGCCGGAUACACUAACAAUAAGUUCGACCGGGCCGAACAUAACCGACCAGACUUAGUUGGACUGCGUCGUGACAUAGCCCGGCAUAGAGGCGCCGCACACCCCCUCUGCUUCACUGAUGAAGUAUUGGAUCAUGAAUUCCCAGAAGGGUUCAAACCCGUAAACAUCGAAUCAUACGAUGGCACAACAGAACCCGCGGUAUGGAUCGAAGAUUUCCUUCUCCACAUUCACAUGGACCGCGGUGAUGAUCUACAUGCCAUCAAGUAUCUUCCCCUUAAGCUUAAAGGACCAGCCCGACACUGGCUGAAUAGCCUGCCGGCGAACUCCAUCGACAAUUGGGAAAAUUUGGAUGACGCGUUCCUCGACAACUUCCAAGGGACCUACGUGCGACCACCACAUGCUGAUGACUUAAGUCACAUUACCCAACAGCCCGAAGAGUCAGCCAGGAAAUUCUGGACUCGGUUCCUAACUAAAAAGAACAAAAUUAACGACUGUACGGAUGCCGUAGCCGGCCUUUAAGAAUAAUAUCCGUGACGAGUGUCUUGCCCGACACCUCGGCUAAGAAAAACAGAAAUCCAUGGCGGCCCUCACGACACUCAUGACCCGCUUUUGCGCGGGCGAGGACAGCUGGCUGGCUCGCAGUAGCACCACGCCAAGAGACUCUGGCACCUCAGAUGUCCGCGAUAGUAACGGCAAGCCUCGGCACAACAUACAUAAGCGUCGGAACUAUGGCGACAACACCGAAGACACGACAGUCAAUGCCGGAUUCAGUAGCUCCAAAUCCGGUUAGCGGAAAAAGCCGUUCAAAAGAAACAAUCCGGGAUUGUCUAGUCUGGACCGCAUACUCGACCGCUUGUGCUAAAUUCACGACACCCAUGAUAAACCAGCUAACCAUACUAACAGAGAUUGCUGGGUGUUCAAACAGGCCGGCAAGUUGAAUGCCGAGAACAAGGACAAGGGGCUGCACAGCGACGACAACGAGGAGCCCCAACGGCCGAACACAGGGGGACAGAAGAAAUUUCCUCCCCGAGUGAAAACGGUGAAUAUGAUCUAUACCACCCACAUCCCCAAGUGGGAAUGAAAGCGUGCACUAAGGUACGUUUACACGAUGGACCCGGUCGUCCCAAAGUUCAACCCAUGUUCAUCCUAUCCGAUCACUUUCGAUCGCAGGGACCACCCUACCAGUAUCCAUCAUGGCCUGAACCUGCUUUACCAGGACACAGUGUGCAAAAUGGGCAUUGAUCCCUCAAGGAUCAAACCCACCAAAACUACCUUUAAAGGUGUAAUUCCAGGCGUAGAGGCCUAUUGUACGGGCUCAAUAACACUGGAAGUGGUCUUCGGAUCUCCAGAUAACUUCCGAAGGGAGGAGUUAAUCUUUGAUAUCGUCCCUUUACGUAGUGGCUAUCAUGCACUGCUUGGACGAACCGCAUUUGCUCGAUUCAGUGUGGUACCACACUACGCAUACCUCAAGAUGAAGAUGCCAGGACCUCGAGGGGUCAUAACAGUCAAUGGAAACACAGACCGCUCUCUCUGUACGGAAGAGCACACUGCGGCCCUUGCGGCAGAAGUACAAAGCAGCCUUCUUCGGCAGACCGCCAAUUCGGCGAUGACAACCCCGAACACCAUCAAGCGAGUCCUGAGUACUCUGCAACAGGAUCGGCAGGCACGCCAAGAGCUCAACUAGCAAUCUGGCCUCCAUCCAAGUCCCAUUCAGGCCGCAUUUGUGUCGCGCGUACACAAUUACGGACUCAAAAUACCACGGGCAUAGGCGGAGGCGCGAUGAUGAUGCGGUCCACAAUGCGGCUCAACCGCCACGAGACCCGCAUACCUCUAUAACCUUCUUUCUUUUUCAGGACCCUACUUUCGGGCAGCCCCUUCAGAGAGCCUAAUCAUCGGACUCGUCAUAGGAGGGACAACCAAGGGGGCAAGAGGCUUUGCACACAAGGGAAUACUUAGGUGGUCUUUGUUAACGAUCAUUAUGCCUGUUUUACAUACCCACAUGCAGCCUGCCCUUGGAUAGGACAUGUCAAAUAGUACUAUUUUUGCUUGUCGCAUUAACUUGUACACAUACGCUUUGACAUAUUAUUUAAAUAACAACGGGAAACAAUAUACAGCGUCAACUUAUUAUUACUAUUUUCAUAUUUUCCCUGGACUGUUUAUUUAAUAUUGCAUCCCUACACUCUGGUACGUUCAGUUUGCUAGGGGCUUUUUAUUGUGCCCCAUAACACGGCAAGAAAAGUCCGAACACUUUUGAUAUUGCGGCACCCCGAACUUAUAGCAUUAUAUGCAUCUGCCCCGAAUCAUGUAUUGGGUCAAUAGUUGGGUUUGGCGGGCUCCCUUGUUUUGGUACCUUACGUUCCGUUAUAUCGGCUAAGGUAGUGCAGGGAGAACUACUGCGAUUGUGUCCCAGUUCUUCCGGACGAGCAUCUCAGUAGAGAAAGCGGAAAACUGACUGUCAUGAUGCGGUGAGAGUUGGUCGCUGUUCGAGAGGUAUUAAAUCCUUAAAGAUUUUUUCCUCUUCAGGCGAGGAAUCGGCCUUGUCCGGUUUAUGCAUGUAUAGCGCCCCAAUUCGGCUUUCCGAAUACUAGGGGCUUCACCAAAAUUUAAAAUUGUAGACUUCUAUGGCUAAGUGAGAGUUAUAAAGCCGCAUAGUCCGAUUGCCUUGUUCACUGUGCUAAACACCUCCUUAAAGGACCAAGAAUUUGUAUACAGAGUGUUUGGGUUUUCCACAAACACCCCAGUACUAGUUACACGGGGGCGGAAGCUGACGACUUGCCUACUUUCAGAAUUUUAUAAACAGCCGCACAGAAGGUAAUAUUUCAAAUCAACAAAGCGUCAUAUAGCGCAAACGAACUCGUUUUCAUAUUACAAAGAUGACAUGAGUACAUUCACUCAACGAUUAUGUCCUUGGUACAUUCAUUGGCCACAAGGCAAGCGCCUUUUAUAACGCCAUCAUAAUAUUUCUCGGGGUAGCGAUGCGCCUUACCCUCCGGGGGUCCAUCCUUCACCAGCUUCUCUGCAUCCAGUUUGGCCCAAUGCAUCUUUGCACGGGCAAAUGCCCGGCAGGCACCUUCAAUACAAACGGAUUGCUUGAUAACUUCAAGCCACGGACAAGCAUUUACCAUCCGCUUUACAAGGCCGAAGUAACUGUCGGGCAGGGGCUCGUCAGGCCACAUCCAGACUAUGAGGUCCUUUAUGGCCAGUUCGGCCGCCUUGUGGAGUUCAACCAAUUGCUUCUGUUGGUUACUUAGAGGCAUUGGGUGUUCGGCUCCAGUAUACUGGGACCAGAACAGCUUCUCCAUCGAGAUCCCCUCUUCGGCACGGUAGAACUCCGUGGCAUUCGAUAUGCUGCGUGGUAGAUCUGCGAAUGCCCAGGGAGAGCUCCGAAUUCGAUUAAGUAAAAGAAAUGUCUCCUCCACAUGCUUGCUUCGCAUAUUGAAGGCCUUACCCGCCGCUAUCUUCUUGGCCGUCUGGAUUUCCUAGAGGGCCUUUUGGGCUUCGGCCUUGGCGUGUUCCGCGCUCUGGAGGGCCUUGGCAAGCUCAGACUCUUGCGUCUUGAAGUCAUGCUCCAAGGACUCGAACUUCUGGCCGAACUCCUGGAGCUCUUGCUGUACCUCACUCACCCGAGAAUCUUGCUUUUCACGCUCAGUACGGUCCGUGGCUGCUUUAUCUUUGGCCUCGGAUAGCUCUUUCUUCAGGGCCGCCACUUCGGUCAUGGCCCCUAUUAAAAAUCAUGAUGCUUUUUGUUAGCGUCACCAAUUUUUUCCUCUAUAUGACACACGGACGGGGUAUCACUUACUUCGUUCUCUUCGAGUUGCCUCUUCAUGAGGCUGAGCUCUUCUUCGGCCUGCUUCAGGUCCCGUUUGAGUCCGGCGACCUCCGCAGUACGGGCGGUAGCGGCCAGCAGCAACACCUGCUUACUCACAUAGACAUUCAUUGUUAGACUCCUGCGGAUUAAAAAUUGACCCUCCGUUUGGCUUUUCUUUCCGAACACCAAACAGAGUAUCAGGGGCUACUGUCUAUUAGGUGAUAUUUUCUCACACCUUUCAUCACUUACCUCAAAGCCUGUUAGGAGGCUGGUGCAGGCUUCUGUCAAUCCGCUUUUGGCGGACCGAACAUUCUCAAUCACCAUACUCAUAAGAGUAUGGUGCUCUUCGUCAAUGGAAGCAUCGCGAAGCACUUCCAACAAAUUAUCUGAUGCCUCCAGCUGGAUGGAGGUCAUCGGCACGGCCGGCUCGCCCUCCUUAGAGAGGGGCUACCUACUUGAAUCCGAAACCUUUGGAGGCUCCGGCGCAGUAACUGUCUGGGAGCCAGACUUGUUGUGGCUCCCGUCCGCAUAAUCCAUGGGGAUCUUACCCCCCACAUGCCCGGUGGCUGGGAUUUCGCCUUGGGGCGUCUCUAGAACCGCCAUCCCCUAUUCUGGUAUCCUUUGGGACAACACCUCGGUGUCAUCCGCGGGCCAAGGGGAGGUGGCCGUUGGGAGUGAAUUCAUCUCCGACUCGCUCAGGGACCCGUCCGAAGACGAUACCUCGAGGCGGGACCCAGUCGGACUACAUAUGCGUGUUCGGCAUUGUCACAAACCAUGAAAUUAAGAUGCAUGAAAAAUACUAUAGAGUGUGGAUACUUACUAUCUCGCCAGGGGCUUGCCCCUGGGCAACCACUCCUCCUCGCUGUAGGCGGCCGCGGUGGAGUGAUCCGGAAGGGAUGCCUUUCCCUUCUUCGGUGUCCUGGCCUCCCCGUAUGGGGUGGCUUUCCUCUUCUUCUCCUCCCCAAUGCGGGGAGGGGGAAUUUAUUCAGGUUUCCCCCCAUCUCCGUGGGAGGAAUUUGCCUCGGCGUACUCGGACGACGAGUCUAUUACAGCCUUCACCGGAGACCUUUCCUGGUCCCUGCGGCCGCUUUCUUGGACCUUUCGGCCUCCUCAGAUGGGGCGGCCUUCCUCUUCCUCUCCUUCCCUUCAUGGGAGGACUGUGCCUCAUCGUCUUCAGAUAAGGCAUCCGGCGCAACCUUGUGCCGAAGACCCUUCCUGGUCCCCGUGGUCUUCUUUUCGGCCUUAUUAUCCGGCACCUUGUAAGGCGCCAGAACCAGCAUCUCCGUGAGGAGUGCGGUUGCUAGAUCUUCCGGCAGCGGAGCCGGGCAGUCGAUCCGCUGCGCUGUCGCCACAUAAUCCUGUUUUGAUAAGCAUGGUGACUUAAAAUCCUCCCACGAGUUUUCUGGGAAAGGUACAUCUUGUGAUGUUCGGAGAACUUACUGGAUUGGCGAGGCACGUGGCGCUGAGUCCGCGGUCCUCGGAAGCGGGAGGAGGUACUUCGGCGGCCUUGAACAGCACCUUCUAGACGUCUUUAUGCGUCGUGUCGAAGAGCUCUCGCAGCGUUUGGUGUUCGGCUGGAUCAAACUCCCAUAUAUUGAACGCCCGUCUUUGACACGGGAGGAUCCGGCGAAAGAACAUGACCUGGACCACGUUGACAAGCUUGAUCUUCUUGUCUGUCAGGACCCCGAUCCUAAGUCACACCGAUCUGGCAUGUAACACAUCAUAUCACUCUGCGGCCUCACGCACGGUAUUCCCACGGGUGCCACCUUACCUGGCCCGGGACCGUUUGCACCUUUUGGCUCACAUAUAUGAUAGUGCCGCUAGCAUCCAUAUGACAAAGAACCCGGGCUGACAUGGCUAGUCGUGAACCCAAAGUGGCACUAACUUACAGGGACAUGCAUACAUGACCCAGCAACGAACGUGUCGGUCAUCAGCGAGUGAAUCUGGGCUGUAGCAACUGGGCUAGCAGGACUCCGGUAAACCAGGCUGUAGCAGGCUAACAGGACUCCGGUAGACACCGCGUGACAUUUCCCCGAAGGGAUAGACACAGGAAUGAAGAAGGACACAUGCCGGCCAGCCUAAGUGUUCCGGAGCAGUAUAAAGCUACCAAGGCUCAGUGGAAGCACUAGGAGACAUUUCCCGGUAAGAGAGGCUACCAAGGAUGAACAACUAGAUAGUCAGAUCCCACACAGACCAAGCAUUUCAAUAACAUACACACAAUAUGCUCGAUAUGUGCAAAUACAACAUGGCAUCACAACAUGACUCUACAACUCAAGUAUUUUUCAAUAGGCUCCGAGGAGCGAGAUAUUACAAUCAUGGGUCGCAUGACCCAACAUUCAGAGCAUACAAGUCAAAGCACAUGCGGAAGCUUAACAUGUCUGAGUACGGACAUCUACAAAAGAAAAAGGCUGAGAAGCCUGACUAUCUACUAGAUCCUGCCGAGGGCACAAGAUCGUAGCUGAGGUAACAAGCUAAACGUCAAAGUCCACAUGGAACUACUAGCGAGACUGAAGUCUCUCUGCAAAAACAUAAAUUAAGCAACGUGAGUACAAAUGUAACCAGCAAGACUUACAUCAGAACUAACUACAUAUGCAUCAUUAUCAACAAAGGGGCGUGGGGUUUAACUGCAGCAAGCCAGCUUUGACUCGAUGGCUAUCCUGAAUUAUGACUGUAAGUAUCUCUUUUGAGGUGACGCACACGAGUCCACAUAUUCACCAUAUCAAUACACCACUAUGGAUCCGCUCCCGUCUCCCUAUGAGAACGCCAUCCAUAGCACUCACGUAUAUCUUGCGUAUUUUAGAGUAUCCACUUUCACUUGUCUAUGAACUGUAUAGGCAACCCAAAAGUCCUUUGCCGCGGAAACGACUAUUCGAAUAGAUCAUAUUAACCCUGCAGGGGUGUACUUCUUCACACACGCUCUCACCACUUACCGCCGUUUACACGACAUGUACUCGGCAACCUUCAAGCGGAAGCCCAGCGAGGGUGUCGGCCACGACCUGACUAACCACACAAGUCUCUCAUCCAGGUUUAUCGCCUAUUCGGGUUCCAUCCGCAAGGAGAUCCGGCCGGGGUGUCGCUCACGGCCCCAAACGAUGUGUGCAGGGUUCCCAAGCCCACCAUCCGGGUGCCACUUGGUACACCGGGCCACUGUGCCUAGUCUGUCCCAAGCCCACCUGUACCGGGUGCCACUUGGUAGACUACUAGCACUACCUACAAACACCAGAAACUAGCUGCAACUCUUGGACACAGAUCGAGUUGAUUAAUAAGUCGAGAGAGUCAAUUAAGGAUCCCAAUGUGUGGUAGUAGCUGUUAAUGGAUCACAAACACAGAACUCAGUUCCUGAGGACGGCUGCAAUGAGACAACCCACCAUGUACUCCUACACGGCCUCUCACCGCUACCUUUACCAAAUCGUGUUCACACACUUAGCUCACACACAGUAGGACAUGUUCACACACCUCCAAUUCAUUCCCGAUGAAACAGACCUGACACAACUCUAAGCAAUAGCAGGCAUGACAAACAAGCAUGAAUGAGUAGGCACAUCAGGGCUCAAACAACUCCUACUCAUGCUAGUGGGUUUCAUCUAUUUACUGUGGCAAUGACAGGUCAUGCAGAGGAUAAGGGGUUCAGCUACUGCAACAAGUAACAAAUAUGUCAUUGUUGUCCUAAUGCUGUAAAAGAGAGCAGGAGCGAGAGAGUGGGAUUUUAUCGGAAUGAACAAGGGGGUUUUGCUUGCCUGGCACUUCUGAAGAUAGCAUUGAGUCUUCAUCAGUGUCAACGAUCACAAUGUCGGUACAACGUCUACCGAGGGGGAACAACACCGGCAAACAGAGAAGAAACACGAUCAAUGCAAUGCACAAUAUGAUGCAUGCUAUGACAUGGCAAUAUGAAUGUGUUUUGGGCUAAUGCAAGCUAGAACAGGUUGAGAUGAGUCCAUUUGAACCAAAGAUUCAAAUGCAAACCCAUUUUAAAAGGUCGUAUUAGUGCAUUACCUUGUUUCACCUAAACAGCAAGGUUAAAGUGUUCUAUCAUGCAUGAGAAUGGUACAGAUGGAUAGAUUGCAUUUUUCUGAUCAUUUUUCAUAUAUAAAUUGUUUGAUUUGGAGCUACGGUUGAUUUUCUAUGAUUUUUAGAAGUUUUGGUUAUUUUCUGGAAUUCCUUGUAUAAGAAAAUUCCAGUAAUUAGUUAUUGCGUCAGUGUGACGUAAGUGGUCAAAGGGGACGUCUAGGUCAAACUGACCUGUGGGCCCUGCGUGUCAGUAGUUAGUUUAACUAACUAAAUUUAGUUAGUGCUAAUCCUGGGUUAGUUAGCAGGGCGGGCCCCACCUGUCAUAGACCCAAGGGUCAAAUUGGGCCCACCUGGUCAACUCAGUCAACAGGGUCAACUCGCCGGCGUUUAGCCGCCGGCGAGGUCAGUGGCGCUCUUGUGCCUCGGGUUUCCUCUGUGGUGCUCCAAAUGACGUGCGGCUAGGCGCGUUGGAGAGCUAGCUCGACGGCGCGUCGGGUGGUGGCCGGGGUUGCCGGAGUCGACGGCGGUGAGCUCGAUUGCGGCUGCCGGAGUUCGGUUGCACUCGGAACCGACGUUGUGGUGCACGGCAUGUCGAGCGGUGGGGUCCUAGGUGCUCCUGCAAACGUGCUGAGCACGGUGACGCUCUCAGACGCGGCGGAGGUGGGCUCUAGCCACGGCGGCGAAGAAGCGCAACGGCGGCGAGCUUCGGUCGGGGUGGCCAAAGGGGCUAGAGGAGGAAAUCAACAGAGGGAAGAGAGGUGUUGGGAUCAGGGGCUCGCGGCGAUGCCGAAGAGGAGAUCAGCGAGCCUGGGGAGGUCCUGGCGGCGCCGAAUCGACCGGAGGCGAGCUCGGGUGCCUGGGGUUGAAGAUGAGGCAGAGACGUCGCUGUGAUGCUCCCGUGGUCGAACAGACUGGUGUAGACGACGGAGGAGAUGACGCCGGUCCUUCUGGAUGCUUCGGCAAGGCGAGGGGUGGACGGUGGCCACGGUUUCACGGCGGCAAACGCUUGGCGGUUGCGGCCAUGGCGAGGAGAGGGCAAGAGAGAGGGCAGAGGGGGGAGAGUGAAACGUCCAGGGGGUCGGGGCGGCACCGAAGAGAAGGCCCGAGGCGUCGUGGUGGCCUCAGUGACGCAGGCAAGCAGGGAGGUGUGUGGCGCCGCGGGCGCGCGUGCGCUGUCUCCCUCCUUUGCCUACUGGCAGAUGUAGGUGAUGACUGGCACGGGCCAGGUGGGCCGGCCCAGCCAGGUAAGUGGCCUGUGGCCUUUCUCUCUCUCUCUCUCUCUCUCUUCCAUUUAGUUCUAUUUUUCUAUAUUUCUGUAUCUUAUGGGCUUUAUUAAAAAUAUCUAGGCACUUCCAAAAAUCAUGAAACUGCUCAAUGUCACUUUUUGGAAUAUUUCCAACAGCAAACAUUUCAGUUUGUGAUUAUUUGAGCAUUUAAAAUAUUAUUUAGCAAAUAAAUGCCCAAAUGCAAAUACCAUAUGAUUUAAUUCAAAAAUCCAGAAUGGCCUAGAAAUAUGUGCACCAUUUUUGGGAGAGGUUCUAGACCAAUGCAAAAAUGAUGAACUUUCUGAAGGGCAUUUUGGGUUCAUUGAGAAUAUUUUUAUUUGAACCUAGUUGAUUUGAUCUGGUGCUAGGGUUUGAGCAAUCCCCAUUUCAGGUUUAAAAGAAAUUUAAACAUGAUGCAUGAUGCAACACAAGACUAACUAACUCAGAGCAGAUCAGAACUAGGGAUGUGACAUUGUCUAUCAUAUUUUUGACACAGUACUUGAGUCCUGUCAGCUCUGUAGGUUCGCCACAGGCCAGACCCUUCUUUUCAGAGGAGGUGAGCCGCGUGGGGAUGCCAGAUCGGAAUUCGGGGGCCGACGCCCAGUUGGCAUUGCAUGGCUCGGUGAUGUAGAAAUACCCCGAUUGCCACCCUUUCACGGUCUCCAGGAAGGAGCCUUCAAGCCAGGUAACAUUGGGCAUUUUUUCCACCAUGGCGCCUCCGCACUCCGCGUGCUGGCCACUCACAAUCUUCGGAUUCACGCAGAAGAUUUGUAGCCACAGGCCGAAGUGGGGCUUGAUGCGGAGGAAGGCCUCGCACACGACGAUAAACGCCGAGAUGUUGAGGACGAAAUUUGGGGCUAGAUCGUGAAAAUGUAGCCCAUAGUAAAACAUGAGCCCACGUACGAAUGGGUGGAGUGGAAACCCCAGUCUGCAGACGAAAUGAGAGAGGAACACUACUCUCUCUUGAGGCUUGGGUGUGGGAGUAAUUUGCCCCUUCGCCGGAAGCCUGUGCGUGAUGUUUGCGUCCAGGUAUCCGGCCGCCCGAAGCUUGGCAAUGUCCUCCUCUGUAACGGAGGAGGCCAUCCACUUGCCUCCCGCUCCGGACAUGUUGCGAAUGGUCCUACGGAGAAGGUGAGAACUUGGGCGCUGGGGCUCAAGGGUGCGAGAAUGGAUGAGCAAAGGAGGAAGAAGGCAUGGGUGAAAAUGGGGGAUCCUUAUACCUUUAUAAAGGCGGUGAAAACUGUGCGCCUCCCCGCUUGCCAGUCAAAAUCACUCAUUUUCCAGGCGCCACGAUUGAUGGUGCGGUUGGGUUACCCAUACCCGUAUUGAUGAGAAUCCCGUGAUAAGGGGACACGAUCUCUGCUUCGACAAGACGUGCAAAGGAAACCACCUCGCAAUAUGUGCGGUGGCUGGUUGUGAGAAAACGGUUCGAAUAAUGACCGGACCAUGGCGUGAUGUCAUUCAACAGAAGUUGUUAGUAGAUUUGAUUUGUCGAACAUUGUGCUCUCUACGGUGGUAUGUGGAAAAAAAAUUGCAGAGCCGGACACGAUCCUUGUGUUCGGAAUCUUCUACGGAGUAUUCGGAUAUGGAAACCGCCUUGCAAUGCCGAAGAAAAUCUGCGUGUCGGACUCAUCGUCAUUGAAGCCUGGUUCAGGGGCUACUGAGGGAGACCUGGAUUAGGAGCUAUUCGGACAGCCGGACUAUAUACUUUGGCCGGACUGUUGGACUAUGAAGAUACAAGAUUGAAGACUUCGUCCCGUGUCUGGAUGGGACUCUCCUUUGCGUGGAAGGCAAGCUUGGUGAUUCGGAUGUUAGAUCUCCUUCUCUGUAACCGACUCUGUGUAACCCUAGCCUCCUCCGGUGUCUAUAUAAACCGGAGGGUUUUAGUCCGUAGGACAAGAACAAUCAUAAUCAUAGGCUAGCUUCUAUGGUUUAGCCUCUACGAUCUCGUGGUAGAUCAACUCUUGUAAUACUCAUAUCAUCAAGAUCAAUCAAGCAGGAAGUAGGGUAUUACCUCCAUCGAGAGGGCCGAACCUGGGUGAACAUCGUGUCCCUAGCCUCCUGUUACCAUUAGCCUUAGACGCACAGUACGGGACCCCCCUACCCGAGAUCCACCGGUUUUGACACCGACAAUCAUCACUUCAUCAACCCACGCCGGGGACUUCGGCAUCACUCUGCCGGCCUGCAUUGGCUGAGCCAUGUCACUACCUCGGAAUGCCGAACUCCUUGCCCGGGCACCUCAGGCUUGGAGGCUGGGACCUCAGCCAUACCGAGGACUGUGAACCUUGUCGGAUCUGUCACGGAUCAAUGGGCAUCUUCGUCCCGCCACAAGCCCGAAUGGCGUCAUCAACAUCGAGCACAUUAAUCAGCUAAGUUGCUUUCAUGCUCAAAAACUUUGUUCGGUUCGACCAAGCAUUAUACUUUUUGGCAAAAAGUUGUUUGUGACAAAAUUCCUUGUCAAAACUUUGUUUGUGACACACAAAUUCAAAUACCCCAUUUAUUUGGGGGCUUCCUUUAUAAAGACUCUCCUCUUGCAUAUGAUUAUACUUGUAUGGCUUCGUUCCUUGUUCGUGUAUUACACCACAAUAUGCACCAUGUUGACUUAAUUAUUCCGCAAGCUGGAUUGCCUUGCUCCAGUAUUUACCCCUACGUUUCUGAUUGUUCGGCUAGGGAGUAAAGGGAGCACCUCUGCGAUUGUCACGAUCGGGUCAUCCGAGCUCGGACCUCAGACUGGGUGAAGCCGAAAGCUAGCGCUCUUAUUGUUUUCAAUCAUGGUCGGCACAUAACGGAACUCAUGUGUACAAAAAAUCUAUUGCACAAGUCUCAUAGUAACAAUGAGCAACCGAAAAAAGGUAUCGGUGGGGGUACUAUUUUCUUCGAAGAUGCUUCUUAAACUUCGUCAGUAAUAUAGCAUAAGUUCCCUGAGCGUGCUUUGUCUGUUACAGCCUUAUGGCCUGAUUGUCUGGUUAUCGGAAACACCAUCGAUAUUCUCUACAUGUGGGGUACAUAACACUUUUCAGCCCUUGACCGAAGAGGGAGAAGUUGAUGGUCAGUUAAGACGCAUUUAAAGUUCAGGUGAAUACAAAUAUGAUAUAAGUACUUCGGUACAUACAAUAAUCAUUAUACAUAAAAUUCUUUUACCCAAGUCACUUGGGGGUUCUUAAAAUUUAUAUGAGCUGUUUUAUAGUAAAUGUGUUUUCUUCUGGGUUGUUGCAAAGUCUUUUUCUACCGCUCCUUUUUCGACUCGAGUGUAUGGUCAAUAGACAGAUAGCCUGUCUUCUCUCUAAAAGCCGCUCGAGUUUAGUUCGCUAAACUGACCUCGGAGAAGUACUCCGCCUUUGGGAUAAGGAACUUGAAGCCGUAGGCUGACCUGCGUGAAGUCUUGAGAUCGGAUAUGUCAUGUUAAAGCACGACAAAAGCACAAUUUUUUUCCAAUUUUGGAUUGGCACCGAACACUUGAUCUUGUUCGGACAUCAACUUUUUACUGACGUUUUUUGGUUUUCCAAGCUUAUGGCACUUUUAAACUAUUUGUGUGUUUCCAGCAUAAGUCUCGCAGUGCAACAACGGACACCUUUAGAGAUUCGUCAAAAACAUUCUCGGAUAUUUCUAUAUAUGCAUCGGUUUGAAAUUGUGUCUUCGGUCAAUAGUUGGGUUGCCUGGCUCCUCUGCUUGCCUCCUAGGUUCCGCUUUGUUCGGCUAGGUGUGCAAAGGGAGAACCACUGCGAUUGUGCUUCCAGCUCGCAUGGUUAAGCACCUCAGUGGAGAAAGCCGAAAACUGACUGUCACAAUAAGAGUAAACUGGUCAGCGAUCCGAUGACUAUGUUAAAUGACGGGCCAUUCAUAAUAUUGGCCGAAGUGUUUACGGCUUGAGCUCGGCUGUCGCCAAACACUAACCGGAGGCUCGUAGUUAGCUUCCCCAGUUUAAAGCUCCUAUGACUACGUGAAAGUUAUAAAGCCCGCAUAUCUGAUUGCCUCAUUUCCACUAACACAACCGCCUUCGGGCACCGAGACGUUGGCUAAGGGUUGCCUUGUUAUUGCGGAAACACCCUGCGUAGUAUCUACAAAGAGGUAGAAGCCGACGAUGGGCCACUUUCAACUGAUAAACGGUCGCAACGGAGUCAAAAUAAACAUAUCAUCGGCAUUUGUAUUUAUUAUACAAGGGCCGCCUUCCAUAAUCAUCGUUAUAAAGCCAUAAAUAUGCAUCAAUUUGACUUAAGAUUUUUGCCAAGCUGGGUUGCCUGGCUCCUGUGCUUACCCCUACGUUCCCGAUUGUUUGGCUAGGCGGUAAAGGGAGCACCUCUGUGAUUGUUACUACCGGGUCAUCCGAGUUAGUACCUCAGACUGGGUGAAGCCGAAAGGGAGCAAUCUUAAAAGAUCAUAUUGGUCGGCAACAACGACAGAUUUUGGUUCAUUAAUACCAUAGAGUUCGGGAACUUUCCCCGAACUAAAUCCUCAAUAUUUUCCUCCCACAUUGAUCGGAGGUGAGGUUUCAUGAUCAUGAUAAGCAUGACGACCCAAAGAAAGGAACCGAUAGCGGGACUAUUUUCCUUGAAAGAUGUUUCUUACAUUAAGUAAUAUAACAUAUCUCUCCACGUAACUUUGUUUAUAAAACCGUAUGACCAGAUUGCCUUGUUUCUCAUAAAUCUUUGCUCUCAUGAAUGCUUUAUAAAUAAGGACAAACACUCCCCGGCUGCUGGCCGAGGAGGUGGAAGCCGAUGGUCGGUCAACAAAGUUUUAUAUAAUGCGGACCCAAGCAUUAAUGAUGUAAAAUACUUGGAUACAUAGGAUCCUAAAUUGCCAGUAAAGUCGAUUUAUUGCAGCUCAUCUUUUAAAGACCAAGCGAGCAACUUACAUAAAUCUCUCCUAAAUCCCAAGUGGCAUCGAUUUCCUAUCUAUUAAGCCCCUUGGGGCCAACCUUGGCUAGCCCAGCUUUCGCUGGCUCUAGCUCCUUUAAGAGAUCUUUAUUCUCUUUUCGAGAAGUUUGUGUUAAACACAACAAAAUUUUCUGUCACACGAAUAUCGAUCCUUAAUUCAGCCACCUAUGCCCAUAUUAAGGCUCGGGGGCUACUGGGCUUCACGCUCAUUAUUUAUUUAGAUAUAUUAAAACUGAUCACCUUUCCAACCAUCUCAGGCCAUUAGCAUUCUUGGCCGUCGGAUCUUCAAUUCUAAGCUUUUUUGGCCGUCUAAUCAAACUCUUGAGCACUACUUCUGGCCGCUGGACCGGGCAGCUACUCUGAUAACUAAAUUGAAGGCAUGCAGUUAAUUGGCAGCUACUCCAGCGGGUGUUUAGCGAGGCAUUAAAGAUGCAUCAAUGGCGCAUGUGGGCGAUUGGAGCUGAUCAGGGGCACAUCGAUCCCUUGAUCUAGUGUUGCCACCCCACCAGUGUCUCGGGGGCUACUACGUUGCCUGUUCAAUGCAGAAAAUUCAAAGUGCUUAGUGUUCGGCUUGACCGAACUAUGGGCAAACGCGUCUUCGGACAACAAUAGGUACCAUCUGGACCUAUAUGGCGUCAAGCUAACAUAUUGCGGCAACUUCUCAAGACCCUCUCUCAAGGGCCCGUUCGCCGAUCACUAUUAUCUCUAAUAAUAUUACACUGCGUUUCUAUUCCUACGUAUGCUGCCGAGCUAGGAGUUAAUUCUCAGGCCGAUUUUGCAAAUCGACCUGAGUCUCAGGGGCUACCAGGAUCAACAGUUUUAUGUUUUCCUUCACGUGCACCUCGGGUUUAGACCGACACACACCUUGAGGGCUACCAGAUAUACAUAUACUGGCUAUAUACCUCGACAGAGAGUAAAUUGUACCAAUCAAAAAUAUAAACAAAAAUCGGCCCGCGGUCGGAGUGGUGCACCACCUCGGAAGCAGUCCGGCAUAAAGCUCGGGCUCCAGUGGCUGGCUCCAUAGAGGACAUUUCCGGCAUUAAGCUCGGCUGAAUUUGUUCAAUAUUUUAAAAGACCGAGGUAGUUUACGACACCUCAGACGCUGACCAUCGUUGGAGCUCAGAAGUGGUCCGGCUUAAAGCCCGGAUUCGAAUGGCUCGUUCCAUAGAGAACUUUUCAGCGUUAAACUCGGAUAACCUCCCUCAAACUUUUUCAAGCCAAGGUGAUCUAUGACACCUUGGAUAUAGUCCGGCGUUGGAGCUCGGAUAUAGUCCGGCGUUGGUGCUUGGCUGCAAAAGAUAUCUCAAAUGCAGUCCUGCGUUGGAGCUCGGAUGCAAGAGGACACUGCCGCACGGGAACAACUUCAAACCCGAGGUGUGGCGUAAAAAAUAAUCCUAAGGAAUUGAUAAAGGCCGAGAACUUAAAGGGGCUCCUCGGAUACCCGAUGUGUAAACCCUUCGGAUUCAUUUCGGCAAUCCUCAAGAUCAAAGACGAGAAGAUUUAUUGAACCAGUUUUCAACACCGACGACCGAAGAUUAAGAACAGUUUGAAAGGAUGGAGGAGCGUCCCCCACUUCAAGACCAGUUCAGGGGGCUACUGACGGUGUCCUGGACUAGGGGGUACUCAUCACAUCGUCUCCGGACCAGGUGGAUCGGGCCGAGGACCCCCAUGGCGGUUCACUCAUGGGCCACUUCGGGCAGCCCAUGUCGCAUACAAGGAGUAUUCCACAAGACUUAGUGAUCAAGACAAGGACUCCUCUCCACCAGCGUAUUCGGCUAGGACUGUUGUCAUCCUAGGCCUCUGGUGCAUUAUAUAAGCCAAGGCCAUGCUAGUCGAUAGAUCAUUAUGACAAUCAUACAAGAUAGACUUCUAGGGUUUAGCCAUUACGAUCUCGUGGUAGAUCAACUCUUGUAAUACUCAUAUUCAUCAAGAUCAAUCAAGAAGGAAGUAGGGUAUUACCUCCAUCGAGAGGGCCCGAACCUGGGUAAACAUCGUGUCCCCUGUCUCCUGUUACCAUCGACCUUUGACGCACAGUUCAGGACCCCCUACCCGAGAUCCGCCGGUUUUGACACAGACAGUUGCUAACCUUUGCGAACUUGGAUGGAUGGGGUGCCUUGAAAUCUUGACAAAUUUUGGUAAAAAUGGAGGUGAGCUUGAGAAAGAGGGGAAGAAAACAGAGAUGAGGGAAAAAACAGAGCGCUUCGGCUCGGGCUAGACAAAGCACUAUAUAUAGUGAUCUCUUUAGUCUCGGUUGAUUAUACAAACCGGACUAAAGGUGCACCUCUAGUCCUGGUUUGUGACACGAACCGGGACUAAAAGUGUUCGUGGGGCCCCAGCCUGACACCAGCCUGCCACCACCCCUUUAGUCCCUGUUCGUGUCAUGAACUGGUACUAGAGGUUCAACAUGAACCGGAACUAAUGAUGCCCACCCCACUAGCCGUUGGAACCGACACUAAUGGUCACAUUAGUACCGGUCCGUUUCCAAACCAGAAUUAAUGGGGCUCACGUAAAGUCAUUUUUCUACUUGUCUUGCUCCAUAUGUAGUCACUUGUUGAAAUCUCUAGAAAGACAAAUGUUUAGGAACAGAGGGAGUAGAAGCCGUCGGCCAAGGAGGGCCGAGCUCGAUCUCCCUUGGCCGGCGCGGUACCUACUUUGUGCUGGCGCUCCAUUUUCCCUUUUCGCGUGCGUCGAACGGCGACAAUGAAGAGGUAAGCCAAUUUAGCCGACUGCUGAGGGUCAUGUCUCCGAAUUUAUGGAGGGGUCAUGGCUUCGCGUGUGUUGGCCUCUGGAUAUCGGUCUCGAAUUCAUCACACGGAUGAAUGUCCAGACCAUCCAAACACCGGCAUUCGGGGCAAACAACGCCAAUGCCAAAUUCUUACUCAGAAUGUCAACAUCCAAAUGGCGCCUAAGGGUUUUUCUAGAUAUUUAGCAUAUAUAAUUCGUUCAAACUUUUUGAACUGCAAGUUCAUGAAAAUGCUCAAAAAUGGGCUGACAAUGUUAUUUGUGUUAAUGAAUCUAUGUUUAGACCUUAUCCAAUAUAAAUAAAAGACACCCAGACAUCAGGGUGCGAAAACACGACCCCAAACAUUGAGCUUAUUAGUUUUUUAAUUCCAGAAAAUGCAAAUAAAAUGUGAAAAAUAUGAAAACUGGCAUGGUGUCAUGAUAUGAUCCCUAGAUGUCGUAGUAAAAAUUUGAGUAGUUUUCACAGAAGUUAUGACAUACACUUCUUGGAAAUUGAAAAUCUCUCAGGAAGAAUCAUGGUUUUGAAAAGAAAUUGAUCGGGUUUGAAGGCAAAGUGUUAGUUGCUUUAUCAUUGGACCUUGAAACUUUUUCUACACUCAACAUACACCACCAUAUGCUACAUGCCGUAAUUUGGCAUUUUCAGGGUUUGUUUAUUUAAGUUAUUAAGUGAUUUUCUAGAAAAUCAAUGGAUAUAAUUCAAAUUUAAACUGCAAGUACAUGAAAAUGUUGCUAAAAAUGGGUUGAAAAAUUCUAUUUGUGUUAAUGAGUUUACUUUUAGACCUGAUCCAAUAAAAAGAAAAGGCAUCCCAAACAUCAUGCUGCCAAAACUCGACCCUAGACAUUGAGCUUGGCAUGGAGAAGAUCCUAAAGGUGGUGCUCCAUGAUUGUUUACAUGCACUCUCCAUUCUUACUAUCCUACUAUUCUGAAUGAUCUCUCGAAACAGGCUUGCAUACACUUUUAUUAAUAAAGCCACACUCUCCAUUCCUACUCUUCCGAUUGAUAUCUCCCUUUUGUCGUUUUUUUUGGAAAAAAGGUUUAAACCCUAUCUCUACAUCAAUCAAUGCAUACACCCAUCUUUAUUAAUUAUUCAACAAAGUUUUGACAAAAACAUGCAUCAAGCCACUUGAAGCCACCACUCACACCUAUAUCAAUGCCACCGGAAGCCAUCACUCUCACUCCCCAUAUCUAAAAUCGGUGUCGUCGCCGAUCCAUCCGCACAAUGUAUCGGAACGAAUAGCCGAUGCAGAAAACCUAAAGCGUACACCACUGCACACAUUUUAGAAGCCGCAAUUAUUAUCGAACCGCUGACUCAUCUUCAGAAAAGAGACCCGCAUCAUCCUUGCCAGUCCGGCCCUUCAUCUAUGCCACCACGGCGCCGAACAGCACCACCUCCGUACAAGCAAACUGCUGAGCACGUUGUGCUCGCCGUCGGUACACUGCAACACCAUGCUGCCAAGUACCACAGUCCCACACAGCUUGAAGUCUCUCGAAGAUCUCGUGCGUAUCACCUGCCGAACAGGCAUGACACGACGUAGCACCUAUUGCCAAGGAAUGACUUGACAUCUCCACUGAAGCUCCGUGCACGACGAAAUCGCUCCACCUCCUGCCUCUGUCUUCCAGGGCUACUCCACAAACGAUGCUCCCAAGAGAGAAACGACACCGUAGUGUCGCCAUCGUCCGAUUUGAAAGACCAGAUCCUAGGGUUUUCCCUUGAGCACCACGAGUGGGUCGACAUUAGUUACACGACGAUGCCUUCAUCAAGGUAACAACGUAGAACGCCGCCAUCACCCGCCGUCGGCUUGGUUUUCACCGGAAAGUAUGUCUCCCCGAUUCACAGCCGAGACUACAUGACGGGUCUCGUGAUCCGACCACCCAGCCUCAAGCCGACCACCUCCGACGGAAGAGACGACCAUCACCGCCAAGCCUAGGGUCGCUACCCCAGGUGCGCGUGAUGCAGAUCAAGACCAGGAGCGCCAGUCGCCACCUGCCGCCCGGAGAUUCGAUUUGCCAGCCGCCACCGUGCCACAUGAGACACGCAAACAAGGCAGAGAUCCACCACCGCCUUCGGCCACUGCCGCCGAAAGGGAAGCAGUAUACUCCGACCUGCGCCACUUGCCGGCCAGAUCCGGCCGCUGCCUCGAGCACGCCCCUCCCACCACGCACUACUAGGAAAAGGCCUACUAAUGGCGCACCAGUUUUGCCUACUAAUAGCGCAUCACUGGUGCGCCAUUACUAGCACGCCAUUAGUAAUUUUUACUAAUGGCGCACCACUGAUGCGCCAUUAGUAUCUGGUAUACUAAUGGCGCACCACUGGUGCGCCAUUAGUAUAGGCCACAGUGCUCCAUUAGUAUAGGCCACUGGUGCGCCAUUAGUAUAGGCCACGGUGCGCCAUUAGUAUUUUUGAAUUUUGAAGGCGGGAAAAUAGAAGUGGCGCACCAUCUAACCCCCACCGUGCGCCAUUGCUAUUUUUGAAUUUUGAAUUUGGAUCUGGAUCGUGAUUUUUUUGCCCAUUUUUUGCUAGUUUUUUUGCUCGUUUUUUGGCAUGAUAUUAUUUCAAAUUUUGUUCCUGUUUUUGGAUCUUGUACGUUCUUUUGCCGUGUUCUUUUGCCGGAGAGGAGUUCGCCGGAGAGGAGGAGGAGGAGGUGACCGGAGAGGCGCUCGCCUACAUCGCCAGAGAGGAGGAGGAGGUCGCCGGAGAGGAGUUCACCGAAGCAUCGGAGAGGAGGAAGGAGAAACCAUGAGGGAAUGGGAGGAGAGGAGGGAGGAGGAGCUCACCGGAGAGGAGGGAGGAGAAACCAUGAGGGGAGGGNNNNNNNNNNNNNNNNNNNNNNNNNNNNNNNNNNNNNNNNNNNNNNNNNNNNNNNNNNNNNNNNNNNNNNNNNNNNNNNNNNNNNNNNNNNNNNNNNNNNNNNNNNNNNNNNNNNNNNNNNNNNNNNNNNNNNNNNNNNNNNNNNNNNNNNNNNNNNNNNNNNNNNNNNNNNNNNNNNNNNNGGAGAAGGAGUGGAGGAGAGGAGAGGAGGAGAUGGAGUGGAGGAGAGGAGAGGAGGAGAUGGAGUGGAGGAGGUGCGCCCAGCCAUAUAUACGACAUAGUAAUGGCGCACCGUGGGCAGGUGCGCCAUUACAAACUUUUUUUUAUUUUUUUGACUUAUUUUAUAUUUUGAAGGCGGGAAGAUACUAAUGGCGCACCAUGGGCCGGUGCGCCAUUAGUAACUUUUUUUUUUGUUUUUUGACUUAUUUUGAAUUUUGAAGGCGGGAAGAUACUAAUGGCGCACCAUGGGCAGGUGCGCCAUUAGUAACUUUUUUUUAUUUUUUUGACUUAUUUUAAAUUUUGAAGGCGGGAAGAUACUAAUGGCGCACCAUGGGCAGGUGCGCCAUUAGUGAGUUUGAAUUUUUUUUUGAAUUUUUUUGCCUCUCCAGAUCUUAAAAGCCCUGUAUCUUUUUUUCUGUUAGGUUUUUGAGGAUUUUGAAAAUGUUUAACGGGGUUCCCCCAGUUAAAUUCGGAUGUAAUUUUUCGAGUAGAUGAUUUUUCAUAUAAAAAACUUUUUCAUCCGAGUUAGUAUGCAAAAGUUAUGCUCAUUUUUAUAAAUUCUCGAGAGAUUUUGCAAAUGAUGUCGAAAUUCAUAUUUGCAAAUUUUCCCAACAACUAGACCACAUAUCACAUGGNNNNNNNNNNNNNNNNNNNNNNNNNNNNNNNNNNNNNNNNNNNNNNNNNNNNNNNNNNNNNNNNNNNNNNNNNNNNNNNNNNNNNNNNNNNNNNNNNNNNNNNNNNNNNNNNNNNNNNNNNNNNNNNNNNNNNNNNNNNNNNNNNNNNNNNNNNNNNNNNNNNNNNNNNNNNNNNNNNNNNNNNNNNNNNNNNNNNNNNNNNNNNNNNNNNNNNNNNNNNNNNNNNNNNNNNNNNNNNNNNNNNNNNNNNNNNNNNNNNNNNNNNNNNNNNNNNNNNNNNNNNNNNNNNNNNNNNNNNNNNNNNNNNNNNNNNNNNNNNNNNNNNNNNNNNNNNNNNNNNNNNNNNNNNNNNNNNNNNNNNNNNNNNNNNNNNNNNNNNNNNNNNNNNNNNNNNNNNNNNNNNNNNNNNNNNNNNNNNNNNNNNNNNNNNNNNNNNNNNNNNNNNNNNNNNNNNNNNNNNNNNNNNNNNNNNNNNNNNNNNNNNNNNNNNNNNNNNNNNNNNNNNNNNNNNNNNNNNNNNNNNNNNNNNNNNNNNNNNNNNNNNNNNNNNNNNNNNNNNNNNNNNNNNNNNNNNNNNNNNNNNNNNNNNNNNNNNNNNNNNNNNNNNNNNNNNNNNNNNNNNNNNNNNNNNNNNNNNNNNNNNNNNNNNNNNNNNNNNNNNNNNNNNNNNNNNNNNNNNNNNNNNNNNNNNNNNNNNNNNNNNNNNNNNNNNNNNNNNNNNNNNNNNNNNNNNNNNNNNNNNNNNNNNNNNNNNNNNNNNNNNNNNNNNNNNNNNNNNNNNNNNNNNNNNNNNNNNNNNNNNNNNNNNNNNNNNNNNNNNNNNNNNNNNNNNNNNNNNNNNNNNNNNNNNNNNNNNNNNNNNNNNNNNNNNNNNNNNNNNNNNNNNNNNNNNNNNNNNNNNNNNNNNNNNNNNNNNNNCGAGGGUCCAAUGUAGGUUGAGGUUGAGACGCAAAUAGUUGGGAGAUCGGUUUUUUCUAUGAUUUACUUCCAAAUGAUAUGGUCGUAACUGGUCAUAUACAUGUCUAUGAGUUGAGCUCCAUAUGUCCAAGUUUUAUGUCUUUCCAUAAACAACGCUCCUCUGUUCUAAUAUACUUUACCUUAUAGACCGUUAUGAUGUUGCAAGAAACCCGAAUGCUGAAACUAAUGUAUGGCAUCAGCUUGGCGUACUUGGUACCACCCAGGAUUUAUAUCAGACUUUUCGGUGCCAGCUAUCAAGGGUAUCAAUAGGUGCUGAUCAAUGUUGUGUUGUGUUGCUAUUGGGCUCCCUUUCUUUAAAGUAUUGCCCUUUUUUAAUACAUCUAUAAUUAACUCGUCUGGUUUCUGUAGUUGUUCUUAAUUUUCAAAUUAUGAGCUUUUCAUUUGUAUGAGUGAUAAUUAGAAGAUUAUUGAGGUCUAUUAUGGCCUUACCAAACAUCAAAUUAAUCACCAUUAGUUGUAUGCCCAUGCUUUGCCGCCGAAAAACAAGGAGACGUGUAAAUUUGAAAAAUUUAUUGAAAGGUCAUACAUACAUUGCAUAAAUGUGUAGCUUCCCCGACUACAUUGUCCUCUUUCCUGCCCCCUCUCUGGCAACCAUCACAUGUUAAGUAACAUGAUUGUAUUAGGAAACAUAGAUUAGACCAGGAAUUAUUCUGGCUUGCCUUGUACUCCAAGUAGAUUAUGUACUCCUAUAUAUAUGCCCACGAGGCUCAAGCAAUACAAAGGACUAUUCCACCAAUCCUCUCUCUCCUCUUCUAACAUGGUAUCUAUCGCAAGUCGAUCCUAAACCCUAGCCGCCACCGCUUCUGCACCUGCCCGCCGCCCCCGGGGCGGUCGGCCUCCAUGACCGCCGCCGGGGGCCGCGCCGCCCGUACCUAGGGUUCGUCCGCGGGUCGUGUUGACCGGCUGCCCUAGAGAGUCUUUUUCCCGAGCCCUUGCUCCAGAUUUUUUUCGCUCUCUCGCCGGUCGUUUUGAUCGGCGUUUUUCUUUUUGGUUUUCCGAUCUAUGCUUGAUCGGUAUGCGUCGCCCGCCGCCGCCGUCGACACCGAGCGCCUCUACUUCGACCCCGGCGCGACCAGCCGGCCUCUCCUCCGACCAGGCAGCCACGCGCGACGAGGUGGCCCGUCAGGACCAGCCGUCGUGCGGGCGUCGGUCCACCCGUCGCCCUGCGCCGGCUGUCACCGCCCUGCUUCGACCGGGACACCUGCAUCGCCCCGACCCGGUGGCCACGCGCCACGCGAUGGCCAAUCAUGCAUAGUCGUCGCUCGCGUGCCGGUCCGCCCAUCGAUCCACAUCACCCGCCUUCGCCGCUCUGCACGGCGGCCCGGCGGUCUACCUCGCCGGCCUCGUCCUCGGCUGCGUCAGGCUUGUCGGCUGCCCUCAACUCGGGCACCGCUGCUCCGUUGGUCGCUCGGGCCUUGCUGCUCGGGCGCCGGUGUUGCUUUGGCAGCCCGGGUGCCGGUGCUGACAAGCUCGUCCGCACGACGUCUCACGCCGUCUGUCGUCACCGAUUUCAUCUCGGACUCCGCCGCCACCACGCCUCCACCGGGCGGCGUCCCCGACCUCGCGCGCGAUCGGCUUGAUCACCCGCUCGCCGCCGCGAUCCGCCUCCUCUACGCCGCGCAACCGACCUAGCCCAUUGGUGACGCGCGCCUCCGCAGGUCCCGUGAAGAUCGUCCUGAGUACCGCGCGCCUCUCCACCGAUCGAGUAUCGGGCUGCCGCUGCGUCGCCCCGUCGGGCCGCAGCGCCGCCGCCCCGUGGUUCUCCUCGUGGCUGCAUCGACUUGUGUGUCGCUGAUGCGUCGCCCCUUCGGGCCAUAGUGCCGCGAUACGCGGUCCCCGCCGCCGCCCCGAGGCCAUCCCCGCGGUUGCACCGACUCGCGAAUCGCCGUUGCGUCGCCCCUUCGGGCCGCAGCAUCGCGGCCCACGGUCCCUGCCGCCGCCCCGAGGUCUUCCCGCCGUCGCCCCGACCCGCCUGCCGUCGCUGCGUCGCCCCUUCGGGCCGUAGCGCUGUGGCCCGCGGUCCACUCCGCCAUCACCGCGCGUCGACCUCCCGUGGUAUGCGCCGCGCCUUCUCCCUUGGCGCGGGAACGCCACCGUCCGCGCCGGUCUUUGUCACGCUGUCAGGGUUCUUCACCUACUUCGAGCACCGCCGCCGCACUCCUAACCUAGCCGCUGCCACCGUCAGGCCGCCGCCGCCGCUCUUCUUUGGCCACUGCCGCCGCUACCUUAGUAGCCGCCGUCGCCGCCCGUCCACCCCCUUCGUCUUCGUCCAAGCACCAGCCUGUCGCCAGCGUCGCCGUCAUCUACGCCGACCACUUUGUCUACUCCGACCACCGUUGGUGCCAUCGGCCCCGCGCCGAAGGACGCCGCAAUCGUCGUCGAGUUCUUCUCUGUUGGCCCCUCCGACUUCUUCGACAUGGCGUAUAGCUCGUGCAGGUCCCUCGUCUACGCAUGCCCGAUGCUGACAACACCGAUGCGUGCCUUCAUCCACGACGUGUCCCCGGGCCUGGCAAGCAUGGUCGGCGCUUCGUCAACUUCGUCUUCAUCCGUCUACGCAUGCCCGGUGCUGGCAACAUCGAUGCGUGCCUUCGUCCAUGAUGUGUCCCGGGCUUGGCAAACCCGCUGCGAUGCGUCGUCAACAACAUUUUCUUCCCGGUGCACCCCUACUCCGACACCACUGCGCCCAUGCUAAUCAGGCGCCCCCUUGCACCCGCGGCUCCACGGCGACUUCCUCGACACCGGCUACCCCGACUCGACAUCAACCACGGCAUUCUUCACACGGCUACCUCGACCACGGCUUCACCACCCACGCUCUCGGCUACAUCGACAAACGGCACAAAGGGCUACCGUCUGCUUGAGCAUCCUCGUCCGUUUUCACUCCAGCCACGACUCCGCGAUCCAUCGACCGUUACGACUGUGGGGGGUGUCCGUCGGCUUGCCUUCGAAUUAUUCUCCAGUCUCACCGUCUGCGUCACUACCGUUGUGACUGCGGGGGGGAUGUUGAGUAACGUGAUUGUAUUAGGAAACAUAGGUUAGACUAGGAAUUAUUCUGGCUUGCCUUGUACUCCAAGUAAAACAUGUACUCCUAUAUAUAUGCCCACUGAGGCUCAAACAAUACAAGGGACUAUUGCACCAAUCCUCUCUCUCCUUUUCAACAUCACACACCUCUUUAUUUCCCAUUCUCCUUUCCAUGUGUUCCUCUAUUCUCAUCCUGACCCCUUCUCCUCCAUCUCUGCUCGCCCCUUAACCUUAUCUUUGUGUGUUAGGCUUCACCGUUGUCUUCUCAACUCUGAUAAAUCCAAGUGAAUACUUGGAAACCCAUAGCUUUUGUCUCAAGAGGCUGACACAAUGUAUAAAACCCAUCACCUCGAUGUGGAUAAUGAAGGAGACAACUAAGACGGCAGCCACCACAUGCCACCAUCGUCUCUAGUUCCAUAUUUGUGGACACGUCCCGUUGUCCGCUUUGUCGAAGUCUCCGCCUCUGACUCACUCGAGGGUAAUAUCUCACGGCCGGUAUGCUCACGUGCAAGAGAACAUCUUAGUGUGGAUUUUUUUCGAAAAGGAGGAUGACCCCUGCCUCUGCAUCUGAGAGAUGCAUACAACCAUUUUAUUGAUUAUUCUCGAGGACCUUACAAAGUAUAACAACAAUAUGCCUGAAACCGCCAUCUUGACAGCAUCUGCCGCUACACCUAUCCAAAUAAUGAAGGGGUACAAGCUGGACCACAUACCCAUACCUCUCACUAAGCCUAACAUCUAAAGCCGGAGGCCCGACCGAGCCAUCUGCCGGGUCCGGGGCUCAAACCGGUCUGACGCACUCACAUGUGUUGUCGCCGCCAUCUUCCACUAGUCCAUCUUCAGAGCAGAUUGAGGUAACAACCUUGGCAGGUCCUCCGCCAUCAACGCCACCAUGACGCCAAACGACGACCUUCACCUACGCGAGCCUUGGCAGGUCCUCCUCCAUUGACACCACCACGACGCCAACCGACGACCUCCACCUACGCGAGUCCAUCUCCAAGCAACGGACGUAAAUCCAUGCUAGGAAAGGGCCACACCACCGCCGUCACCCACCACCCACAAGUGCCACCCAACCCCAAGGUUCCCAAAGCAGUGCCUUCAAGAAGGCAAUGGCGCCGUGAGCGCCGCCUGCGCCCAACAGAGUUAGGGCUUUAGCCUGGGAGACCUAGGGGAAGGUGAAAUGAGGAGAUCAGUCCAUGCCGACGCCUCCAAGGAGGGAAACGGCGCCCUCAGGCAUCGCCAUCGGCGCGGCCGGUCAUGGCCGGCCAGGAAUUUCGCCCGAACUAGAUUUCCGCCACCAGCAGCACCUCUUGUGCAAAACCGGCGAACAAGAGGAAGCGCGGCCCGACCAAGCUGGCCCGCAUGCCGAAUAGGGGAGGAAGGGAGGCGCCAGAUCGCGCACACCGACCGCCGCAGAAGCCGCCGCCGACCACCAACGACUACCAGAUCCCGCCGCCAGCGCGGCCGGGACACCGGAUCCACCACCCGCAUAGCUGUUAGCCGGGCGUGCCUUGCCAAUGGAGCCGCUGCUCCAGAUCCGGCGUUCCCCACAUGUGAACAGGGCAACUGAGGCCCCACCGACACCAUCGUUGGCGCCCCAAACUUGCCCGACGGCUGCCUCAGGUGGCGGUGAGGGAGGAAGGAGGGGAUGGGUGGGGAGGAGGAGGCGGCUAGGGUUCCUUAGUGUGGAUCCUACACUUGUAUGUCAAAUACUCCCUCCAUUACAUACUAGUUUCGCUCAAAAGGAGUCCUAAUCCUACUACUACUAUAGGUGCAUAAUCAGAAUCUGACUAGGAUACACCACUACACGUCAUGUUUAUUCCUACAUUCACCCUCUAAACAUGACGUCCUCGGUGCGACUAGAUCCCAAAUACGAUGACUACUACUCAUAGGCGUCACCGUCGGCACUGCCUUCAUCGUUCCUCGCAACAUUUUAGGGACCAACUUUACUGCCGAUAGCUCAUCCAUUGCUUGACGGCAACACUCUCCUUUGAUCACAUUUUCAAACUUCACCUGUUCUUCGGUGCUUGAUAGACUGUCUUUCCUAUCUUCGAGCGUGACCAAACUUCGGUCUAACUUUGAGUUCCAAGCUCUUGGCGCUUGCUUCAGCCCGUAAAGUGCCUUCUUGAGCUUGUAAACUUUCCCUUGUUUGCCUUUCUUCUCGUAGAAGAGGGGUUGUUCCAGGUACAAUUCUUCUAUGAGCUCACCAUUGAGAAAAGCGGAUUUAACAUCCAUAUGAUGAACUUUCCAAUCCUUUUGUGCUGCCAAAGCUACGAGCACUCUCACCGUCUCAAUUCGAGCAACUGGUGCAAACACCUCCUCAUAGUCAACUCCUUGACGUUGUACGUAGCCCUUUGCAACGAGUCUUGCCUUGUACUUCACAUAAACUCUCUGCCGCGAUCUGUUCGUAGAGCGCGAACCUUCACCUUGUGUUCCAUCUCCGUUGCAGCCUUUAGCUUCUUGAACGCUUCAAAUGCCUCAUCUUUAGAUCGUAGGAGAACAACCCACAGGUAUCUUGAGUAGUCAUCUACUACAAGGAAGAAGUACUUCUUUCCUCCGUGAGUUGCUGGGGUGAUAGCUAGGACCACAUAGAUCGCCAUGGAUCAGCUCGAGUGCAUCACUUGCACGCUAGGUAGACUGAACAGGGAACGGCCGGCGGUGUUGUUUUCCAAUCAAGCACCCGUCACAUACUCGAUAAACAUGGUCAAUAAACGGCAUCCCAGAUACCAUCUCCAUCUUUGACAUCUUAAAGGCGUAGAAGUUAACGUGUCCAAAUCUAGCAUGUCAUAACCAUGAAUCAUCAUCACUCUUGGCGAGCCAACACUCCGGUUGAGAUUGAUCAAGGUUGAGGAUAUAAAGCCUGUUCCGCGUGCGAUUCACACGGGCUAGCACGUUUCAGAGGUUGUCAAAGAUCGUCAUCACUCCGUUCUCAAUAUCCACGUUGCAUCCAUUCUCAUCAAAUUUCCCGACAAAGAUGAUGUUGUUGCGAAGUCAUGGGAUAUAGUACACUCCGAUGAGUAUGCGAUGUUCUCCCGUGAGACCCUCGAAGAGGACAGAAUCUUGCCUGCAAAUCUCCACAUUUGAAUCAUCACCGAACUUGACCGAGCCUUGAACAUCAUAUUCUAGCUCGAGGAAUUCUCCUUGCACCCUGUCAUAUGGUUACGGGCACCCGUGUCUAGAUACCACGACACAUUUUGGCUACCGGAUAACUUUGGUGUUACUUUUUUCUCAUGAAGUAGCACCUUCCGGGUUGGUUUCACAACCACCAUAUCAUAAACUUCGGCCAUUAGAAGACCUGGACGUUCGUAUUCCUGCUUCGCCAAAUUUGCCUUGAUCUCCCGCUUGUUAGGCUCCGGAUAAUCCUUCGCAAAGUGACCCAUCUCAAAGCAGUUAUAGCACUUGAGCUCGGACAUAUCCAAGUUGCGUGGCUUCCGCUCUUUAGACCGGUCCGCCUUACCACGACCUUGUGGCUUGCCUUUUCCUUUGCCUUUUCCGGUUUGUCCGCCGCUCUUCGCGUUGCUUGAUCCUUCGCCAACGUUGUGCCUUCCUUUGCUACUUGGAGACCCCUAAUCUGCGACGAGUAGAUGAGUUGGUCACUACCUCCUCCUUUGCCUUUCUGACAACCAUGAUCAUUCUAUUCCCAUGUCCGCAAGCAUCCGAUCGCCUCCGUUAUGGUCAUGUCGUCGAUGUCGUAAAGCUGAUCGAGCGUGCCGAUCAUGUACGUGAAUUUAUCAGUCACCAAACUAAAAAACUUCUCCACAAUCUCGGCCUCCUCGAGCUUUGCACCGAGCGCGCGGAUCUCUCCCACCAAAGUAGUCAGACACAUGGCAUAGUCAUUCACCAAUUCAGUUUCCUCCAUCUGCAACUUGUGAAAUUGACGCUUCAGCACUUGUGCCCGAACCUUCGUGACGUGAUCUUGUCCCCUCAUCCCAUUGAUUGCGUUCCGCACCUCUCUUUCUGUCUCGAACUCCGCCAAUGUCAUCAGCACGGAAUCCGGCACAGGCUGAGCUAUGGCGGCCAUGGCACCAUCGUCACACUCCUUGUUGACGUCGUCGUCCGUGAUGGCCUCCCACACUUAAAGGGUUCGGAGAAUAAUCUUCAUCUUUACCGUUCACACGCCGUAGUUGGCGUCUGUAAGCAUCGGACUGGAUGGGGAUGUUGUGAUGAGCCAGUACGUUGGCGUCGCCGGCUCCGCCACUACUGGUUGCUGACUUGCCUCCCUUCUUAACCUUGUCGCCGUUCUUAUUCGCUUUGGAACCACCGUUGUCGGACUUGACCGACUCAGCAUGGCUGUCCCCAUCAUAGAUCGUAGAUCGUCAAGGCUCUAGAUACUAAUUGUUGGCUUCUGAACUGUAGUUCAACUCACCCGGGAACUACACGUACGACGUGCAAAGCUAGCUAGCUAGAAACCAAGCAGGAAAGCUGCUGGAUCGCGUCUAGCCGGCGACUUGCGUCUACGUAUGCCAUGCCAUAGCUUCUGUACGUGAGUGAGCUAGCGAUCAAUUCACGGCGGCGGAACUCGUGUGUAACGUGGCGAUGGGUGGAAAACACAGAUCGGUAUGAUGGCCAAAGGCUCGUAUCGAGCCUUGCUCUUACUUUGUAUUUCGUUGCUCUUUUUCGUUGGUGAUUACAGGUGCUAUAUGUGAGUAUAUACUACUCACUCCGUUUCAAAAUAAAUGUUUUGAGCUUAGUACAAUUUUGUAUUAGAGCUAGCACAAAGUUAAGACACGUAUUUUGGGACGGAGGGAGUACUAUUAUAGGUGCCUAAUCAGAGUCUGACGAGGAUACACCACUACACGUCAUGUUUAUUCCUACAACAAUUGGCGUGCUGUAUGCUAAAAAAAAACCAAUUGGCGUGCUGCACGUCUGAUCCGUAAUGGAUUGGAUACUUGACAAGGACCCGAGUGACGGUGACUGCGGGUCUGGCCUGAUCUCCGCCACCCCUGAACGCCGACGGGGAGCACGCCAUCGCCAUGAAGUGGACGGCAGCCCUCCGCUCGCCGCCUGUCUACACCGGCUGACGUGUUUUUGGGCACCCCGCACGGAUGGGGUCUGUACAAUCUGCUGAUCAAAGUACAGUAUGAUGCAUGCAUGGACGUGUCCAAAACUAUACCGGUCACUUGAAUUCUGAUGAAUAUAUGCUGUAAUUAUCUCAGAACAAGUGAAUUGCCGGAUGAAUUCUAUUUAGUUCAACUCUGCAACUGGUAGCAACUGACCGAUUCCCGUAAAAUAUUGGCCACAUCUUUUCUAACCUUCACCGUAGAUCUGUGCUUACCCAAGGCAAUCUCCUCUUAUCUUUUUUUCUCGAAUACGCACGAGUGUGCGUACUAUAUUAUAAAGAAGGGAUCGGGGUAAAGAGCCCGUCCACGUUAGUGUUACAGAUUACAUAUUUACACUGAACACUAACUCCACACUCCACCUAUCUCUCCUAAGUCUACGUACUCUCCCCUGCCCACUCCUCCACCUCGGCAAAGAAGGCGUCCAUGUCUCCUCACAGUAUGCCCGCUUGUUUCCAUAUACGGCCCUCUCGGAUGACUGCCUGGAUGAUCCGGUUCUUCGAGGGUGUGGCUCCGUCAAAGACGAUCGAGUUGCGAUGCUUCCAAAUCUGCCAUAGUCCUAGAAUGAUGAUUGCGUUAGCAUCCCUCUCAGCAGGCCUUCUUCCUCCCUUGUCUUGACACCACGCCCCGAGGUUUUCCCUUGCAGAAGGUAUCCACUCCGGCCUUCGCAAAGGGUGACAGAUCGCCGUCCACACUUCCCGUGCGACAACACACUCAAGGAGGACGUGAUUUAUGCUCUCCUCUUCUUGGCUGCACAUAGGGCAGUACUUUUGAUGGUCCAGUCCACGCCUAGCUAGCCGGUCGGAUGUCCAGCACCUGUCCUGGAUUGCAAGCCACGUGAAGAAACGGCAUGGCGCCGGUGCCCUUGAUUUCCAAGUGAAAGCGGCCGUGGGAACGACCUGCCUGCCCCAGAACUUGGCCGCAUAGGCGCUCCGCACUGAGAAACAUCUGCUAGCCUCCCAUGUCCAAGAGAUGGCAUCAUUUUGUGCUGGGUCCAGCUCAACUCGUUGGAUCAUCGUCCACAAUUGCAGGUAUUCACGCAACGAUUCAGCAGUGACCUCUGGGCUCACCUGGGUGACCCAGUUGUCGUUCAGGAGCGCCUGGGAGACGGUGCAUGUCCUUCUUAUUUUCCUCUUGACUCGCUCGCAGGCCAAGGGUGCGAUCUCUCCGAUCCUGUGGCCUUCAAGCCAUCUAUCUUCCCAAAAGAGCGCCGUAUUUCCAUCCCCUAGGGUCCAGCGAGCAGCCGCGUUGAAUAUCUGUGUUGAGGUUUUUGGCACCGUGAUGUCAAACUCCGCCCAUGGCCUUGUUGCAUCCGAUCGCUGUAACCAGGGCCAUCUUGCUUGCACCGCCUUGUUCAUCCAUCCUAGGUUGGGGAUGCCUAGUCCACCUGCCCACUUCGGGGCGCAGACCGAAUCCCAAGCGACCGCGCAGCUGCCACCGGACGAAUUCGCCUCCGCGCACCAAAGAAAACUGCGUCAUAUUCUGUUCAUUGCUGAGAUUGUCUUCUACGGGAGGCCAAGUGCCAUUAUCGCAUGUAGCGGUAUUGCACACAGCACGGACUGUACAAGGAGCAUUCUUCCACUCUUUGGCAUCUUCGCAGCUUUCCACUUUGGCAACGCCAUGGCAAGUUGAUCCACAAGGCCUGAUAGUUGAACAUGGGACUAUUUUCUGAGGGUGAGCGGCAAUCCAAGGUACUUGCACGGGAAGCUACCUCUCGGACAUCUCCUCUUAUCUUAUUUAAUGGUAACGGACUAGAGUCAAACGAAUUACAAUUUCCAAUUAUGCUAUAGGCUAUAGCAUUGCCCUAGGUUUAGGGUAGAAUAAUAGACUAGAGUCUAUCGAAUUUCAGUCGGCACACAACAACAAAAACCAAGUUCCAAUUUCUGUCAGGCUUGUGUAACCAUUAGAUAUGUGAAUAAAAGUACAACAUGAGCUAUCAUUAUUUUUAACUGCACGAUGUACUAUGUUAGAGGGCAAUCUUGAAUUUGUAGUGAACGGUUUGUUUUAGAAAACCAGGCACAGAAGGUCACAUGCACGCACAUGCACUUACUUCUAUGAACACACAUACAUGUACACCCUAUAAGCAUAUCCGAGAGAGCGUGUCGGCGAGUCUUGUGAUUGAUUGAGUCACCAUAGGAGCCUCGCUAUCGAUUGAAAGAAUAUUUGGUCUCAAAUGAGACUCACAUGUAUGGAACUUGAGGUAUGAUCCGUGAUGGGCUUGACUACAACUACCAUCCUAACUAUUGAACCACCCGUUGGUUCUCAAUUUACAUUACACAGAUGAAUGGUAAUUAACUUGUAGUACUAUUGCAACGAACAGGUUCCUCGCAUAGAAAUAGGGUACACAAGAAUACAAUCACACACAAAAAGAUCUAUUCCAUCCCCUCCGGUAAUGGCGGAUAGGUUGAAGCUUUGUCCCCUCCAUGCUACGCAACGAGAGACCGCGCACUUGCCUCCCAUCUGUCUGGCGCUCCAGUGCCCGGCGGCGGCGAGGGGAGUCUUAGUGAUUCUUUGGGCAGUAGUUUAGGAUAGGUUUCUUAGUCAUCAUAGGGACGACACCUUGGUAAGUGGCCACACUUCAUCUUCGAACUGGUUUUUCAUGUUUCGAUCCUCCUCGAGUUCGUCCGUCGAGACCGAAUCCAGCGCUCUGACGUAGAUUCCUACUAUCUCCUUGUGGCGGUGAGGUUAGGGUUUAUCACUGUGCAUCCAAGAUGGUAAGAUUUGGUGUUAGGCGAUUCAGAUCAAUUUCAACAGUUCAAUGACAACGACAAUAACUCUGAAGCGUUGGCCUUAGGGCUAAGUGCUCGAAGACUUCCUAGUUGUGGUCGACAAGAUUAAGUCAGCUCCAGUAAAGGAGCAGCGACUGCGAUGCGUCGACAACUCUUUCUUGCGGCGGUAGUGAUUUUUCAAUGGCCUUGGGAUCUCGAUGUAAUCUACUAUAUCACUAUGCUCUCUAGGGGUAAAAGGCCUCACAAUCAAUUGAGGUGUCCAAUUGGAAUUGGAUCACCCAAUUUCAACCAAGUCAAUAAUUCUCAAAGCUCUCAUUAAAUUCUGUUAUACUAUACACUAUGCUUCCUGAUUUUUGAGUCAUCACAAUUAACUGAGGUCUUCAAUUUAGAACUUGGUCACCUGAUUUUGACCGGGUCAAUAAUUUCUCAAGGAGCUCUCCCAUUUAAUUAUUUUAUUUCACCAUAUUUCCUAAUUUUGAAGCUCUUUUAUUCGAUUGAGAUAUUCAAUUUUGAAUUUGGUUUACAAUUUUGGUCGGACCAACGAUUUUUCAAAUCAAUCAACACCAAUCGGCUAGAAAAACAUAUCAACCCCGUGCACCCUCUUACCACAUAGAAAAAAGAGACGCCGCCAUAUGAUGAUACGGUAGCACCAAUAUAGUACAUGUAGGCACCGACGCAAAAAUAUACCCACAAAAGUAUGAGUUGAUUACUACAUAACACAGAAUCACACCAUGAAAGACCCACAAAUAACCGCAUUAUAAAUAAAUAUAAAACACACUCCAUCAUCUUCCCCAUCCGCCAAAUUAAAUAUUCCAUCAGUUCCAAAAUACAAGAGGUAUUAGUUCUUUGGAAAGUCAAAUUUCUUUAACUUUGACCAAGUUUAGAGCCAAAAAUAUCGACAUCCACAAUAUUAAGCCAAUUUCUUUUGAAAAUUCAUUUCAUGAUGAAUCUAAUAACUCUAAUUUGAUAUUACGAAUUUUGAUAUAUAUUUUCAUACAUGUGAUCAAACUUAAAAAGGUUGGACUUUUCAAAAAAGUAAUACACCUUAUAUUUUAAAACAGAAUGAAUGACUUUUUAAAAGAUUCCCAACAACACCAAUGGUGCAGCAAAGCGUGCCCAACCCUUCUAGUUCCCAUUAUGUUUUGGACACUUCAUUCUUCUGGUGAACCUUUAUAAUAGAUCCGGGUCCCUUUCACAACAAAAGAAAAAGAAAAUUGAACAUGCUCUUCAAUGAUCUUAACCUUAUGUAGUUUCGGUGUCCCAAUUUGAUUGCUAGAAAAAUAAGUUUUUAUAUCUUUAUUUCAUGCCCAACCAGGCACCACAUAUUAUUUGGUAAUUUAUUAUAGCGCUGUGGCAUUUUCCCAGAAUUUUCCUAUUAGUUGAUGGAACUAGUCGGCGUAAGAAAAGACGACGUAGUCCUUGCGUGCACCAGCCCUGUCACAAUCCGCCAUCUCUUCCGAGCCUAUCCACAUCACCCACAUCAUGUAGGUUGGCGUACAUGAGAUGCCACACGAGCGCCACAGUGCAUCGUAUCUUUUGAUGCCCGCAUAAUAAAAUAUUUCCAGUAUUCUUUGUGUUCCCUCUUUCUCUAUGCAAUGGAACUGUGGCCGCACGGGAUCACUGAGCUAGCCAUAUGUGACAAGAGCCGUAUCUGUGCUUGCAUAAGAGCUAGUCCAGUAGUCGCCAUAGCAGCCCCGCAUAUGCAUACAGAGCAUUUCAUAUGCAUUAUGGAGGCCGUUCAGACAAGACGAAAGUCAGUCUUUUACAAGGGCUGCAUUCGUAUUGUAGGACCUCUAGUCAGUGGCAUGUUCUUUUUUCCUCCAAUCUUCAAUACACAUUUAGUUAAAUGAAUAACAUGUUAAAUCCGAGCACGACGGCGAGGGCUUGGAUGACCACGGGCACGAAGGUGAGGGCGAGGACGAUUCUGUUGGGUAUUGAUUUCGGUGGCGAUAGUGGCAACUUGAUUCCAGCAGUGGUGACUCGAUUCCGACGGUGAUACUCAAACUGUGGAUGCCUGUCAUAAUGCUUUUCACAAUUUCAAGCAUCGCCAUUGAUUUCACGAAUUCACAGCUAGAGCACACAUACAUAGCACAUGAUGACAAACUGCUCGUCCACAUGCACAGAUCCACCCAAUGAUAAAAAUUAUACUAAACAUUUUGGGGACACAUAAGAAAACAAUUAAUGAAAUCGUUGUAUGUCCCAUGAAAUUGUGAGUAUAAGUUUUGACAUCGCUUCACGGUGAUCCCACUCAUACCCGAGAUCAUCACCAGUCUGUCGGCGUGAUAGUGGAGGUUGUGGAUGGCUAGAAGGAAAGUGUAGGCUACGGGCGCCGAGAAGGCAAGUGGAACUUGUGGAUCUUUUCAUAGCUGCGUCUCACACCACCCUGAAGACCAAGGCGGAUCGGCUGUUCAGAGUCUUCACCAAUUUGACCAGGGCCAAGAAGCUACUCCCUCCAUUUUUAUAUAUAAGGUCACUGUCAGAAUUACAAUUUUCAGCUAUAUUAGGUCACUAACAGUAAUCGAGACAAAAUUGAUGGUGUUUGUCUCGUACUAGCAACCAAGGGCAAUAAUAUCCCUUGCAUGCAUGUAGGAAUAAGAAGUUUGGUUUGAAUGCGCUGCAUUAAUCAACCAAUGAGGAGUGAGAUGGUUGUCUUGUUGUGAGUUGAACAGAAAAAUACACAUUAAUUGAUACACCAAAAAAGGAGGAAAGCUAGAUUUCAACAAUGGAUAAAACCGACAUUAAUGUUUACCUUAGUACCUGUAAUAUGAGUUUGCGGCGUUGUAUACAAAAAUGGAAGAAAUAUUAUAGUUGGACCAGCUAGUAACCUUCGGCCUGAAGGAAGCCAUUAAGACAGACGAGAAACUAAGGUCCUGUUUGGUCCAUAAGUCCUAGGAUUUUUUUGAGUCUCAACUAAAAAGUCGCUAGUCCCUAAAAAGUUCCUAUCUGUUUGGUUUCUAGGACUAAACAUAGACUAAAAGACCAUGUUACAACUAAAAAUCCCAAAAAGACUCUUCCUCAGGGUCUUCUUUCAUAAGUUCCAAAUGCCCAUUCUAAGUCCCUAUAAAUCCCUUAUGCUUGGUUUAGAUGGGACUAAAAGGGACUUUUUCAAGUCCCUACAUCAAUAAGUCCAUGUAAACAAACACCCCCUAAGGAGGCGACAGGACGGAGAUCCAGACGGUGAUGCGUGAGCUCGAGAAAAGGGACGAUCUACUCAAGAGUGAAGAGCGCGAAGGAGGUGAUGCAGGACAUGUUCUCAGUCCUUUGGCCCAACGAGCUACGAGCAUCUUUGCCCUUGUCAGCACAAUGAAGCAGGGGCAGUGAGGUUGGGAUUUUUCGUUCCGCAUGCAAGACGAAAAGAUUGCGAUGAUUACAUGCCGUCAACAGCUCGCUCUUGUGACUAUAGUGGUCGUUCAGUGGUUCAAGGAUCUGAUUAUAAUUCUUCAUUAUGGUGAUGUUGAACAUGUAUAUAUGUAUGUAGGUCCGGGUUUUGUAUGAUGCAUCUGUAGUGUCUCUCUCCCCCUUAAUCUACUUGUAUCUUGGAAGACAAGACACCGGUCGCACCCCUUGUACUUAUAUAUGUGCUUAGUGCACGAUCAAUGAGAAUAUCGAUGCACACAAUCCCUCUUUCCCAAACUUACAUGGUUUCAGAUACCGUAUCGAUCCUUUCUUAAUCGCUUCCGCAACCCUAGCCGCCACCAUCUGCUGUUGCCGCCGCUACCACCUCCCCAUGCCCUGCCCCCCUUCCCGCAGCCGCGCCCUCCACCAGCCAUCGUGCCGCCGCCACCCCUUCUCCAACCCUAGCCGCCACCUCCACCCUAGCCGCCUCCCCUUCCCUCGCGCGUCGCCACCAUGUCCAUCGCCUCAUCUACCUCCAACCCCUUUGCCAGUCCAGACCCCGCCGACAUUCGCGACAUCAACAUCCAUGACCGCGUUCUUGUGAUCCUCGAUGCCACCAACUCCACGUACUACACGUGGAAGACCUAUUUCUCGCUCCUUUUCCAUGAGAACAAUCUCGUGGAUCAUGUCGACAGCACCGUCGACUCUCGCGCCAUGGUGAACGACUCCAAGAGGACUGCGAUCGACGCUACGGUCAUUCGGUGGUUCUUCACCACCAUCUUCAAGGACCUGUUUCACACGGUCGUGACUGAUGGGGUUGAUGCACGCGCCAUGUUGGUCAAGCUCAACGGCCUCUUCACCCGACAACAAGCUUCAACGUCGCGUCUUUCUGCAGCAGGAAUUUUUGACUAUGAUCAGGAUGAAUAGUCCAUUGAUGACUAUUGCCGCCGCCUCAAGACGUUGUCGGAUGAGCUCCGUGACAUCGGCGCCAGGAUUGAUGACGACCACCUUCAAAGCACGCUCACCGCCAGCCUCAACGAGGACUUCGGCAACGCCGCCGCCAACCUCACCUUGAUGUCGGAGCCCUCCUUCCCCAAGUUUGUGGCAUACUUGCGGUUGGAGGAGCACCGGAUGAAGGGGGUGACGAAGCGCGUGCAGCACCACGCCCUCACCGCCGGCACCUAUCAUGGCACCCCACCACCACCCGCGUCGUGGCAGCAAACGCAGCCCCCCGCACCCCAGGGGUAUUACCCCCUCCCGCCCGCGCCCCCCACUCCUCUCGCUGCUCCCUAACAGCGGCCUCAAGGCGGCGGGCGGCCCGGCAACCGCCGCCACGGCGGGCGCAAGCAGCAGGAGCAGGCGCACGGGGGUGGCCAGGAGUACGGGGGGCACCUCAUCAGCAAUAGCCCUCCCCGUCGUGGACUUAUGGCACCAACCCGUGGACAGGAGUUGUCCACGCAUACUCGAUGCCAGUGCCCCGGCCCCCCGCCCCGGGCAUCCUUGGGCCCCGUCCGGCGAGGCACCAGGCAAAUCUUGCCGCGCCCUACGCCGCCCCCCUACCCGGCCCUCCCUGCAUCGCCGACCACGGGUGGCUAUGGUGCCGCUCCAGAGCCACCUUAUGGCAGGUUCUACCCUCCCCUGGUGCAGCCGCCGUGGGAUCCCGCCCUCCUCGCCGCCUUGCACUCGGCUCCGCCACCUAGCAACUACGGUGGCGGCGGUGACUGGUACAUGGAGUCGGGCGCCACUGCUCAUAUGACAUUUCAUCCCGAUAACCUUACGUCUUCCACUCCCAUUCAUACUCCCACUCGCAUCACCGUUGGUAACGGUUCCUCUUUACCCAUUACACAUGGCGGGUCAUAUGUCGUUUCCAUCUACUUCUACUCCUAUUAACAUAUCUAAUAUUCUUGUCUCUCCUGACUUAGUCACAAACCUUGUAUCUGUUCAUCGCCUUGCUCGUGAGAAUCCUAUUACUGUCGAAUUUGAUGAUGUUGGCUUCUCUGUGAAGGACGCCCGUACACGGAUGGUACUCCACUGAUGUGAUAGCCCCGAUGAGCUCUACCCGGUGCAUCCCUCUGCCACCACCGCCACCCGUCCAGCCGCCCUCACCGCUAGCAUCGACCUUUGGCACACUCAUCUCGGUCAUCCCAACUCCUCGGUUUUGUGUCAUAUUCUUCAGAGUUUUUCCUUCUCAUGUAAUAAGGUUGACAACCACACUUGUGCGGCAUGCCGUCUCGGUAAGCAUGUUCAUCUUCUGUUAGCGAGUCUACACACAUUUCCACUUUUUCGUUUCAAUUAUUGCAUAGUGAUGUUUGGACGUCCCCGGUUGCAAGCAACACGGGCUAUCUAUACUAUUAGGUGAUAUUCGAUGAUUUCUCUCAUUAUGCGUAGACGUUUCCUCUCCGUCGCAAGUCCGACGCCCUCACCAAACUCACCAUCUUUUAUUCAUGCGUAGACAGUUUGGUCGUCCUAUCCUUACACUACAAACUAACAACAUAAAAGAGUUUGACAACGUCGCCGUCGGUAAUCUCCUCACUUCUCAUGGCACCAUCUUUCGCCUCACUUGUCCUUACACGUUCUAGCAAAAUGGUCGCGAUGAGCGCCUCAUUCGCACUCUUAAUGACUGUGUCCGCACGUUUCUCUUCCACUCCAACGUGCCCCCUCGGUUCUUGCCACUGCCAGCCUCCUCAUUAACAUCCGCCCGGGCCGCCCUCGCUGGAACUAUGCUCCCCACCAGCUCCUCUUUGGUGCGGCCCCAUCUUAUGAUGGCCUUCGCAUCUUCGGGUGCCUUUGUUAUCCUAGCACCGCAUCCACCACUCCUCACAAACUCGCUCCCCGGUCGCUCCCUUGCAUCUUUCUCGGUUAACCGCCCAACACCAAAGGUUACCGGUGCUAUGAUCCAGUGUCCCACCGCAUUUAUACAUCGUGGCACGUGUACUUUGAUGAGCUGGUGUUCCCUUUUCAGCAGGUACCGUCCCUCCCCAUGCAGCCUUCAACGCGUCCCGCGGCGCAGCUUGCCCCCGCCACCACCUACGACGGGUCGUCCCCUUCGUCGAGAAGUGCCCUGGCCCAGGCCCGUCCCGCGCACCCCGCACCCUCUAGCCUGGCCGGCCCUUCCAGAGGCCCCGCAGACAUGGCGGGUUUAGCCGCCCCCUCCAGCGGCGCCUCAGGUGAGGCCCUCUCCACGGACGCCCCUGCCGCCAUGGUCUCCGGUGCCCCCUUGGGUUCUCCCGCCACCGCAGUAUCUGACUCGGUCCCGCCGGGCGCUGCCGCAGAUCUCUCAGCAUCAUUGGAGACCGGCUCGCCCUCCUCAUCGCCGAUCUCCACUUCAGCUCCGCCGACGACGACUGCACCCCUCACCGGUUUGGUCACUCGGGCUCGGACCGGGACGUUUCGUCCUAGCACGCGCUACACCUCCGACGAGUACGCAUGUGUCGCGUCUUCCUCGACCCCGUCUCCGCUACCCACCUCGGCUCGCGCAGCCCUUCGGGAUCCGAACUGGCUUGCUGCGAUGCGUGAGGAGUUUGAUGCCCUACAGCGUAACCGUACGUGGCAGCUUGUACCGUGGCCUCACCGUGCCAAUGUUAUCACUAGCAAGUGGGUUUUCCGCCACAAGACUCGCCCCAACGGUUCCCUCGAGCGCUAUAAGGCACGUUGGGUGGUGCGCGACUUCCGACAGCACGCUGGUGUGGACUUCACGACACCUUCGCCCCGGUUGUCAAACUGGGCACGAUUCACGCCGUUCUCCAGCUGGCUGUCUCUCGCGCCUGGCCAGUUCUCUAGCUCGACGUGUCCAAUGCCUUCUUGCAUGGUCACCUCGAUGAGAAGGUGUUUUAUUAGCAGCCCACUGGCUUCGUCGACAUCGCCUAUCCGGACCACGUGUGCUUGCUCUCCCGUUCUUUUUACGGGUUGAAGCAGGCACCUCGGGCCUGGUACCAAUGUAUUGCGGCCUUCCUCCAGCAGCAGGGGUUCUAGUCCACAUGGUCUGAUAUCUCCCUGUUUGUUUAUCAUGAGGGCGCCGCUAUCGUGUGCCUUCUCCUGUACGUCGACGACACCAUCCUGACUGUGUCCUCGCUAGCGUUACUUCAGCAGAUAACCGCUCGCCUUGGCACCAAAUUUGCCCUCAAGGACUUGGGGGCUCUCCACUACUUCCUCAGCAUCGAGGUCGUUCGCCGUGCCACUGGCUUCUUUCUGCAUCAGCAGAAGUACGCCUACGAGCUUCUGGAGCAAACGGGCAUGCUUAAUUGCAAGCCUGCUUCCACGCCUGUCGAUACGAAGGCUAAGGUGUCCGCCGUCGAGGGAUCCCUGGCGUCCGACGCUCCCUUCUACCGCUCCAUCAUCGGUGCUCUUCAGUAUCUCACGCUAACGCGGACGAAUAUUAAGUAUGCUGUUCAGCAGGUGUUGCUUCACAUGCAUGCCCCUCGUGACACCCAUUGGGCUCUAGUGAAAUGUAUCCCCCGGUACAUACGUGGCGCCAUGGCUAUGGGUCUCACCCUGACGGCGUCCUCUGACACCGGCCUCGUCGCCUACUCCGACGCCGACUGGGCUGGGUGCCCCGAAACACAGCGCUCCACCUCCGGCUACUCUAUCUACCUCAGGCCCUCUCCGAUCUCGUGGUCAUCUAAACGACAACCCACGGUUUCAAAAUCGAGCGCCAAGGCUGAGUACAGGGCUAUGGCUAAGGCCGUCGCGGAGUGCUCCCGGCUCCGACAGCUACUUCAGGAGAUGCUAUGUGAGGUUCCCAAGGCCGCGAUUGUCUACUAUGACAACUCUCCGCGGUCUACCUCUCUGCCAACCCUGUUCAUCAUCGCCGAACGAAGCAUAUUGAGCUCGACAUCCAAUUCGUCCGGGAGCACGUCGCACUUGGUCGUGUUUGAGUUUUGCAUGUGCCCACUGAUCAGCAGUUCACGGUUCGCAGAUGUCAUGACGAAGGGACUACCUACCUCGACUUUCAAGGGCUUUCGGUCCAGUCUUUGCGUCACCGGCGACGCUUCGACUGCGGGGAGGGGGGUGUUGAACAUGUAUGUACGUAUGUAGGUUCGGGUUUUGUAUGCUGCACCUGUUGUGUUUCUCUUCCCCUGUAUCUACUUGUAUCUUGGGAGACAAGACACCGAUCGCCCCCUUGUACCUAUAUAUGUGCCUAGUGCACGAUCAAUGAGAAUAUCGAUGCACACAAUCCCUCUCCCCAAAAUUUACAGUUGAAAUGCUUCGUACUUUUGGUGGAAGCUUAUAAUGAAUCAUGUCCUUUUCGCGAAAUAAAUAAAUAAACUAAACAUGUUCCUAUGUCUUUAUUGUUUCGUCGUCUCACUUGGUUUUGCUAGAAAAAUACUGAGUUUCUAUGUCUUUAUUUCAUGCCCAACCAGACGCAUUAUUUGGUAAUCAAUAAUAGUGAUGCGGCAUUUUUCUACAAUAUCUCCUAGAAUCGGAUAGAAGUAGUCGGUGUAAGAAAAGUCGAUGUAGUCCUUGCAUGAUACUAGGCCGGUCACAAUCCGCCCUCUCUUCCGAGAUUAUCCACGUCAUCUAGAUUGGUGUACAUGAUACAUUGAGAUGCAAUUAUCACUAUGGGUGCGGCUAAUCUGCAUCCGGGCUCAUCUGCACCCACGCUUAGAAAAAAAUUCAAAAAAAAUACCGAAAAAAUUCAAAAAAUUCCAAACUUUUUUGUGGUGGUAGAUAAUUUUACGUGUGAGGUGCGCCCCGAAAUUCAACUCAUUUGAGCAUCUGAGCAGCUCUCGGUAAAAAAGACAAAAUCAGGGUCUGUAAAAAUGUGUAUUGUUCACGCACUGUUUUGACCCCGAUUUGUCUUUUUUGCCGAGAGCUGCUCAGAUGUCCAAAUAAGUUGAAUUUUGGGGCGCACCUCACGCGUCAAAUUAUCUACCACCACAAAAAAGUUUGGAAUUUUUUGAAUUUUUUUAGUUUUUUUUUGAAUUUUUUACUGAGAGGGAGCAGAUGAGCCCGGGCAUCGUUUUGAGUUUUUCUUAUCGCUAUAGUGCAUUCUAUCUUUUGACGUCUGCAUAAUAAAAUCAUCCCAGUAUUCUUUGUGUUCCUCUUUUUCUGUGCCAUGGAACUGUGGCCGCACGGGAUCACUGUAUUUCACUGAGAACACGCAUAUCUGUCCAGAACUUGCAUAGGGAAAAUCUCCCCUCUCAAUUAGCUAGCUUGAGCCAGCAUCAUGUCCACGACAAGGAUUGAUGGACUAUGGCCGAGCUGUCCACGUCAAAGGCACGGGAGUUGAGCAGUACGAGUUGCUAGUUGGGAAAUAUCUGAGUGCACUCGUGCUUGUGAUGCUGCCGGUGCACCGGCUCUCCAUAGCACAUUUUAAAAUGUGAAAAAAAUGGAAACAAUUAAGCACAUCCAAACAACAUCACUAUUUGAUGUCGUAAAUUUUUAAAUCAAAAUUAUCAUUUCUUGAGAUAAAGAAAUGUCAACUUUAACACUAAAUAGUAUAUAAGUUGGGCUUUAGAUUUGAUCCAUUAUCACAUUGAUGUUAAAUUUAUCAUUUCUGUAUCUCGAGUAAUGUUUCUAAUUUUGAUUUGAAAUUUUGUGACAACAAAUAUGGAUGUUCUGGACGGUGAGGUUAGGGUUUCUUGGUGUGCAUUCAAGACGACAAGAUUUCGGCGACUGCAUGGCGUCGGCAACUCGUUCUUGCAGCGGUACUGGUCGUCCAAUGUUCCAGGGAUCUCGAUGUAAUUCUUAAUUAAGCUGGGAUGUUUUUGUACUUCUCGUGAACAUUUAUAAUGGAUCCAAGUCCUUUUCACACAAAUAAAUAAGUAAAGUAAACAUUUUGCUCAGUGGUCUUGGCCUUAUAUUGUUACGUCGUCUUACUUGAUUUUGCUAGAAAAUACUAAGUUUCUAUGUCUGCAUUUCAUGCCCAACAAGACCCACAUAUUAUUUGGUAACUAGAACAGCAUAGUGGCAUUUUUCUACAAUAUUUCCUAAAAUCUAUAUCAGUAUAAAAAUACUCGAAGAGGCGUAUCCAAGUAAUUUCUUUCAUAAAUCCAUGAUAAUAGAAUUACCUAGAUUACUUCCAUGGUGAGCUCUCAACAUGUUUAGUAUGCAAUAAAUACAUAUAUCUAUAUCAAUACAAAUAUAAAAAGACUCAAAUGGGCGGAUCCAAGUAAUCUGAACCAUCAAGUCAGGUUAAUCCAACGACCUAUGCUGCUUCAAUGGUGAGCGCUUAACAUGUUUAGCAUGCAAUUAAUAUCAUACUGAAUAUCAAUAUUAGUGCUAGUCACAUAAUUAAGGCGUAAAUAAUAUCCUAUCAGUAUUUGCAUGCAACUAAUACGUGGUCUAAUAUCAACGUGCAUGACAUGUGCACAUUUAUUAGUAGUAUACAAAAUAUCAAUACCAACACCAAUCACAUAUUACCAUGCAAUCAAUAUCCUAUCUAGUACUACAAUUAAUACCUAAUCCAGUAUCAUCGUGCAAUUAUUAUUCUUUUAAAUAUCAGUGUGCAGGCAAGUACUCCGUCCGUUUCUUUUUAGUCUGCACAUAAGAUUUGGUUAAAGUUUGACUUAUUUUACGGAAAAAAAUAUCAACAUUUACAAUACUAGUGUUAUAUGUUAUGAAAAUUAAUUUUAUGAUACAUCUAAUAAUAUUGAUUUCAUAGUGUGAAUGUUAAUAUCUUUUUCUACAAAGCUAGUCAAACUUUACAAAGUUUGAUUUUGACCAAAUCUUAUAUGCAAACUAAAAAUAAACGGAGGGAGUACGCAUUUACUAGUCGGAUAGAAGUAGUGGGCAGAGAAAAGUCGACAUAGUCACAUUUUACCGUCUCUUUUGAGAUUAUCCACAUCAUCUAGAUUGGUGUGCAUUUAUUUUGCGAAUACGCAAAGCUUGUGUAUCCAUUCAUCGAUAGAAGAAGCUAAAAUGUUAAUGAAGGCAUGGUACAUCACAUGGCAAUACACUAUUAGGGAAAACCUUAUACACAAAACUUUAACAAUAGCGGAUCCUAAAAACAACGCUAGUGCUAAGUAGCAGUAGCACAUUGGUGUAAAGCGCAUUACCGAUAAAAUUGUAGCAGUAGCGCGCCUUCAGAUAACCGCGCUACUACAAAAAUUCCCACGGCUUAGCCGAUGGGCUACACAUAGUAGUAGCGAGCUGCGAAGAACCGCGCUACCGCUACAAGCUUUGUAGCAGCGCGUUUAGGCGGAAACGCGCUACUGAUAUAGGAAAUAAAAUUAAAUAGAAAGAAAAUAGAAAAGUAAAUGAAAAUGAAAAAAAUAGAAAAAGGAGAAAGGAAAAAUUAAAAUGUAAAGAAAAUUAAAUGAAAAAGGGGAAAAGAGAGAAAGGAAUAGCAGUAGCGCGUAUCCAGGAACGCGCAAUAGCUAGCUUAGCAGUAGCGCACUUUCUUGAACGCGCUACUGCUACUUCUAACUUAACCGCGCGAUUCUUUCUUCCCCACGGCCACUUCCCCCAAAUCGAAACUCCUCCGCUGUCGCCGUCGCCCGUUGGCCGCCGCGCGCUCUCCCGUCGCUCUCCGCACACCCUCGACGCCGCCCCCGCCCCCGAAUUCGACGCCGCCCUCGACCACGACCUCGACGCCGGCCCCGACCUCGAUGCCGCCCCCGACCCCGACGUCGACGCCGACCUCCGCCAUGCACCCGCGCCCCGACCACGACCUUGACACCGCCUGCCACUCCCUCGCCGCAGGCACCCGAGGUGAGCACGCCUGCUCCUCCCCCUCUCCUACCUCUGCCUAGGGUUCUUCAAAUUUUAAUUGCAUCAAAUUAGCUAGUUAGGGUUCAUCUAUGGGUGGAAACGAAUCGGAUGCGGAUAUUGCUUAAGUGUAUUAGUCAAUAGCUAUGUGACAUGAAGUAUUCAACUUGUGACAUACAAUAAGUCAAUGAUAAAUAGGUUUAUGAAUAAACAAUAUUGUAAUGCAUAAUAAUUUCUAAGAUCAAUCAUAAAACAAGUAAAAUUUAACCACUUAUUUGAAUUUUAAGUUGGAUAAUUGAAAUAUCCGAUCGAAUACGAAUAUAGGAUAUUUCAGAUUAUCCGCUACCACUUUUUACCCCUAGGUUCAUCAAAUUAGAUGGUAAUUAGAGUAGUUCCUAGGUACUAAUUAGUUAGUCAGAACUAGGUACUAAUUAGGUACUAGUUUGUUUUUAUUUAUAGUAAGUUUAUUUUAGUAAGAACUAGUUGAACAUGUCACUUUUGUUGUUAUUUUUUUAGUUAAAGCAAUUAUUCCCGUAUCGACGUCAACGAUGCCUAUCCCGCAUCCUCGUCAUCGACUCGGCGGAGGACACCUGCUUGAGCAGAUGGGCCAUGUCCGGGACUGGGCUCCGCCGGGCUGAUACUGGGAGGCGCUACCUAGCAGGGGGGCGCAACUUGAUGAGGAGUCAACCCGUCAUUGACCCGAACCUUUUUUGGUGACAGUCACGUGGGCCAGUGACGGUCUAGAGGCUUGAUGACCUCGCGGAGGUGGUGCGUCAUCGUGUCAGCGAGGAGGACACGCACGUCCAUCGCUACUUGGUUGUGUUGGAGCACAGGUUCUGCAAUACCUGGCAGGUUCUCCAGGGAUCACUAGAGCUUUGAUCCUAUGAUGGUUCCUUCUUUUUGGGUGUCCACCGCCCGCGCCGAUACCCGUCGUUCGCUAGGGUUUUAGUUGUAUUAGUGAUACUAUAGGUAUGAUAUUAUUCGGGAUGUUCCAGUGAUAAUAUUCGACGCAAGAGAUGAUUUACUUUUGCUAGUGAUAAUAUUCGACACAAGAUAUGAUUUACUUUUGCUUAUUGAAUGCAUGCUAAAUUGAAUACUUAUUUAUUUUACGAUUUGAUUUUGCUUAUUGAAUGCUCAUGUCAAUAUGAGUCCUAUAAGAUAUUUUGAAAUGUAUAUAUUGUGUUGCUCAAAUAGGAUAUGUGCUUGCCCAAGUGGUCGGUCAUGUUUGCAGGUUACACCUCCGAGUGGCCUAUGUUUUGCCGGAGUGUUGAUUCAUUUUCGUUCCGGCAAAUUUCAGGCGCUCGAUAUGUCCUAUUUUAGCAAAGUCAUGACGGAUUUUUUUCGUGAAUUUUGGCAUGACUUAUGCCAGAAUAUGUAGGAAAUAUCGAGUGCCCUGAAUUUGUGUGUUGAGUAUCCUGGUAGUUGUCUUCGAUCGAUUUUCAAUUAAUGUUUCAACUAUGAACAUAGGAAAUGUCUGACAACGAAAAUGAUUUCAGUAUUUGCAAAUACUGUGAAGACGAGCGCGACCUGUGCGACGGAAUCUUCCUAGAUGAUGAUAGGCGCUUCAGCAUCAAGCUGGACGAGAACUUCGAAGUGGAUACAGUAAGUCACAACGACAAGUCCUUUUUCGUAAUUAAGCAUGACAUCUGCUUCAUUUGCUUCAACUUAUAUUUUUUUUACUAUUCUACUAGCGUAUCCCCUGCCAUGCAAGAGCUUUUGUCUUGGAUAAAAUAGAUUUCAGUCGUAUGAAAACUACUAUGGAGGUAAAGAGAGUUUACUUGAAGAUCGAGUAUGGUUAUACUUUCCACGCAAAAUUAUACAACGCAGACACCUACACCUAUUUUGAAUGCAAAACUUGGCAAGCACUAUGCAAGGCCUAUGCAUUUGAGCCUGAUAUGGUUAUCACCUUUGAUAUUCGUCCGGAAGAUGAUAUUGAAGGUAAUACCGAUAUUUGGGUCGAUGUGCAGAUGCCUCCAGUUCUACCAUUAUGUGAGUGUUCCUCAACCAUAUUUAUGUCUUCGAUAUUGUUUAUUUCAAAAAUAGUUCACAACUAAUUUCUAUUGACAGCUUAUUUCCAUUCAAACAAACAUGUUCAGCGCUUGGUAGACAGGACCUACUACUGUCCCGGGGCUGAAAUAAACUGCUAGGAGAUAAGUCAUUAUGUUUCAUGGCUUGAGAAUCUCCAUACUGUCAAGACAAAUUAUUUUUCUGGACUUAAAAAUCUUAGUACUCAAAACGUGCAACCUAUAGUGUUCGUACCGAACUACGGUCACAUCUAUUUAGGAAAGAUGGUAAGAUUUUUACUAUUUGUCCUCGGUGCAUCUUUUGCAUACAUUAUUUUUUAAGCUAAACUUCAUUGCUAAGUAUGUUACUAUACGAUGUUCUUCAACAGGGACUCCCGAUGAAUGUUGUGCCUCAUUGGAUCGAGACUAAAGGUUGCAUGAGAAUUGUUAGCUUACGGCCAAGACAUCCUACAAUGCACUUUAGUGCAUUCAGGAUUCCUAAUAGCGAGGAAUGCUUAAUAGUGAAAGACUGGAGCAAAAUUGUGAACGAUCGCUGAGAAGUACUAGGGGCAGCAAUCAGAAGAGCAUCCCAUGAUUAGGAGACAGGUUCAUCUGCAUGCUCCAACAUGAUGAAGAAGGAGUGUGACACAUAUUUUAUGCUAUUUUACCUGAGAGAGAGCAGCAGGAGUGAUUAGCUAGCUAGAAAUGAGUUUGAAGAUGAUGAUGUGCUACACUAUGACUAUGAUGAUUAGAUAGCUAGUGUUGGUGGUAAUGACUGAUGAUUAUUAUUAGCUAGUGUUGGUGGUGAUUAGAUAGCUACCGUAGCUAGUGUUGGUGAUGAUUAGCUAGCUAGAAUGAGUUUGAAGAUGAUGAUGUGCUACACUAUGACUAUGAUGAUUAAAUAGCUACUGUUGGUGGUAAUGACUAUGAUGAUGAUUAAAUAGCUUGUGCUGGCAGAUUAGAUUCAAGUGGAGUCAACAUGUGGUGCACAUCGAAAUUACUACUAGUCCAAACUUGAUCAAGUUUGGAUUAGUAGUAUACUUUUGACAUGCACCACAUGUUGCCUCCACUUGAACCUAAUCCACCUUCAUUUGACACACUGUUAUGGACAUAAUGAUAUAAACCUCAUAAUUGGUAUUGUACCAAAAUUUGUAUAACGGCGUAUAAAUAUACUAAAAAUAAAAAAAUGAAAAAAAAAGAAUACUAGUAGCGGUUGACAGUAAACACGCUGCUACUAGCUAGAUUAGCAGUAGCCCGGUAGCGAACACAUGCAGCGGCUAUAUGUCUUAGCAGUAGCGCAUGUGGCACCCGCUACUGCUAAGUAAUAGCUGUAGCGCCUUACUAUUAGCGCGGUGUCCCGCGCUACAAGUGGGCAUUAAACUCGCGCUACUACUAGGGUUUUACCUAGUAGUGCAACCUCAAACUGGCAUAAAUAUAGUGCCCGAAGUAGAAAAAAUUGGGAUGCUCAGCUCAAACAGAAUUGAGUUAAUUGCAUGGAGAUACCACACUUGGGGCAGGUGUGAUGGAUCAAUACCACUAUUCAUUUUUUGCAUGUCGGUACCAUGUCUCGGGCAACUUGUUAUAAAACGGUAUAAACAACGUAUGACACCGUAUUGAUGAUGUAUCUGACCAUGCAGCCCCACAUGUUAGGUGACUUGGUGGCCAAUCGGCGCAUGCCACUCCGCUAAAUAGGACGAUGCCGGCUCGGUUAGUCUUGGAUGGGUCAAACCGAUUCAAACCAUACGAACCCUAGUUCCUCCUCUUCCUCUCCCCAUGCGGCUCUCAGGCGAUGGCGGUGGUGACUCAGGGUGGAGGUGCCGGUGGCUGUAGUAGCGGUGGCGGUGUGGGCGGCUAUGGAGACCUUCUUGGCCUUGGGAGUGAUGCACACGGAGGAAUCGACAGUGGCUACUCUAGUUCUUCAUAUUACUAUAACGACAAUGACGCGUGCAUGGAGCCGCCAUUUUCCAUGGAGCAGCGGGUGUGGCUGGCUGAGAUUUGGGCGGCCAACCCGACCACGAGCCAUCGUUGGACCCACGGAGUGGGUGGCGUGUUGUAAGUUCCUCUCCUGCCACUAGUAGAAAAAGGCCCAUUUGUCCCGGUUCAUGAGGCCAAUUUCUCCCGGUUGACGAACCGGGACUAAAGGGUCGGUACUAAAGCCCAACACCUUUAGUCCCGGUUCGCCCAAGAACUGGGACAGAUGGGCUCCAUGUGGCCGUUGCGGCUUUCCCAGGCAGGAGGGCCUUUUGUCCCGGUUGGUGCCACCAACCGGGACCAAAAGGCUUCCACGGGUCAGCNNNNNNNNNNNNNNNNNNNNNNNNNNNNNNNNNNNNNNNNNNNNNNNNNNNNNNNNNNNNNNNNNNNNNNNNNNNNNNNNNNNNNNNNNNNNNNNNNNNNNNNNNNNNNNNNNNNNNNNNNNNNNNNNNNNNNNNNNNNNNNNNNNNNNNNNNNNNNNNNNNNNNNNNNNNNNNNNNNNNNNNNNNNNNNNNNNNNNNNNNNNNNNNNNNNNNNNNNNNNNNNNNNNNNNNNNNNNNNNNNNNNNNNNNNNNNNNNNNNNNNNNNNNNNNNNNNNNNNNNNNNNNNNNNNNNNNNNNNNNNNNNNNNNNNNNNNNNNNNNNNNNNNNNNNNNNNNNNNNNNNNNNNNNNGUUAAUUUAGGGGUUUCAUAUAUUGUGUUAGCUAGCUAACAGAGAGAAGUGUCCUCUCUUAUCUCCGUGCUAGCUAAUAUAUUAUGUUAGCUAGUUAAUUUAGGGGUAUAUAUAGGCACAUCAUUGGUCCCGGUUCGUGGCUUGAACCGGGACUAAAGGACACCCUUUGGUCCCGGUUCAAGCCACCAACCGGGACCAAUGGUGGUGGGCCAGGAGCGAGGCCCAUUGGUCCCGGUUCAUCCCACCAAACAGGACCAAAGGGGCCAGAAAAAUCGGGACCAAUGCCCCCACGAGGCCCGGCAAGCUCCCCGGCCUCAUGAACCAGGACCAAUGCCCCCAUGGGUCCCGGUUCGUGACUGAACCGGGACUAAUGGACUUAUCUGGCUUGAACCAAAGCCCUGUUUUCGACUAGUGUCCCUUCUUUCUAUCUUCAUUUUAUGCCAUACUUGGGGGCUAGGGUUUACUGAAAAUGUACAAAUUUGCUGUCACUUGUAGUUUAGAUAAUGAUGUUUGGGGUGUUAGGAUUCACUUUGAUGCUCAGCAUAAUUUGGAUAGGCAGAUAUGCAACUCAUAUGUCACAUUUCUGAAUGUGUGUGCAUUCUUGCAAAUGCAAGGAUUUACUUUGUCAGAUAAACUGUACCACAUGGAUAAUCCAGGCAUAGGAGAGCAGAGAGAGCAUGUCUUAGAAUUGGUAGACACAAACAUCAAAUCGCGGCAACUUAAGAGGCAGUAUGAGGAGAGUAGAGUUCUGAAUUUUUUAGUGAGGGCAACAACACCUGACAGUACUAUAUCUCACAGAGAAGAAGAAUUAGCCGCAAUUGUAUAUGAAGCACCUCUUAUGUAUGAUCUCAGUGAGCUUGUUGUGCUUGUUGUUGAUGAUCAAGGUAUUGUUUUUGAGAGCCAGUGCAACAGCAGUAGUGAAGUACAACCUCCUGAUAUGUGCACACAAAAGAGCAGAAAUGUUUGUAAGUAGAAGCUCAAAGCUGUGGUGGAAGAAGUAGCGGAGAAGGGAUAUACGAGUACUGAUGACUCAGAGGGUGCAACAACCCAAAGUAAACUAAAGAACAUCAGAGCAUCCGCAUUGCAAACUAAUCUCCUGGACAAAUAAUUUAAGAAAUGAACUUUACAAAAAGUACAACAGCUAUAAUGCAUUGAACAUUGAGCAUCUACACUAAACAAUCAUCGAGUUGCCCAAUUAAACAAUGAGCACCUUCACUGCAAACUAAACUCUGGGUCAAAUAUAAAAUUAACAUCUUCUUGCCAAAUUAAAUAUACAAGGAGUGCAUGAGCACAUGCCUACACAACUUACUCAAAUGAUGAGCAUCAGUACUACUAAAUGGCUAAAAAAUGACCACUAGUACUACUAAGAGCAGAAUCUUACUUGCUAGCACAAACUAGUACCAAUUUUAAUACAGAGAACAUGCUACUACCAAUUUUAAUACAAGCAAUAGAGAAUACACAGAAUCGUACUCUCCGAGGACAAACUAGGAACCUCCCGCCCAUCUCAAAUCCUUCACAGACUACAUGCCUCUCAGCUGGCAGAAGAUGGAGCUCGCAACGAACAAUGGGUCCUGUCUCAAUGCCCAUGUAGUCUUGGUCUUCAAUGCUAGCAGGGAUCUAUAGGAGAAAAAUAAACCAAAACCACGAAAUCCAAAAUCAAAUCCCCACUAGUAGAAAAUGGGCCUUUUGUCCCGGUUCCAAAGGGCCUUUAGUCCCGGUUCAGGAACCGGGACAAAAGGGUCGAGACUAAAGCCCCCCCCCCCUUUAGUCCCGGUUGUGUUACGAACCGGGACUAAAGGCCCUUCACGUGGCCGCUCUCUGGAGCUUCACCUUUAGUCCCGGUUGGUAACACCAAGCGGGACUAAAGGUUGUUUUUUUGAAAUUUUGUUUUUCUGAAUUUUUUGAAAAAGAAAAUUGUAUUUUUUUUGAUUUUUUUUACUUAUUUUUAAAUUUCUGAAUUAUUUGACAAUUCAGUCUCUAAUCACCCAUCAUCACUGCUCAAUUAUGAACCACUCAUUCCAAAUCAUCUAACUUCUCGACCGGUCACUCAUCCUCUCACUACUCUAGCCUGAGCACGCUUAACUUACUAGUUCUAUUCCCCCUAGUUUUCAAGUCUGCACUUGUUGUUUUCCUGACAAUACUAAGUUGUCAAUCCUAUUAACCCUUAGGAGUUGAACUUGAGCAUUAAGCAUCGUUUGAGUUUGAAACUAUUAUUCUAAAAACAAUAAUUAUUUAAUAACAUUAAUAUUUCUUGAAUAAGUAGUUUACCAUAGUUUGACCACAGUUUGACCAUAGUUUGACCACAGUUUGCCAUAGUUUGACCACAGUUUGACCAAAAGUCAAAAAAACUAAAAAUAAUUAUUUAGUAACACUAAUAUUUCUUGAAUAAGUAGUUUGACCAUAGUUUGACCACAGUUUGACCAGAUUUGACCAAAAGUCAAAAAACUAAAAAUAAUUAUAUAUUAACACUAAUAUUUCUUGAAUAAGUAGUUUGACCAUACUUUGACUAGAUUUGACCAUACUUUGACCAGAUUUGACCGUAGUUUGACCAUAGUUUGACCAAAAGUGAAAAAAAACUAAAAAUAAUUAUUUAUCAAUAUUAAUAUUUCUUGAAUAAGUAGGUUGACCAUAGUUUGAUCAGAUUUAACAAAAAGUAAAAAAAACUGAAAUUGAGCAUAUAUUUUUUUUCCUUUCACAAUUUGAGGAUUCUAAAAAUUUGCAAACAGGCCUAUGGCUGUCAAAAUCAGAUGCGGACUUUCGUGAUGAUUUUUUUGAUGUAUUAUGCGUUUCUUUUCGACAUCUUAUGCAAAAGAUAUGGCCGUUUUACAUUUUAUAACACCUUUUUGCAAAAUAUGUCCAAAUUUAAGUUUUUUAAUUUUCCUAACUAAUAGAAGUAGUAACAUAACUACAUCUCGAAGGAUUUCAAUUUUUGAAGAUUUUGUCAUUUUAUUUUUGUUUUUUACAAACUGAAAAGGCGAUAAGGGGGGGGGGGGUAGAGUUUGAACUUUUAGUCCCGGUUUGAGAAAUGAACCGGGACUAAAGGGCAUCACACCCUUUAGUCCCGGUUCAUGUCUCAAACCGGGACUAAAGGUCCCAUUUGAACUGGGACUAAUGCCUUCCUGACGCCUUAGCCGCUCGAACCGGGACUAAUGCUCACAUUAGUCCCGAUUCGUGAUGCAACCGGGACUAAUGUGUACAUUGAGCUGUGACCAAUGCCAUGUUUUCUACUAGUGCCCCAAAGCAGAAACCCUAACCCUAGCUCUACCACUCACCAUCUACUGCGUGCCAUUAGAGGAGUUGUUGUACUACAUGUUGGAGUAGUCGUCGCUGCUCUCAUCCUCAUCCACCAUGGUGUGGAGGCGGUGGCGGACUACACGAAAGUCGAUGGCGAAUCAGAGACAGGAGGGCGGGAGCAAGAGAGGGGACUAGGGUUCGAGGGGAGUUCGUCCGGUUCGAAUCGGUUCGACUGGCGCACAUACACCGACCGAGCUCGCUUCGUCCUAGUCAGCGGAGUGGCACACGCCCAUUGGCCGUCGUGUUACCUGAAAGGUGAGACCGCACAGUCGGAUACAGUGUCAAUACGACGUCAUACAGUGUUUAGACCGUAUUGUAACAAGUUGCUCCAGACAUGAUAUUGACAUGAAAAAAACAAGCGAAUAGUAGUGUUGAUCUGUCACACCUGUCCGGAGUGUGGUAUCUUCAUGCGAUGAACCCAACAAAAUCUACAACACAACGAGUCUGUUUGGAUCCAUGGGUUAGAGUUAGUUUGGACUCAACUAACCUAAAAAUAUCCAAACAGGAGGGUUAAUUUGGGUUAUAGGCAUCUAACCCUCCCAAAAAAAAACCACCCAAGAGGUGCUUAUUUGGGUUAGUUUUCCUCGGGACCACUAAAAAGCACAUUUUUCUCUUGCUUUCUCCACAGCAGAUCCCUCCUCACUUCCUCAAAGCUUCUCGUCCUCUCCCUCCCUCCCUCUCGCACCACCCUUGAAAGUGCCUCGCCAUAUCCGCGCUCCUGUCCGCCGCCGGUAAGUAGCCCCGCCCUAUCCUCCAGUUCCAACCCCCUCGUCUCCUCGGGGCCCGUCCACCCGACUGUAAGCAGUCGCGGCUCCUUGCGCGGCCCGUCCCCGUCGGCCUCGGCCGGCGCGGCUCCUUGCGCAGGAACGGCGGAUUCGGCCGGCGGGCUACGCGAGAGGCCAGCACGGCUCCUUGCCGAGCGCAUCCCCGUCUGCCUCGUCCACACCAAAUCCGGCAGAAAAUAGGAUCCAAAGUAGCCAAAUGAUUGAGAAAGAGCAUUCAUUGACAAUCUAACCCUGCCAUCCAAACACCUCUUUAGAUAGAGUUAGUUCGGGAUCAAUUCAGGAUUAGAAUCUAACUCUAACUGAGUUACAGUAUCCAAACAGGACCAACAACGCAAAACUAUCCUGACCAAGACGAAGAUGGGUGUGCAUGAGAUGACACGAUCGCCACAGUGCAUUGUAUCUUUUGACGUCUGCAUAGUAAAACUACCCAGUAUUCUUCGUGUUCCAUCUUUUUUCUGUGCCAUGGAACCGUGGCCCCACGAGAUCACUGUAUUUCACUGAGAUUAGGCAUAUGUGACAGGAACCGUAUCUGUGUUUGCAUAGGGAAAUCUCCUCACUCUCUCUCUCUCUGACUACUCAAUUACCUCUCCGGCAUCAUGUCUACGACAAGCAUUGAUGGACUAUGGCCGAGCUGUCCAUGUCAACAGCGCUUGAGUUGCUACUAGCGCCUGCGCCCAUGCCACCCACGAGUAUACAGUAGCAUUGCCCUAGGUUCCAGGGGGAAUCAUCCACAAGCAUUCAUGGACUAGGGCCGAAUCUGUACACGACAACUAGAGUUGAGAAGGAGCGGUGGCCAGCUCUGAGUCCUUUGCGCCCACGGGUUUGCGUCGGCACACAACAACAAAAACCAAGAUUGAACCGGGAGUCAGAGCAUCUCCAACAGCCGCGCUAAACUAGCGCCGCGCCGCAAAAUAGGCCUUUUUAGCGCGCGCGCAAUGCGGCGGCUCGCUCCAGCGUGCGCGCAAAAACGGCGCGCGCGCAAUAACGGGUUGGGCGCGCGGUCAAAAACACUUAUCCGCGCGGUGUAUUUGGAGCGCCAGCUACAGCGCGCGGCACACUAGAGCACUCGCGCCCGCACUCUCUCCCUCUCCUCCUCCUACGCCCCGCGCGCGCCGGCGCCGGCGCCCUGCCCCCCGCCAUGGACGCGCACACCGGCGCCCCGCUCACUCCGCUGUACAUCCGCGACCCCCCCGCCGCCGCCGCCGGAAACCCUAGCGCGGCGAGCGCUGGCGUCGCCACCGCCGGAGCUCCGCCGCCUCGCGCGCAGUCUCUUCUUGCCGCCGCGGAUGACUACGGCGCCGGCGCCGGGUGGCGUCGCGCCGGCGCCAUCCCGUGCCGCCGCCGCACCGUCGAAGAAGGUACCCAAUGCGGCGCGGGCGAAGAAGGGCAAAACAUCCGCGAAGAAGAACAAGGCGGCGGACGGCUCCGACAUGGCGAGGGGGAAAAAGCUUGCAGGGCGUCCGCGAAGAAGAACAAGGCUCCGGCAGGCAUGGGUGCACCUCCGGCCGCCAUGGGUGCACCUCCGGCCGCCAUGGCUUCUCACACACAUUCCCAUGAAGAUGCCGUUGAAGAUCUUGCCAACACCGUCGGAGCUUCACAUGAUGCGGUGCGUGAUGCGGUGCGUGAUGAAGAUAGGGAGGAAGGUUCAUCUUCGGAGGCGGAAGAGUCGUCUUCGGAAGAGGACGAAGACGAAGAAGAGGAAGAUGAAGAUGAAGCUUGAUGUGUCUUUCAUGUCUUGAACUUUUAGUUUGCAUUUGAACUUGGUUGGAUGAACUUGUGGGCAUGAUUUUGAUGAACUUGUGGGCAUGAACUUUUAUUCAUCAACUUGUUUGUGUCAAAUUUUACAUGUUCAUUUUUGUCCAAAAUAUCCAUAUAUGCAAAAUGCCCGGCGAGUCGCGCGCGCUGCUGGAGCGGCAUUUCAAAACCAGCCGCAGCGCGCGCUAACAGGUUUUUUGCGCGCGGCGCUUUAGCGCGGCCGUUGGAGAUGCUCUCAGUCGUGGGCCUGGUGGCCACGGACUAAUAGUACUGUAGUAGUAGUACUGAAUCACUUGCAACACGUACGCAUGCUUACCACGCGCGCGCGCACACGCUAUAAGAUGAGACGCACCGCCCAGCAGGUUUCUUACAGAGUAGCUGCGUUCGUGUAUACAUAGCAUAUAGCAAACCACCACUGAAUCCAUCAUCCAUGGCGAGAUGCUGGCUGCUGCUCGUCUUCAUGGCGUUCAUCUUGCCGGCGGCGAACGCGACGCCGUGCCACCCUGACGACCUCCACGCUCUGCGGGGCUUCGCCGGGGAGCUCGGCGGUGGGGGAGCCCUCCUCCGCGCCGCAUGGUCCGGCGCCUCGUGCUGCGGCUGGGAAGGUGUGGGCUGCGACAGCACCAGCGGCCGCGUCACGGUGCUGCGGCUCCCCUGGCGCGGCCUGGCGGGGCAAAUCCCUGGAGGCUCUCUAGCGGGCCUCGUGUGGCUGGAGGAGCUCUUCCUCGGCUCGAACCAUUUCGUGGGCGUCCUCCCAGACGAGCUCUUCGGCCUCGUCAAGCUAAGGAAGCUCUCCCUCGCAUCCAACGAGCUCACCGGCGAGGUGAGCCCACGCCUCGGUGAGCUCACACACCUUACCUUGUUGGAUUUGUCUGCUAACCGCUUCUCCGGCCCCCUGCCCGACGUGUUCGGUGACCUCACGUCGCUAGAGCAUUUGGCCAUGCAUUCUAAUGGCUUCUCCGGCUUCUUGCCACCGUCUCUUUCAUCACUAUCUUCUCUCCGUGAGCUCAACCUCCGAAACAACUCCAUGUCCGGUCCGAUUGCUCGUGUUAGCUUCUCCGACAUGCCACUUCUUGCCUCGCUUGACUUUUCCACAAACUCCCUGACUGGGUGGAUCCCGACUAGCCUCGCCGGCUGCGGUGAGCUCAAGUCGCUCAACCUUGCCAACAACAUAUUGGUCGGCACCAUCCCGUCGUGGAUUGGUGAGUUUGACAACCUUUGGUACUUGAAUCUCUCAAAUAAUUCAUUUGUCGGCGAGGUACCCAAAAGUUUGUUACGGCUCAAAGGCCUCGCCACUGCGGGCCGUUCAUCGGGUAUGGUUUUCAUUAACAUGCCCUCUUUCGUAAAUUAUGAAAGAAGAGCACUCGAUGAACAACCAAAUACCAUAACUGGGACCAACAACACAGUGAGAUCUGGGCGCAACAACACCAUGUCUGGGAACGACAACAUUGUCAUGUCUGGAGACAGCAACACUGUGUCCGGGAGCUUCAACACCCUCGUAUGUGGAAACAACAAUAUACUAAGUGGUGACCACCAUGUUGUAUCUGGAAGCAACCAUAUUGUAACUAACAGUUUCAAUAAAGUGACGGGCUGCACAAAUAAUGUAUCUGGGAGCAACCAUACUGUAUCCGGGAGCAACAAUACCGUAACCGGGAGCAGCAAUACGGUAUCUGGGAACAACCAUGUCGUGUCUGGGAGCAACAGAGUCGUAACCGGAGACUAAUGAUCAGUCAGUGGACUGAUUUCAUCUACAAGUAUGAAGUCCCAAAGCACAUCUAAGAGAGACUCGUGAAGAGAAGAAUAAAUGGUUCUCCCAGUCUGAACUGAAAACCUAGGUUGAUGGAUACUCUAGCUUGUUCCAAGUUUGGGGACGCUCCAUCAAAACCUUUUGUAUCUUUAUUACUGUUUUUUUAGCAUGUUUCAAUGUCCGCAACCAUAUUAGUAUGUAUUUCCGUACUUGUAAUAUUAGUGUUAUCUUCAAGCCUGCCAUGAGAAUUAGUAUAUCCAAUGAACUCGUCGUUUUUAGAUGAAUGUCUUUAUUACAGCUUAUGGUUAUUGUUAUUUGAUGUGCGAAUCCGGUUGAAUGAUCCCUUGUUACUUUUUAUUUGGUCAUGGCCGAUGGAUGCAAAUUGUGAGGUGGGGACGUGGGUACGGCCUGGAGUUGGGUUAGGAUAAGCUCAUGCUGCUAGGUUACGACGAGGCAGUGCAUGGUUCAUAUACAGAUGGGUUGGACGAGGCAGUGCAUGAGCCCCCUGCCCGGACGUACAUGCAUGCUACUCUAUGACUUGACAGGCUUUGGCUGCAUGCCUCCCUCCCUCCCCUCUAUCUCAUGUAGUCACGUGAGUCCAUGCAUGGCCUUGACUGGCUGGAGAAUCAUUGCUUCUUUUUUUGUCCUUUUUUCCGCUCCUCCCUCCUCGUGCUUUCUCUCUGUGUAUAUGACAUGAAUGCACGUAUGUCCUUGACAGGCUGCAGAGAAUCGUUUGGAGUAUCUCAGUUGGUGCCGCUGGCAAACAAACACGCCACAACCGAGAUGGCUCCAUGAUUACCGAUUUGCCCCGCGAACGUACGUGGCAUCAGGCUAUCAAUAAUUCAGCACACACUGUGACGAGCAUAGGGUUAUGGCUCCCUGCACAGAUAAAAAGAGAUUGGGUGUGGGUCGGCCACAACAAGCUUGCUUGAUAUAGCGAUGUUGACAAUGCCGACACUUUCACUCGCAUCAAAUUCCUCGUGCUCGCAUCGAUGAAGGGUUGUGAAGCAAACAAAUUUGAGGUAGGGUGCAGAAUCCCGAGUCCCGGCUCGUAGAAUUUGUAGUUGAGCUUGCCAACGUGUAUGGUCACUCGUAGUAGGUGCAUGAAAGCACUCUAGGUACAUUUCAGCCAGCUGACUUUUCAUUUUAUGGUCAGUCAAUUUUCUGUUUGUUGGAUGUGCUUUGAGAUCUGUGCUUUUUUCAGUUAUUUAUCUGUUUAGUUCUGUUCUUGGGUUGGGCUGUGUGGAAUCGAUAGACUCCUAUUUUGGGUCAGUCGAAUUGCUUUUUGGGCUCGUUUUUGUUCUUCUAGGUUGCAUUUUUUCCUUUUCUUUAUUGGUUAUUUUUUGUUUUUGUGGUUUUUGGCUGAGGGUACUUAUAUACAUACAAAUACCAUAGAAUAUGUGCCAAAAUUUCGUGAUUAUAUGCUUAUUUUUGCAUACUACGAUAAAGUGCAAUUUCGGCGCAAUGUUGUGCGUGUUUUUUUAAAUCUCUCUCUCUUUUAAAGAAAAUACCAACGCCACUAACUCAUUCCUUUUCAGAAAAAAAAUCUUUAUUUUGAUAUUGUUUGUCUUUACUUCAUUACUUUAAGGUUAAUACCAAUGCCACUAUUCAUUUGUUCUAGAUUUUGUUUUUGCAAACGUUCCACUUUUUUAUAUGCUUAUUCUUGCAUAUUUUUGAACAUCGCAAUUUUUAUGUAUAUUUCAUGCAAAAUUUAUCAGUGUUUGUUUUAAAUUCUUUUUUCCCAUUUUCUUUGUUCUUAAAUGGUAAUACCAAUGCCACAUAUUCAUUCUUUAUUUUGUGGGUAUUUUUCUUUAUUUUUCAUUCUAGUUUUAUGUUUCUAUGUGUUUUUCCUUUUCUUUUUUCCCUUUCCUUUUAUUGCUUAUUUUUUGUGGGUUUUAGUUUUUUUUGUGGGGUUUUAUUUUUUCUUUAUGCCUUUUUUUGGAUGUUGAGUGUGUGUAAAUAUAGGCACACAAGUACUACAUGGAUACAUUAUAUUAGAGUAUGGAAAUUUCACUACUAUAGGUUUUUUCUUACAUUUUAUAAAAGGUGCAAUUUUGGUACUAAUCUUGACGAAUUUUUAGUUUUAAGUUUUUAUUUCACUUUCUCUCUUAUUUAAGGGUAAUAUCAAUGACACUAAUUCAUUUCUUCUUUGAAACUUAUUUUUUUGUGUUAAUUCUCCUAGUAUAUGUUAGUUCUUGCAUAGCUAUAAAAAGUGCAAUUUAUGGGUAAUUAUGUGCAAAUUUUAGCAUGAUUUAUUUUUUCAUUCAUUUCUUCUUAAAGGGUGAUACCAAUGCCACUACUUCAUUCUUUUAGAGAGAAAAAUAUUAUAUUUUUGUGUGUUUAAAUAAGUAUACACACAAGUACUAUACAACAUGUGUGUAUAUUAUAGUAGAGUGCGAAAUUGCAAUAUUAUAUUUUUGUUGUUUGGAUUUUACUAAAAGUGCUAUUUCAGUGCAAACUUGUGUGCAAUUUUUUUCUCCUUUUCAUUUUUCUUAAAGGGGUUCAUUAUUUCCUAGAAAACUUUAUUAUUUUGAUUUUGGUUUAGUUUGUUUUUCAUUUUCUUUCUUCUUAAAGGGUUUCAUUCUUCUAUAGAAAACUUAAUUAUUUAGAUUUUGUUUUUGUGUUUUUUUAUUUUCUUUCUUUAGAUGUAACAUCGAUAUCAUUCCUCUAUUAUAUGUUUAUUCUUGCAUAUUAUAAGAAAAGGAAUUUAUGUAUAAACUGCGUGGAAAUUUUGUCAUUUUUUUAUUUUCUUCUUCUUAAAAGGGAUACUAAUGCCGCUAAUUCACUAUUUCUUAGACAACUUCUCUUUUGAUUUUUUUCGUGUGUAAGUUUACAUGCAAGUACUACACAAUAUGUGUGUAAAUUAUACUAGACUGUGAAAUUUGUACUUUUAUUUUUCUUUUUCUUUAUUCUUAGAAAAGGUUGUUAUUUUGAUUUGGUUUUAUUCAUUUCCCUUAAUCUUUAAUGGUAAUACCGUUGCAACUAAUUCAUUCAUUCAUAGGAAUUCUCCUUUUCUGCUAAAAUACCAAUAUUAUAUGCUUAUUUUUGUGUGUUAUAAAAAAUAAUAAUUUGUGUGCAAAUUUUGUCAAUUAUUUUAUUAUUUUUAUUCUUAUUUCUUCUUUAAGGGUAAUAUCAAUGACACAAAUUUUUAUUUGCUUUUUUUGUAUACAUACAUAUGCGUGCAUACAUAUAUACAUCGAUUGGGAGUAUAUAUAUGAAGUUGUCUUCCGUCUAUGUAUGCAUUUGUAAACAAGCUUAGGCAUUGACGCGACAACAUGCAGUCGUUGCAUGCAUCAGCUCUUACGGCUGGAGCGUUACUCAGCCAAUGGUCACGGCCCAAAGAAUCAUAAACAUGCAAAAAGUGACUGACUCAAAUAUUCUGUUCAGUAGAUUGACGUCCAGCCACUCCCGUAUGAAAGCGCUAAGACAACCUGACGGUGAAGUGGCUCAUGACAUGGUUGAUCCUGGCAAUCGUCGAGAUGUGUGUGCACCACGCACCUUAGCUAGGUUGCAGGCCUUGACGCUAGUCGCACGGCUGGACGAUGCUGGCUCGUGUACAUGGCUGGGUAGCCACAAUACACUAUGCCAGUGCUACUGAUUACCAUGACUCCCAUGACGAAAGAGAAUGUCAUCGCGCCAAGAAGGAAAGCGUCGGCGACAGGACUACACGAGGUACUUGCGGUUUUAAAUUUAGCAUCAGCUGCCUUAUCUACGCGCCAGAAUUGAUCGGAGCAGACUUGCCAAAGCAGUCCAGCAUUGUCCAUUGAUGGAAAAGAAAAUUAUGUGGGAAAAGUUGAUGAAAACUUGAGCAGGCAAUCACGCAUGCAUAUUUGUUUGUUUUAUUCCUUGCUUGUGGUGUCAAAAAGGCGUGCAAGAUCCCCGUCAAAAUAAAUCCACAUGCACGAAUGUAUGGAAGAGGUAAAUAUGGUCAAGUUGGUUAUUUAUUUCUAGGUGAGAGAUCUGUUUUUUUUACGUACAUGCAUGCGUAAAAAUAUCUAUACGCAUGAAGAAAUAUAUGGAAGAGGCAUUAAACGUGGCCAAGUUGGUCACCUCUUUUUUAGGUUAGAGAUCUUCUUUUCUUUGACAUGCAUGCAUAUGAGAUCUAAAUUAUAAAUUAUGUGCAUCAUGUUUAUGUUACUUUUUCUUUUAUGUUUAUGUUACUUGACGUGUACAUGUGUCAAGUUGUUUUGGAUCCACCAUAUUGUGGUACGCAGAUCAAACCGUUAUCUUUCCCUACUAAUAAAGCACGGAGUGCUUCUGGUCGUACGUCGUCGUCACUUUUGCAAAAAAGCCCCUCUAUUUUCAAGAAUUCAACCCGCAGUCCCUGCACGGAUUGAAUCUAUUGGGUUCACCGUCGCGGCUUUUUUGCAUAAAGGUUCCUGCGCUUUUUAGUAUUUGACCCGCAGUCCAUGGAUAAGUGAAAAACGAUUCGUCCACGCCGUCUUAUUUUCCACCGCGCCGCUCAAUGAUGGAUAAGGCGAAGGGGGCGACUGCUGAUGCGAGGGGUAGAGAGUGGGAGGAGCUUGCGUACACGGGAGGCGGGAGGCGGGGCCAGGGAGGAGGAAGACAGCCGCGACGGCGACCAGUGCCGCGGGGCCGGCGGCGAGGAGAGCUCCGGGGUCACCGAAUCGAGCGUCGCCGGGGAGGGCGACACUCCACAGCGGCGGUGCUUGGGGCUCCGACGAGCGGAGGCGAGCGAUAACAGGAGGCGACAGGAGAAGCUCCGCGGCGACGCCCUGAAGGCCAUCAGCCAUGGCCAUUGUGGUCUCGCUGCACGGGGAUGAGGACGGGAGGGGCUUGGCAGUCAAGCGCGAAGCAGAGGGGGCGAGCAGUCGAGGCAGAGGCGUCGUCCUCUGCCCGAACUGCUGCUGCUCGAUGCAGAGAGCUGGGGGCAGCGUCUGGAGUUGCAGGGAAGCGUGCACAGGAGGGAUGGAUGGGUUCAUGGCGGAGGCGUCGGGGCUCCAUGGAGGGCAGUGGCAGCUGCUUACCGAAGAAAGUAAGGAGAGAGAGAUUCAGAGAGGGAAUAUGGGAAGGAAGCAGAGAGAGACUGCGGGAUAGGGGCUUCCUACCGGCGUCAUGGAGGAUCUCCGGUGAGGCUCGACGUGCUGCGGGUUGGACGGGAGGACAGCAGCCGGGCCGCCGUCGCACCAAGGCUAGGUUCGCGCGCUGCGUCGAGCUCCGCCUCCCCCCAGCGUGCAGCCGCUCGCUCUCGCCUGCCCCCACGGCGAGCUCCGCCUCCUGCGUGCGGUCGCCGCCUCCCUCAACCUCCACCACCUGCUGCAAGUUGGUGCCCAGGGCGCCGCAAGCUGCCAGCGGCGGCAGAGUUGCUGCUCCCGUGUCGUGAUUGGACUCCGUGUUCUUCUCCAACAGCAAAUACAUGUUCUUCUCCAACACCAAUCGAUGGAUUUCCCGAGCCGGAUUUGAGUUGCCUACUAUAAGAAGGAAGGGUCCUCGGACCAGAAGCUCCAUCAAAUCAAAUCAAAUCAAAUCCCGUCGAAAUUGCAAUCUGCGUCGAAACAUCCAUGUCACCGCCGAGUUCGCCGGAGGAAGAAGCGCAGAGUUCGCCGGAGGAACAAGAACGUCCGUCCAACCAUCCAAUGUCGCUGCCGGCGGCUACAACAGAGGUAUAUAUCCCCUUGAUAUUGAUUGGAUGCAAUUCCCUGUUUUAGAUGUUGUUUCUGUCCCCUGCCUCUGAUUAUGCUAUGUAGGAGCCUUUUCUUUUCUUUUUAGUUAUUUAGUGAUAUGGGGCUGGGCAUCUGAAUGUACGAAUUCAGUGAUAUAUCCAGACUGGGACCUUUGUUCCUGUUAUUUUGUCGUCAAAACUGAAAAAGAGUGUCAGCUUCAGGUAGUUAUUUUCAGUUGACAGUAUACUAAAAAAAAUUGACAGUGAAUAUUUUGAGCCAUUCAGAAACAUUGCCUAUGAUGUUAAUAUGUUGACUAGGGGCCUUUUUAGAGCAGCGGCAGCAAGUGUGCUCAGGUAAAUUCAGUCAGUUAGUUAAUCAGGCAUGUUCUUCUUUCAGGACAAGUGAUGUUGUUCUUCCAGGACAAAUGAUUCAGUAAAUUAGUGAUGUUCUUCUUUCAUGAAAAAUAAUUCAGUGAUGUUGGUCUUGAGCUGUUAGCUAUGUAGCAACACCGCGUUAGGUGAUCUCAUCUCUGCUAACAUUUACACUCGUUUAGCCCAGCUAGAAAAUUAGUUACCUUGUUGAUUUGCGCCUCUGUAUUGACCUUCUGAAUGGCCAACUCUUAACCUAGAUAAAUAUGGCUUCUUUGUAUUAACCUUAUUGAUUCUGAGCUUGCAUAAAUCCAGUUUAUGCAAUAACAUCCCAACUGUAAACUCACCAUGAUGUAAUAACAGUUGGAGGUUUACAUUUUAUUUUUGUUGUGACUGCAGAAAUUAGAUGACAUCGUUGAAGUGAACAUUGUAGAGGAUUUUGAUAACCGACCUUCCAAAAAGGCAAAAAUUUCCAAAUCAAUUUUUUUUAAUAAUGGCCCGUAGCAACGCACGGGCAUUGUACUAGUUAUAGAUUAAAAGAAAUAGACGGUCCAUCCAAUCGAGGGUCAAUAUUAUGUGGUUAACAUAGAAUUUUCUUUCCCGCAAAAAAAACGUAGAAUUUUCUUGCCUCUUUCUCUUUCUUCUGAUUAACCCGUCGAGUACUUUUAAUGUAUAAAAAGAUAGAUGCUAUGUCGCUAUUGAUUUAUCACUGAAAUUAUGAAAUAGACAUGAUCAAUAAAAGUCUUUGAUCUAAAAAUAAAGCUCCAUCAAGGUCCGUGUCGCCUGAUGGUUCAUCAGUGGUGUGUAGGAGGCGCAACUGGCAUUGUUCUCGUAUGUGGUCGCCUAUAGCUAGGCCUUCGCGACGGCCGCUUCUUGACGAGCGACGGCUUGAGCGUAGACGGCCUCCUCGCUCGUGCGCUGGCCGUCGUUCUGGCGCUCCACUAGCCGGUGCUGCUCUAGGAGGAACAUGUUGUACCAUUGUUCCUCCUGCGCGUGCUGGAACGCCGACAUAGGCGCCGGUCGGCUGCUCUUCCGCCAUGGUGGCGUUGAAGUGCGCCUACGCCUGCUCCAUGGUGAAGCCGGCAUCAGGCGCGCGCUCCGGUUUGGUGACGUCGAAGCCCGUCUCCAUCCUGGGGUCGUCCUCGUCGUCGGAGACCCCGGGUGGGCUAGCCUGCAUGCCGGCAUCGAUCCUCCUGGCAGGGCGGCUCUGCCAGGUGGCCGCAAGGGUGUCCAGCUCGUGCUUCGGCUCCGUCAAUAGGCUCUCCCAUAGAGCUUUGCCGCAUGCUAGCAUGGCGGAUGUGGUGGGAAGGGAGGAUAUGAUGUGGGCAUGCUUCUGUUGUGGCAUGAAGUAGGCGGGUGUAGCCGCCCUAAAAUACCGGAUUCUCGUGAGGCCCGGCGUCUGAGUGCGUCAGUGCGCGGUGCCGGAGUGGGUUUCUCAGCCGACGAGCCUGCUUAAUGACGGUAUACGGACGGACGGACGGUGCAUAUAACGGGCGUGGUAGAAAUUCACCCCAUCCCAUCCACUAACGCGUCUCCGGCAAUGAACAUGCGCGGACAUCGAGGACACAUCACGGGCAGCACCCUCAACCGACGUGCUGCUUCAAUGCCGGCGUCAGUGAGAGGUCACGUCCGCUAUGUAGCCUACUUCAAUGUGGAGUGGCCGCUCUAUAGCGGCAUGAAUGCAGGUUGCUAGCACCGGGGAGGAACGCGCGCAGAUGAGGGUGGACGGGUUUGGAUGGGCUAGAGUGGUCAGAAGCAGGUGUGGCUGCUGUUCGGACGCCCACAAAGCCUCAGAAGCAGGUUGUGAGACAUUCGAUGAUAUAUANNNNNNNNNNNNNNNNNNNNNNNNNNNNNNNNNNNNNNNNNNNNNNNNNNNNNNNNNNNNNNNNNNNNNNNNNNNNNNNNNNNNNNNNNNNNNNNNNNNNNNNNNNNNNNNNNNNNNNNNNNNNNNNNNNNNNNNNNNNNNNNNNNNNNNNNNNNNNNNNNNNNNNNNNNNNNNNNNNNNNNNNNNNNNNNNNNNNNNNNNNNNNNNNNNNNNNNNNNNNNNNNNNNNNNNNNNNNNNNNNNNNNNNNNNNNNNNNNNNNNNNNNNNNNNNNNNNNNNNNNNNNNNNNNNNNNNNNNNNNNNNNNNNNNNNNNNNNNNNNNNNNNNNNNNNNNNNNNNNNNNNNNNNNNNNNNNNNNNNNNNNNNNNNNNNNNNNNNNNNNNNNNNNNNNNNNNNNNNNNNNNNNNNNNNNNNNNNNNNNNNNNNNNNNNNNNNNNNNNNNNNNNNNNNNNNNNNNNNNNNNNNNNNNNNNNNNNNNNNNNNNNNNNNNNNNNNNNNNNNNNNNNNNNNNNNNNNNNNNNNNNNNNNNNNNNNNNNNNNNNNNNNNNNNCAUCAUGCAAAAACAACCAUUAUGCAUCCUAAGAAGAAAAUAGAUUAAUAAAAUAAACAAACUAUAAUGGUGCACCAACAAAAUAUAACAAUUAUCAGAACAAUGAAAUAAAAGCUUGGAUAUUGAGAAAUGUAACAGUGGCACUCUAUCUCUCCAAUAUUGUUCCGUGUGCAGGGAUGCUCAAAAUCUUGAAAGAAAAUAUAGCUUGAAAGUCUUUGGUCGGAUAAAGCGUCGGAGCUCUCUGAACCUACACAUUGCACCCUUCGUAUUAGUCAAGAUCAAAAGCUAGGCAUUGUUAAUCAUGAAUUUACUUUACAAUCAAGUUAUUUGCUUCGUUGAUGUCUGGGUUGAAGUAUAGUCGAGACUGCUCAAUCGUACAUAAGAUAGCAUCUGAAAUUGAGCACAAGAGAGACUUAAAAGUAUUAGCAGACAACUUAAAACGCGAUAGCAGGAAGCCAAAAGAAAAUGUUAAGUGCAUACAAUCAGGGAAUGUUGCCUCCAGAAGUCCGUAUCAAAAGAGAUUGGUUUUCUUCCCCACUUUACAUGUGCCAGAAGAUACUAAGCAUAAAAUUAACCCAUUCAGUUAUCUAGAUGACCAGAUUAAAUUGUAGGCAUCACGCGGUUCUUAUUUCAGUGAAAAGGCAAUCCGUUGAAUAAUGAUUGCCAAUGCAUGUCAGCAUGUAUGAUUCAGAAAUCACACUGAGAAUAAUUUAGGGAGCAGAUGCAUCUAUUUCCAGAGCCUUCAAUUCAUAAUGAAUUCUAGACAAGUUUAUUGUCCUAAUAAAAACAUGAUCAAAUCAUCAAUGUCAAAGUUGUUGCAUCUAAUGUUAAAACUAACUGCUAUAUCAGGCGGUUACUCAGAUGGUAUUCUGUAAACAUUAGUUAAUGAAAAUAUAUAAUAUAAUUAUAACAAGAAGAAUUGUAAAUGUAUGGAUUUGGAUUUUCCAACUUAACGCAAACUAACACUACGUUGAAAGAAUUGCAAAUCCCCUCACAUCGGCUUCCACAACUCAGCUCUCGCGUCGCCCCUCACGGGCAACACGAGAGCGACCAAACCCUUGUCCCGCCGCAACCCCUUACUCCACCCCUCCCCUCCCCGCCGCCACCCGAGGCGCUCGCCGGCGCUGCUGCGCGUCUGCCGGUGAAAUUAGAAAGAAGAAAAGCCUGAUCCAGUAUGAUUUGCAGUGAAAUUUGAUUGAAUCAUUAAAUUAUCAAGAGCAAUUGGAUAACACAAAGGGAAUAACAUAAAGUAGAUAGUCAGAGGGUUCAUCUAUCCAACGGGAGUAGUAGUUGCCUAGCAGCAGCUUGGAUAGGGCGGCAAUAGGCAGAAUGGAGUCAGGCUGCCGCAGCUUCCUCAACUUGAAGAAAUCAGGAGUUGGGGCUGCAUCACUGACUUGGCUGGGACAUUGGUGUGUCCACAGUGUAGCGUCGACAUCUCAUGGUCCUGCAACUGCAAGAAGAAGAAUUCCUUGCACUGCAUCCAAAUAUAGCUGAGAUUAUUUGUAGUCCAUGCUAGAGCCUCUCAGUUCACUAUUAAAUGUCUCAAAUUGAAGAAUACAAUAUUUCAUCUUAGUAUGUGGUACCAAGUUUCUUUAGACGGGUAAAAUUUCAGCAGACCAAAAAGGUAUCUACUUCUAAUUUUACCCCAUACGUCUUACCAUAGAUAUGGCCACUGUACCAGCAUCCCUCCAAUGAAUCAAUCUGUUGAAACCUCAACCCAGAAGAAGUUAUUCUCCUAACUUCACUCUUAAAAAUUGCACGUGCCUGAACGACUAUUAAGCCAUGAGACACUCCUGCAAUCAUGAAUUCAAAUAAGUGAUAGCACAAGCUUUAAAAAUGCUUAUUUAUCACAUGAACCCAGUCAUCAACUCAUUCGCCAAUUCAGCCUAACUAACCAUUAAAAAUGACACAAUUAAAUGCAAAAUGCUAAAGUUCACAAAUCAGUCAUAUGAAUAUCUAUUCGACGACAGAACAUAACUUGCCUGGCUGUGAGCUGUCACACAUAUAGAUAUAGGUACUCAACUAACCGCUCAAUAUGACUCAGUUCUGUUAACUACACUAUUGUGUAAUCAAAGCAUACACAAAUCAAGAUAAUUUAUAGGUGUGUGAAAGCUAAGAGUAACCUAGAAAAUAUACAUGUACGAACCUGAAUAUCAUACCACUGCCAGCACAUGAUUUAUUUAUCAGUUUAUCUUGGAGAAGGAGGGCUCGGAAACUAUCUGAAAACAGAGAAAGCAAUAUGCUCAUCGACUUCUCUGACUACAAUGAUUCUACAAAAGAGAUACACAAAAAAUAGAACGAAGUUAAAAUUAUGUAUAGAGAAUGCACCUUGCAAUUUUGUGGUAAGAAAAUUAUUAGGAUGGCUCAGCCGAUCCAUGCACACUGCUUAGAUAUUCCUGAGAUUUUACAAAGGAACAUACCUGCACGGUUGUUGUGUUGUUGCCGAUACAUAUGGCACUCAGUUAAUCUCUAAAGGCCUAGGUGAAUAGGACCAAAGAAAAUCAAAUUACUUAUGAUCAAGAGAAUUGCCAAAUGAAGCUGGCACGUAGAUCAGCUAACCUGGGUUAUCAGUACGCGGCUGUGGAAUAGCGCAUGGACAUACAUCUCACCCGUCACCACAUCAACCUGUACAACCGAAUGAAGCGGAUCAAAGAAAAAACAUGUGAUCUGAACAUAAAUAGCCGCAGUCCUGUAUAGCGGCAUGAGCGCGUUGCCUGUCGCGGCAUGAAGGGCCGGCGGCGGCUUGUGUGGGAAGGCGUGGAGUGGAGGGGUCGCUCGCGGCGCCCAGCGCGGAGGAGCGCGUGGCGGCCGUGGAGGGCUGCGGGGCGGAGAGUCGCUCGCGGCGCCUGACGCGGAGGAGCACGUGGCGGUCGGACGUGGAGGGCCGCGGGGCGGCAGUCAGACGGAGAGUCGCUCGCGGCGCCCCGCGCAGAGAAGCGCAUGGCAGCCGGACGCGGAGGGCAAUCGGACCGAGGGUCGCUGGGACACACGGCGCGGAGGAGUGCGUGAUGGCCAAACGCGGAUGGCCGCAGGGAUCGGGGACGCAGUCACGCCGAGCGCUAGGACGAUUAGACCACGGCGUCUGCCGGCAGAACAAUCCAUCUAAGCCGUUGAUCUGGGUGGAAGACUGCUGGGGUAAUACGGACUGUCGGAUGUCUUUAAGUUGAUUUGUUUGGAGGGUCCUGGUUAUCCUGUGUACAAUUAGUUGUGUGGUUUUAGGGGAAUUCAUGUUUGCUCUUUUAAUAGUAGUAUAGAAGUAUAGAUAUAGAUACGGUGGCGCUAUUGUGAGCGAGUGCGCAGAAUCGCUUAGCCUACGCUCCGGCCUAAUUAGGUGGGCGGGUCGCACCGCAGAAGUAGGCCUCUCCAACGCCUAAAUAGUUGAGGGUAAAGGUGUUUGCAGAAAAUAGUAAUGGGAUUUAAUUUGGUUACCACCGAUGCUCGCGUGCUCCACGACGCGCCGCUUCUGAGGUCGCUAAUCAUUGGUAGUAAUGGGUAUAGAAUAGAUGGUAAUGCCCAUAUACGCAACCACUAGUGUAUAGUAAUUGAAUUACUAUUUCAGGUCCUUGGUGUUACGGCUGUCCGGGCCUCGUAAUUACAUUGCUAUAUGGUAUAAUUCAUUCUUUCUUUAGCAACUAAGAUGCAAAUGAAAGUCCUGUAAAAAUUAGGGUCGAAUUACCCUUGGGCCUAAUUUCCUUCACAGAAAUCACAAGGUUAUUUUAGGUUUACAAUGGACUAUGUUUUGGUUUACUAUAUUUGCACAAAAUUGCUCUGGGUAAUUGACAUCGUACAUUAAUAUGUUUACUAGUUACACUUAUCUGUUACUAGGUUCCAUUAAUUCAUUACUAGAUGAAAGUUGGGUUACUAGGUGCUAUUGCUUCAUUACUAGAUGCAUGUUGGAUUACUAGGUUCCAUUACUUCAUUACUAGAUGCAAGAUGCAUGUAGUGAGAUUUAUGCAGUAAGGAUCACGAUCUGGUCGUAAUUUUAUUCAGUCGUUACGAUGGAGUUUCCACGAAGGCCAGUACAUCGGGUUGUUCGGGCUAAUUAGGGCGCGGUGGCCGGUUGGGGUCGAUUGGCCGGAGCGUACAUUAAGUUNNNNNNNNNNNNNNNNNNNNNNNNNNNNNNNNNNNNNNNNNNNNNNNNNNNNNNNNNNNNNNNNNNNNNNNNNNNNNNNNNNNNNNNNNNNNNNNNNNNNNNNNNNNNNNNNNNNNNNNNNNNNNNNNNNNNNNNNNNNNNNNNNNNNNNNNNNNNNNNNNNNNNNNNNNNNNNNNNNNNNNNNNNNNNNNNNNNNNNNNNNNNNNNNNNNNNNNNNNNNNNNNNNNNNNNNNNNNNNNNNNNNNNNNNNNNNNNNNNNNNNNNNNNNNNNNNNNNNNNNNNNNNNNNNNNNNNNNNNNNNNNNNNNNNNNNNNNNNNNNNNNNNNNNNNNNNNNNNNNNNNNNNNNNNNNNNNNNNNNNNNNNNNNNNNNNNNNNNNNNNNNNNNNNNNNNNNNNNNNNNNNNNNNNNNNNNNNNNNNNNNNNNNNNNNNNNNNNNNNNNNNNNNNNNNNNNNNNNNNNNNNNNNNNNNNNNNNNNNNNNNNNNNNNNNNNNNNNNNNNNNNNNNNNNNNNNNNNNNNNNNNNNNNNNNNNNNNNNNNNNNNNNNNNNNNNNNNNNNNNNNNNNNNNNNNNNNNNNNNNNNNNNNNNNNNNNNNNNNNNNNNNNNNNNNNNNNNNNNNNNNNNNNNNNNNNNNNNNNNNNNNNNNNNNNNNNNNNNNNNNNNNNNNNNNNNNNNNNNNNNNNNNNNNNNNNNNNNNNNNNNNNNNNNNNNNNNNNNNNNNNNNNNNNNNNNNNNNNNNNNNNNACCAUCAAUGCACCGUAAUUUUAUGUUCCGUAAUUUUUUUUAUUUCUGAUGUAAAAAGAGACUGUAAGAAAACAUAUAGUCGCCGUAAAAAAUAUUUUAUGUUAUGUAAAUUUACAAACGUAAAAACAUAGUGUAAAAUAUACAUAAACUACAAAUUUUCUUGUCUUAUGACCUAUAUUUUUAUUUUCUUAUGCCAAAUUUGACGUAGUGAAUCAAUAAGAAUGUAACUAUUUGAAUUUCAAACAUAAUUUAUUUAGGAAGCGAUCCUAAGAUUACCUCGGGUGAAGAAUAACUUAUUCUGCACCCUGGGUGAUGAAUAGUAACAUAUAUAUAUAUAUAUAUAUAUAUAUAUAUAUAUAUAUCUUUCCUUACUAAUAAAGCACGGAGUGCUUCUGGUCGUACGUCGUCGUCACUUUUGGAAAAAAGCCCCUCUAUUUUCAAGAAUUCAACCCGCAGUCCCUUUUUAAGUUGCUAUCUCAGAAAACGUUUCGUUAUUACAAAAAGAACCCUGCCGUUUUGAGAAUUCAACCCGCGGUCCCCCUGGAAAGAAAAAAAAACCUAGCCACACGAACGACCCAUGAACCCCAAUCUCAUCCAUCUCCAGCGCCGCCACGCCCUGCAACGCCGCCGCGCGCCGCCGAACUCCGCCCCGUCGUCGCCCCGCCGGAAUCCGCCGGAACUCGACCCGCCGUCGCGCCGCCGCUCAAGCCCAGCUUCUGGAUCGGGUCAACGCGGUGGCUCGAGCGGCUGGGGGCGGCGCGGUGGCUCGAGCGAACCAGACCGCUGUGCCUCCCGCAGCUCCAUCCUGCCCGAGCUCCCCUCGCCCCCGCAAGCCGCCUCGCCGGCGACCCCACACCUCCGCCGCGCCUCACCGCCGGAGCUCCAGCCGCUCCGCCGCCUCGCCCCUCUCCUCCUUCCUCUCGAUCUCCUCUCACCUCUUUCUCUCUUUCUCGCUGAACAGGGACCUCCAGAAGGGCCAUGGCGGCACCAGCCCUUAAUCUCGCCGGAUCCGGCCGCCUGCACGCCAAAUCCGCCGGAAAUGGAUCCGUCCCGUCCAGAUCCGGCCGGAUCCGACCGGGCCCCGCCAUCCUCGUCACUGGAGCACCGCCCCGCUCGACCAAUAGCGUCGGCGCUGUCUGUCCCUGCCCGCGUCUGCACGAGGACGACGCUCGUCCCGCUCGCUUGCAGCAAUCGCAUGGGCCGCCGCCCCAGCCGUCCCGGCAUCAAGCCAAGGCCCAGCCCAAGCCACAUCUUCUGCCGCUCCAUCAUUGCCCACCUUGAGAUCAGCCCCGACGCCACCACCAUCUUCAGAUGCGUACGCACACUACUUCCUUCUUCAAAUUGCUUCACCACAUCAUGCUGAAUUUGCAAAUGGCCGCUCCUUACAUGUGUGAUCGAGAAGCAAGGUCAAGUAUGAGCAGGCUGUCAGCGUGUAGUUGUCGGAGAUGCCGUCGCAACUUACAUGUCGCAGUCGUCGGCUCCAUGCUAAGAUUACGAGGCUCUAUGGUUGUAUCGUGGUGUUCCAGUAGUAAACUUUCAGGCUGGUUAGAUAGGGGAUGAAGAUGAUGUAUACUACCUAACGGCCAUCGAGUAAUAAAAGGAGAUGGAUUGAACUACAUGAUUUAUGCCAUGGGAAUGAUGAAAAAUCUUUGAGUGAGGAUGUUGAAUAAUUCAGUCCUGAUCAAUGGCUUCUCAUAAAAGUCUUCCUGCCAGCAAGAGAGCCCUUGCAGAUUUACAGCUUUUAGUGUAAUUAUUACAGAGAAGACAUGCUUAGAGGGCCUAUAAUUUUACUAAGUGAACAUGUACUGAUCUCUACAUGCUUUUUAUUAGAGGUAAAGACGAUGCAUUGCCUAUCCAAGUCUCCAUACAAAUUUGUAGAUGCACAUGGCGUUUUAUCUAUCUGGCUAGCGUUUAUAUUCAAAACUCUUUUGUCCUUAUAUCUUUUCAGUAUCGCUUUCAUGUUUUACUAAGAUCUGUGCGGAAACAACAUGAGCCUUUGCUGCUUGGUCUGGGAUGGUGAAGUGGUGGUUGCAGUGGAAAUCGUUAAAGGGGGCACCGGUGUCCUCAGUUAUACGGUUACAGAAUAUAUGGAGUCAUGCCCAACGUUGCAAGGGAGCCUGUAGUGGGAGGCGACAAAGUAUUGGCUGUUACCAUAGUAUCCAUAAUGUACGUCAUUCUUAAUAUGCAUGCAGUUUGUACCUUUGUAUUGACCCAUCAAUUGGCAAUAUGUUGACGUGCUCGGUAGGACAUGAACAGUUGUGUGUCUAACACAUUUUCAUGAUUUUUUUCUGUCAGGAGUUGUGUCAACACCAACCUCAGAGCUGGAAUAAGGAGUGCGCAUUCGCAUUGAUGAAACAACUUUCCCAUAGCCCGCUGCUACUGCCCACUACCACAAUCUUGCAUAGAUACUUGUGAGUACAUGAGAACAUCUGUAGGCUAAUAAACAGUACAAACACCAGGCUUAGUUUCGGAGUACAUAUAUUGCAUCGACUGGUAUGAUGUCUGAAUAUAUAUCUGACUAGAGCCAUCAUAUGGACAAAUAAUCUUUGUAGCAGUCUGUUGGAUAAUUAUUGGAGAUGAUGCACUCUGAUGGACAGAUAUAGAAACCCAUUGUUAUUUUCAGGUGAAAAUCUUGCACAUAUCUAUGUUGAAACCAGCCAUUGAUGUCCCCAAAAUUCACUAUACUAAGUACAACAAUAUAUAUUGAUUGCNNNNNNNNNNNNNNNNNNNNNNNNNNNNNNNNNNNNNNNNNNNNNNNNNNNNNNNNNNNNNNNNNNNNNNNNNNNNNNNNNNNNNNNNNNNNNUGCCCAUAAAAUUCAGUUCUUCGAUUGGAUUAUGUAAAAUGGGAUGAUCAACCAAAUAACAUUGGACCAAGUUGCUUAUGUUGAGUGUAUCAGUAAGGUAGAUGCCUAUAUUAAUUCAUACAAAGAUCAUUACUAAUAAUGAUAUGAUUGGUAAUACAUUCAUGACUACUCUAUGUUGCCUUGACGCAUGCAAGCCAUGCUAUAGAAACUGAAACUUGCAAAACAGAGUGAAGUAAAUUACUUUGAUUUGUUAGACACAAUCUAGAUCAUCACCAAGAGUCGUCAAAGAACAUAGAAAAUAGUAAAAUUAGUGUUAUUUAAAUUUGGCCUUAUUUUGCUAUAAGCAAUAAAAAUCAAGCAUACAAUAGUUGUUGGGUGAUAAUUCUUUGGUAUUUCUAAGGCCGGCAGUGGCACGGGAGGUGUCGUUGGCGCCACGGGCUAGACACAAACUUGAUUAGAUUGCUACUACAUUGCUGAUCCGUACCUCUAGGAAUGUUUUGCUGAUCAUGUCAACCUGCAGGCUAGCAAUUUGAAGAGACAGUUGCACAGAUAUUGGCAUAUACAGUCCCGUAGAUUCUGCCAGUGAACAUAUAAAAACAGCAUGUCCGUGAAUCUAAAUAAACUAUAGCAGUGAAUUGUUGAUGAUGUAUAACCUCAUUUGCAUCUAGCUUUCAUCCAGCAUUUUUUAUUUAUUUUAUCCAACAUCUUUGUAAGCAUCUGUUGGGCCAGCCCAAGUAGACAGAACAAUAUAACAGUGUAAAAGACACCGUGCUCAUAUUAUGAUAUGGUGUUAGGUUUACUUGCCUACAAGUUUGGUUCCACUUGGUACGGGCACCAUGCUCUGCUAUCAGCGUAUCUGUAGUAUCAGGGUAUUGUUACUACCUUGAAUGCUGAAUUUAAGGCUGACUGGUCAUGUAUUAGUCUGACUCCCUUCUGAAUUAUACAUAAGCAGAUUUUAGCAGGUCAUCCCAUGGUUGUCCACUAAUCUGGUGUCUGGUCCAUCUUCUUACCCUUGCAAUUUUAGUAUCAUCUGUCCAAUCUUGCCCUGACUGUGUAUAGACUGUUGAAUACUUCAAACAAUGAGCAAUUUGAAGUUCAGAAAUAUGACAAAUAUCUAAAAAUGGAUUCGUUUUUGGAGAAAUAACAUUGUGUAGAGUGGAAAUGCAGAACUAUAUGUUCCUAUUUCACCAACUGGUAUUGAAUAUGUGGUCAAUCUUUGUAGAAAAAACUACAAAGUCUAAACGUUAGUGUGUGAUACAUAUGGAAAAUUGUGAUGUCUAUUUUUUUGAAAUAUUUUUUACUUUAUAAAAAGUUUUAAACAGGGCAUAGCAUUAGGUUUCAUAUUUUUGGCCAAGACGCUCCGCGAGGCGAUGGCACAUGGCCGGCAAGGCUCGUUCUUAAGCGCACCAUCCCGCAAUUGAGGCGGCGCCCACGGCGCAGCCGUGGCCUUCGGAACGCACCGCGGGGGCAGUGCUACCGGCCACCAGCGCUGCUCCUCCCAGACGGUGGUGCCUAUGGCAAUGGUCCACUGGCCCCGGCCGGGCUCCCUGCGGAGGCGUGUGGGUGGCGGCCUCUGACUUGAAGUCUUCUUGAGAUUUGUACGUCGAUUGCUUGGUCGUCUCUUUGUGCUGUCACUACGUGUACUGAAGAUUAUUUACUUCGCUUUGACUUGGAGCGAGGUGCAGUGGUUUCAGGUUGCUGAUGCUGAUAUUUUCAUGUGAUGUUUGAAUGAUUGUGUGUCUGACCAAGCGUAGUUGCGCUUCUGACAAUGUAUUGGCCUUCCUUUGCUGCACCGAAGUUAGUGAAUUGUUCACCAUGCUUGACUUUGUUCUUAGCAGGGAAAUUUGUGGUGAUUCGUAAUCAAACUUGCAAAGAACAUCCUUCUGAUUAUGUUUGAAGAGGUACGAUGGAUGGUUGAGCUGAGACCACUGUUUGAUAUUUGUUUGCCUUUGCUUUGUAACCAGUGAGGGCUGAAGUGAAUGAAUCUGGAAGUGCUUUAGUGAUUAAUGCUCUGUCCCAAGUUAAGCAUAUUCUACUUCCGGUCACUGGCCGCAAGCCUUACCUUUCAGUUCUAAUUCCUUGAGGUACCUUUGUGAUGCCUUUAUUUGUCCAUGUCAUUAUUGUGCCUGCCAUAUGGAAUUUUGAGUUUAUCUUUGGUCAGCUUUCUUAUCAAAUGAUAGCCCUUUUUGCUCAAGUUGAUUUGAUUAAAUCAUUUUCAAAUCACCACAGUUGUGAAUAUAGCCAUUGUUUCAACAGAACAAACCUAAGCUUAGCAUGAAAGAGAGUAUGAAGUUUCUGAUCUCUUCAAAAUAUGUGAGGGGCCUUGCUACCUUAGUUGUUGCAUAUGGCAUUAUAAUCAAUUUUGUGUAAGUCACAUGGAAAUCGAAGCUCAAGGCACAUGUAAUUUUUUCCGGCUUUUGUUUUUCUUCUUUCCUUGUACUCCUUUAACCUUUUCAUGGUUCCUUAUUCAUUUUGGCAGUUCCCCAGUCCAAACGAGCACUCAUCUUUCAUGGGUGAUUUCUCUACCGCAACUGGACUUGCAACUUUCAUGAUGAUGCUGUUAGGCUGGAUUACAUUCCAAAGAUUUGGUUGGGGGGUGGCUUCCAUUAUCACCCCCAUAGUUUUGUGGUGACUGGCGUUGGUUUCUUUUCUGACUUUCAACAAGUGCAGUUCAUUGCCGCAGAGCAGUCUUAGAAGAUCCGUGCACAUGUAGCCUUAUUUCUUAUUCCAAAUUUCAUCAUACAAAAAAAAUACUCAGUGUAACCUCAUUUCUGAUGUUUGCGAAAAUUAGAUUAUAAAAAUGUUGCAUAAUGGCACAUGAAGCAGGUUACAUUUCAUUUUUUGCCCGGUGCAACGCACGGGCAUUUGUACUAGUAUAUAUAUAUAUAUAUGCGGUUCUACGUACGAGAAAAUCUAUCUAUAUAUAUGCAUAACGUGUACAAUUUGUAGUAUCGUGAAAUACCAGCAAACAAAAAAGAAAUNNNNNNNNNNNNNNNNNNNNNNNNNNNNNNNNNNNNNNNNNNNNNNNNNNNNNNNNNNNNNNNNNNNNNNNNNNNNNNNNNNNNNNNNNNNNNNNNNNNNNNNNNNNNNNNNNNNNNNNNNNNNNNNNNNNNNNNNNNNNNNNNNNNNNNNNNNNNNNNNNNNNNNNNNNNNNNNNNNNNNNNNNNNNNNNNNNNNNNNNNNNNNNNNNNNNNNNNNNNNNNNNNNNNNNNNNNNNNNNNNNNNNNNNNNNNNNNNNNNNNNNNNNNNNNNNNNNNNNNNNNNNNNNNNNNNNNNNNNNNNNNNNNNNNNNNNNNNNNNNNNNNNNNNNNNGUCACUUUAGCGCCGGUUCGUGACAAACCGGUACUAAAGGGGGGGGGGGACUUUUAGUCCCCACUUUUUAGUGCCGGUUGGCAAACCGGCACUAAAGGCCGCUACGAACCGACACUAAAGGCCGGUUCUGCACUAGUGGUAAAGUGUGAGUUAGUAAACAAUAACUUAUGUGAAUCAUGAAAUAACGAAACAUUAUUAACUUCUUGACUCCUUACUACUUGAGCUACUAUAUGUAACUAUCUUAACAAUAUCAUAAUCACAUUGCCCACUUUUUCAAUUAGGGAAUACCCAAGGAUUAUGCUCUCAAUCAUUUUCCAUGUGAAGAUACAAGUAUCACACUUCAACUUCCUCAGAAGAACAAGAAUUGGAAGUUUCGGUAUUCACAUAUUAGGGAUGGAACAAGAUAACAACAAUUCAUAACUUGACAGCUUCCGGGUUCUUUACUAUCUUAAAGAACUCAAAAGCCAUCAAGUUAUGCAUAGCUCUCUUCUUUCAUCUGAGCAACCCCCUGUGUGCUUGAUAUGCACAUUGUUUGACUUGGACAUUAAGCUCAUGUUUUUCUUUGUUGCUCGAAAUUUAUGCUCGUCAGAUAUUUAUGUCAGAUACUUAUGCAGCAUGUUAGUAGUUUUGUUAUAAUUUUUGUAGUAGCUCUUUAAUUAUGUUCACCUCCACCCCCUCCCCUCACCUCCUCGGCACAUGUUGGUUUUUUUCCUUUGAUUUGGAACCAAAUUGUAAUUAAUUAUGUCGCCUCUAUAUUAACAAAUCAAAUCAUAACUUGCAAUUAGCACUUACCAAUUGAUAAUCCAAGUGCAAGGAAUUGUCGUAGCACUUUUCAAAGAUGGAGGUGGUAAUUAUGGAGUAUCGAACCAACAAGGAGAUAAAGGUAGGAUUGGUAUUCUCUUAGGUGAUAUCUCUCACUGAUACGAUCCUACAUACACUAAGUGUUUGCUUUACCUAGAAAAUAAAACAUAAGUACUUUGCUGGUAUGAAAUGCUAGCUUUGCAAGAUAAUGAAGACUCGUAAAUAAAUGUUAGUUGCUGAUUUGUUAAGAAACAGUAAAGUAAAGUUAGCGAGUGUGGAAAAGUUGUGGUAGGAUGUGCGGAAUUGUCCCUAGGCAAUUGGAUAUGAAACUAAAGUGAUAAUCAUCUAUUGCAGUUUUAUAUGCAGGAGAGGCAUAUGCUAACAUUUAGAGAAAUUCAUGUGCAAAAAUAAAAAACAUUGGAAGAGGGCAACAUAAGGACUCUUCCAUUGUUAAAGAAGGGGUAAAGAAUGAAGGCGGUUGAGGUAAAUUUGGAUCUCUUAGCUACAUCUAUACUUAUUUUUUGCAAUUGAUUUCCAUUUUCAUGAUCCCUUCUUCCCUUACUGGCCAACAAGCACAAACUGAUGGCAAGGUCUGUAGAAGCCAAGAAGUUCGGCAAAGGAAAUAAAACAAGUUGUAGAUGCAAAAUCAAGUAGAAAGUAGAGAAAGACUACUAAAGGCCAUCUAAAUGUUGUCAACGAAAAGAAGGCAAAGAAGUGUCCGCCUUUAAUGCUUUCACUCUUUAUAUUUGAACGUGGUGUCCUUUGUUGUCGUACUCCAUGACGGAGCCAANNNNNNNNNNNNNNNNNNNNNNNNNNNNNNNNNNNNNNNNNNNNNNNNNNNNNNNNNNNNNNNNNNNNNNNNNNNNNNNNNNNNNNNNNNNNNNNNNNNNNNNNNNNNNNNNNNNNNNNNNNNNNNNNNNNNNNNNNNNNNNNNNNNNNNNNNNNNNNNNNNNNNNNNNNNNNNNNNNNNNNNNNNNNNNNNNNNNNNNNNNNNNNNNNNNNNNNNNNNNNNNNNNNNNNNNNNNNNNNNNNNNNNNNNNNNNNNNNNNNNNNNNNNNNNNNNNNNNNNNNNNNNNNNNNNNNNNNNNNNNNNNNNNNNNNNNNNNNNNNNNNNNNNNNNNNNNNNNNNNNNNNNNNNNNNNNNNNNNNNUACUGACUUUGUGUUUUCCUUUGUGAUCUCUCAUACUUUGUGUAACCUGUCUAAAUGAUGGUUAGUCAUGCUAAUAUUAUGUGUGAAUGAUACUUUUGAUAUUUGCGACUUCUUGUUGUUAGUGAGUUAUUUGUUGGCCAUAUGAUUUUCCUAUGUAAUCCUACAAUCUCAUCGUGUACAUGCUCUAUAUCAAGUUUGUACCACAUGACGAUUCCAUGGCAAGUUUGCCAAUGGGACAUCGUCAUUUCGCAUGGCAGGCUUGGGCAUAGACAAUCAAAUUUGAGCACUGCACAAACAGGCCAUCCAAAUCCAGUGAAGAAGAGCCCUCUGAAGCCCUUCAAGGCAGGUGGACAACUAGAAGACCCCGAGCGGAAUCUUCUACUCUUCGCUCGUCAUAGAGUGCAUCCGUAUCAAAUUACACAUAGACGAUCUUUGUGGGCCCAUCAAAACAGGACAGUGAUUGUCGAACAAACAGAUACCGUGGGCAUGGCUCGGUUGUUUUUUCCUUGGGUUUUCUGCUUUUUUUUCUCUGCCGGUUCUACCGGUUUUCUUUCCACAUUUUUUCUUUACCGAUGAUCUCUGUUAGGAUAAGCCAGGUUGAAGCCACUCUCAGGGGCACCUCUCAUGCUGAUCCUGCCCAUGCUCAAGCGACAAAAUUGUUGGGGUCAAAGUCGUGGUUGCUCGUCAUGGAGACAUGGAUAAAAACGAGGCUUCAUUGCUUUAUUUUUGUGAACGUUGUUUAAAUGCAGAAACAUAUUUUAAAUUAACGAGCAUUUGGAAAAAAAUGACAGACUCAUUUAUUUCAAAGCCUUUGGUUUUCUGCGGGGAACGGCUCGAAAACCUAACAAAAAACCAAAAGGUUUUCAAACCGGUUUUUCUAGGAACCUAGGUCACAUUUUUUUUUACUCACCGAAGAGCGUAGCUGCGAGAUCGCUAUCGGGCCCGGUCCAUUGCGGGACAAUUCGUGUCGCUCUUCGUGAUUUCACAAAAAUAAUAAUAAUAAAAUUUGAACAGGACGCAUCCACCCCUGUUGGAAUCGAUGGCGUCGUCUCCACGCUCGGCGACCGGAGUGGAUGCCGCUCGCUUCCUCCGUCCGUCCGUCCCUGUCCAUGUCAUGGCCGCCUCCGGCGAUGGAGAUCAACAAGUUCGGUUCGGUAGAAUUCGAUUCGUUUUAAAAAAGAAAGAAGAAUCAACAAGUCUCGGCCCAACGUUGGCCCAAGAGAGGCGGGGAGGCAGGCAAUCCUCCGUAUAUAUGAGCGGCGCUAGAGAUAAAAAAAAAAGAAACUCGCUAGGGUUCGUCCGUCCGUUCUCAGAGCAGAGCAGAGCAGAGGUGAGAGCCCAGACCUCGGCCGCCGCCCUCUUCCUCUUCUUCUCCGCAAACCACCCAUAAUCCUCCUCCUCCGGUAAGGUAAGCACGUUUCAAUCCAUCUCGGAUUCGGCUUCGUUUGUUCGCGUCUAUCUCUCUGACGCGGGGGUGAAUUUGAUUGAAUUUCAGGAGGAUAUACUCUGGCGCCCGGGCCAGAUCUUUAAAUUUCCGCGGGAGGGCUGCUGUGCUGCACGUUCCUCCGUUUACCCCUAUCUGUCUAACGCGGAGGCGAAUUUGAAUUUCAGGACCAGUCCGCCUUGCUCUGGCUGACGCCAGACCUUCCUUCUUCUUCUUCUUCUUCUUCUUCUCUUCAUGCGAGUAGUGCUGUUUAUAAUUUUAUUUAUACCACCGGAUCAAUAGCAGCAGCAGCACAAGUAGAGGAUCCAACCUCCCGAGUGCAAGCCGACUCGGUUUUGCUCCGGUGUACGGAUAACUUAUCUUCUUUUUCUUGUGGAACAAUAAUAAGUGUAUAAUAAUCCGAUUAGGACCCCUUUCCGACUGGGAGUGGGCUUUGCUGCUCCCGGUGCAGCGCUAAGUUAUUAUAAAUAGUGGCAGAGUAAGGACGAGGAUUGGCCUGUGAUAAUCGAGCCUCCACGCUCGCCUCAAAGAUUUCGUUCAAAGCAUCGUCGGCUUUCAGCUUCCUCACACUCCAUGGAGGCCAUAAAUAACGGUUUCAGCGACAAUUCCCGCAGCCAAGUAAGUUCCCUCCCUUCUUGUUCGCCAUGCCUCUAUUCAUAUUUUUGUUCUUAUAUAUAAUAUUCCACUGUACGUACAAUGCCAAGAGCUGUAUCUUCAACUCAACUCAUACACUACUAUAUAAUACUACAGUAUAACUCUCGACAGUUAUUGUAGCACUCCAUGUAAAUGUUAAGUUGUUUGUCUAGCCUGUUAUCAGCCAAAUUACCUAUAAUUUACGUGGUUUUGACAGAGUGAAGUAGUGAAUAAACAGAGUCUUCGUUUUGUUUUUGCCACCUUGUAAAACUACGAACCUGGCCAUAAUUUUUCUUUCGGAGCAUUUACAUGAUCGUGCCGGAAGGAGAACAGAAAGCAAUGAUGACAAAAAAACACACACCGAUCUGAAGAGAUGUCUCUAUUUGUUCUGACGAUAUAAAUCUCCAGUUUACAUCUUCCUGUUGUAGCCAGAGGCAGUCAUGGGAAUGCUUUUCAUUUUCUUCUUUUGCGCAACUCCUGCAACCAUUCACUUGAAAGCUUUUCGACGAUUAUUAAGUUUUGUGUGGAUUGAUGCAUACUUUUCAUUAUAAAGUUUGCAAGUGUUGGAGGGCGACAAUUAGCAGGAUUUCUUUAUAUGGCUACGGAGGUUGUACCUAGAACCAUACACAGAAGACUGCACAUUGCUGGCAGCUGAAUAAUGGAUGCUUGAUUUAUGUUGCAGCAACUGGAUGACGAAGAUAUGCUCAGCACCCUCACUGAUGAUAUCUUACUGUCAAUCUUGGGGAGAGUCAGUUCAGUUGUGGCUACAAGGACAAGUGUGCUCUCUACACGGUGGAGGCAUCUGCCUUGGUUGCUGCCUGAACUCAGCAUCGAUGUCAAGGAUUUCCUAUCUGCUCCGUGUGCUGAACCUAUUGAGGCAAAUGAUAUGGAACAAACUAUGGCGUCUUUAACCAAAGCAACCAGGAGUUUGUUGGAUAAACAACAGAGAGAAUCCAGUAUCUCAAGUUUGCACCUUGACCUCUAUUUGAUCAGCAAUUUCCUUUGUGAAGUUGGCCAACUGAUAGGUGAUGCAAUCGACAAUGGUUUGUUGAAAGAUUUGGAUCUCACCGUUCUUGAUGAGAUGGAGCCUCUCGACUGUAGCGAGGAAGAGCUGCAACAGCGAGCACAAGACAUAGAUGCUUUUUUCACUGCCUACCCUAGUGUGCUCCUCUGCCUCACAAAGCUCUCUCUAAAAAAUGUAGGCUUUGACAAAUUGGACAUGCACCAUCUCCUGUUUGACUGCUGCAAGCAACUGACGCAUCUAACUCUUCAUCAUUGUGAUACCGGUUCCUUCUCUCUCUUUAAAAUCGAUGCACCGGGCUCAAGACUCCGUGUUCUAGAAAUCGAGAAGUGUCGCUUUCUGAAAAUCGACCUGGUGUGCCUCCCAAAAUUAGAGAAGUUCUUAUGGGAGACCUGGGUAUCUCAGGUUGCCCCAUUGACCUUUGGUUUUGUCCCAUCUCUUGGGGAAUUAGAACUCUCAAGUGCUUCGAAUUGUCAGCAACGCUUAUUUAGAUUAAGUGAGCUUCUACACGGAGUAAGAGGCAUACAUACUCUCACAUUGGAUUUCCAAGGAGAAACCGUAAGUACUUCUUUAUUUUCGUUAAAUGGUACUUUAUUUGGUAUUCAUCAUGUCGUCAUUGAUAUGGAAGUUAUAUCAUGGAUGUGUUUAUGUAUGAUAGAGAACAAACAUAGCUGUAAAUUCUUUGAUAGUCUCAUUUCUGUGCUUGCAAACUAUCAAUACUUAUUUUGUUUGUUUAUUUAAUGUUGUGAUCAGCUUUGGUUGCAACCUGAAAUGGAGGAACUCUGCACCGCAUUCAGCAAGCUAAGGAAGCUGUUCAUACGUGGUAUAUUUGUUGAAUUUGACAUUUUAUGGAUGACAGCUUUUCUUGUAGCAGCACCAUCUAUCGAAAUGUUGCAUAUUGAGGUGAUGUCUUUGUCCAUAUUUAUUUUCUUGUCCACAUUUGGAGCUUUAGUUUUACACAAAUUUGAGCGGAAAGUUCUUUAAAACUUGGAUUCACUCUAAUGAAUUGGUCACACACACACAGAGGUAUGGGAACAUACAUGCGAUGUGGGCGAGGCCAGGCUUGCUACCUACCAUGAAAGAAGGAAUCCUCAAUGGGAAAUGCACUUGGACAGGAGCUCCGACAACAUGCUUCUGAAAGAGCUUGAAUUCGCUGGAUUUAAAUCACUUGAACAACAGUUUACAUUUAUUAGAUCCAUAUUGGAGCGAUCUCCCAACUUGCAGAAGAUAGUUCUGAGAGAUGAGGAGCAGUGCGAUGAUUGCGAUGCCCUUAAGGUACCUCGUCCUUCGAGAUUUCCUAUGAAGAAAGAUGAGCAAGAAAUGGUGGUUAAGCGGAUUAGAGAUGGCAUGUUCUCGCCAGAUAUGUUUUUUACAAAUAUGAUAAGUUGUAAGUUGUAAGAGAAAUAACAGUUUGUAUACUCCAUGUCCUGUUGCUUUAAUAUUCCUCGUUGCCUGACGGCUGAGCAUCUCAGAUUAGGUUUCGACUCUGCACAUCUUUUGAUGUUAUCAAAAGGUAAGCUCGAGAGUUGAUUUUUAUACAAACUUUGGUAAAUGUAUCAUAUUACCAAAAUAUUUUGCUUGCCAAUAUUUGGCAUGGCCUAUUGCUUCUUGCUUUUCCUAGUUGCUAACACUAAUAACUAGGAGUUCAUCUUCCAGAUGGUAAGAGCACUUAGAUGAAUGUAGUCAUAUCAAUAAUAUUUUUUAUGAGAAGUUUAAUAUAUAUCAUUGAAUUGACAUGCCAAAUCUCCGCGUGAUAGAUUAGUACUUGGUUAUCCUACUAUAUGGAUCCUAUAUAAUUUGUAUAUGUAUUAACCUCUUCCUGGG
rnacentral:lncRNA from 1 species